CUUGAUGAAGUUAAAACAGUCCUCUUCAUCAAACACAUCGACAACAGUCAAACUAGUUCCAUCCACAGCAGUAUAUCCUUUACACACAAUAUAUCUCAAAAUCUCCUUCACAGUCUUCACCUUCACCCACAAAGAAUCCCUUUCAGGUUUAAACUCAACAAUCUCGCCCGUCCAAUCAACAUGUCCCUGCACGAAAUGACCUCCCAUUCUACUGCUAGGCUUCAAAGCUCUUUCCAAAUUAACCAAAGACCCUUGUUCCAAUUCGAUCAAAGAAGUCUUCCUCAACGUUGCAGCUACGGUUAGUACAAGAGGUGUGCAUACGUCUGUUCGGUUUAAUUUUAUAUAUUAUUGAUUCGAUUUAUCGAUUUUUAAUUUUUAAAUAUGUAAAAUCAAUAAUCAACUAAUAAGAUAUUUUCUUAUCGAUUUCGAUUUAUCGAUUUUUGGUCCUUAACGUUUCGCUUUUUGGUUUAACCAAUAAGAAAAUACUUAUAGAAUAGAAAUAGUAACAACUAACCUAAAAAAAAAAUCUUAAUUACUGCCAAAAUCCUACGCAAUGCAUUUUAGUUUACAAUCUUCAAACUUGAACUGAAUGUUAGUUCGGAAAAAAAUUGAAUCAUAAUUGUUGGAAGCUAUAAAUGCUUCAAGCUUUACAAUAUGAUAAUAACAGAGUUUUAUAUUGUGUCUUUGUUGCCCUGAAUCGGUUAAUAUUUUGUGAAUCACUGAAUUGUGAAUAAGGAGAAUAAGUAGUUCAUAUAAUAUAUAUAUAUAAAGAGAGAGAGAUUUAUAUAUAUAACAUAAAUAGGGCUAUAACAUAAUAAUUUAAUGUAUCCUUAUUGGGUUAUCGGUUUAACUGAUAACCCAAUAAGGUAAAACCGAAAUCGAACUGUUUACCAAUAAUUUUUUUAUAAAACAAAUAAGAAACUAUUAACCUAAUAACCCAAUACUAAUAACCCAAUAACAUUUUUAUCGGUCGGUUCAAUUUUUGCACACCCCUUUUUAGUACUAUUACUCCCUCCGUUCAUGUCAAUUUUCUCGUGUUCAGUGCUCUAUUAUUGGCUUGUCAAAAUAAUAAAUAAAUAAUACUUCUUCCGUUUAAAAAAGAAUUACUAUUUUGACUUGUCACAAAAUUUAAGAAAAUAAAGAAAGACUUUUGAAUCCUAUGGUCUUAAAUUAAAAUUGUGUCAAAUGUACCAAAUACGCUUUAAUCUUGUGGUCAUAAACAUGUCAUAAAAAAAAAUUGAAAUUCAAAUAUUGUCAAAAAAGAAAGGACUCAUUCUUUUUGAAACAGAAUAAAAAAGAAAUAGAUCAUUCUUUUUGAAAUGAAGGAAGUAUGAGUAAUUUUACUAUUCACAUUUUAAAUGUAAUAAAUUUAAUAAUUUAAUAAUAGCUAGAGUAGGGAAUGAACAAAUAAAAUUACUUAUUACUUUUCAAAAUGUCGUUGAACAUAUACUUUUAGUAAUACGAAUAAGUAAAUAUAAAUGAGGAAGUACGCUUUGCAAUAUUUUUUUCCCUUUUUUUUGGAAUUUUAAUUAUAGUGAUUUUCUGCUCUUUCUGUUUCAAUUUGUUUGAUCUAUUUUCUUUUCUAAUUCAUUUCAAAAAAAUGAAAUGUUGAUUCACUGAUGUGCCACGUAUGUGUCAUGUAGGUACUAAGGUUGCCAAAAUACGAUUUUAAUUAGUCCAGGGGUAAUAGAACCCUCCUAAAAUUCAGAUGUGUCUCACCAAUUUCGUAUAUAGUUCUGGGUGAAAACAGAUCAUUUUAAUUCCCUUAAUAUCAAUAUAAUGACAUUUUAGAUGCUUUCUUAUGAGCUGAUGUAUAUUUGGAUGAUUGUAUCGUAUCAAAUUGUAUCGUAUCGUAUUGUAGUGUAUUGUAAUAUAUUCUAUUGUAUGGUAUUAUAAGUUAUUGAGAUGCCUAAUUUAUAUUGUAUAGUAUCGUUAAGUUCGACCAUUAGAUAACGAUGAAAUAUUUUAUUUCAGGUAAUAAUUGAUUUAGUAGGAUGGUGUCAUUAACUUAUAUAUUAUUCUUAUUUUAUCUUUAUUUAUUGUUUAAUAAUCAUAUUUUAUGAUUUUUUUCCUGUCUUUCUAUAGUAGCCUUCCAUCGUAGUCUAAUGAUGAAUUUAAUGAUAUGAUACGAUGAAAUUUAAGAAACAAUCAAAAUAAAUAUGAUAUUUAAAAUAAUAAUACAAUAUCUAACAACCAUCCAAACAUACUAUAAAUGUUGAUGUGGUUAAAAAAAUUAUUGACAGAAAAUGGAUAAAUAAAACUUACAAAUCUUGUACUAAUUCUUUUUAAUUAUAACUAAAUAUAACUAGUCGAAUGUGAUCAUCUACUCUCUCUCUCUCUUCCUCUCUAAACCCGAAGACGAAGAAAGAGGAGUGUUUAAAAGUGCUUGUAUAUAAAAUAUUUGAUGUAGUCAGUGUUGAGAUGUAUAUAAAUAACUAUUUGAUGAUAGUUCGGGUAGAAAGUUGAGAAAAUUGAAGGAAAGGUAUCAUUUAAAUCUUGAAUGAAGGAUUGGUGGCAUUGACCAACUUAAAGAGUCAAACAUAAUUAGAAAACUUGAUUAAGUUAAUUGUGGACUUGAUUAAUAUUUUCAAAACUUUCUAAUAUUUUCAAAAUUAUAAAUCAACCCACACCCAUCUCCUCUCCAAAUCAACUGUAUCUCUCCUCUCUCUGGACAUUUUUUCUCAACUCUCUCCCAAUCAAUAGUUCUGUAAAAAAAUUUUCUCUUCAAUCCCUGACAACUUCAACCUCCGACGACAAAUAGUUGAGUGAGUUCCUUUUCUACUUUCAACCAUCAAUUGAUGUGAUAGCAGUUCUCCGGCGACAACAACUUCAAAUUCUUCGUCGUCCCAUUUCUUCUUUCACAAUAAAAAAAUUAUGUCUUUUUAAUUAUGAAGAAAAAGAGGAACUUGAGCCAACUUCUGUUUUAGUAUUGGUUAACAAUUUCAAUAUUUCUUGCUUAAAUUUGAAAUGUGAACUGAAUAAAAUCCUAAUUCUCAUAUUUCUUCUCUACUCUUUUCGGCGUGAAAUAUAAUUUUUUGUAGUUAUUGUAGUUCUUGUUAUCAAACUGUUGAUUCUAUUUGUUGGUGUCUGUUGAGUUUUUUGAAGUUUAAUUUUUGUUGUUUGUGUUUGUACAAACACAAAACAACAAUGUUUAUGAUUUUUGAUCACCAUUGAUGUUCUUAGUGUAUGUGUUGUGUUGGUGUUGCUGGAUUAAUUAGUUGUUUUUCUUGGUAAAAAUGGUGUAUUUGAUAUUAAACGGUGAUAGUUCUAUUUUUCUAUCAAACAAAAAUUUUGUACUAUUUUUUUCUGCAAUAGAUGAACUAUCUGAUGCAACAAAUGAAAAUUUGAUGCAACUGAUGAAAACCUGAUGCAUCAAUGAAAAUCUUAUGCAACAGAUGAACAAUCUAACAGAUCAUUCAUCUAUUGCGACAAACGAGUCUUCUGUUUGGAAGAAAUCUAAAUAAUAAGGAUAAUAUAUAAUAGUUCAAACAGAUAACUCAUUUGGCAACAGAUGAGUGAUCUGUUUCAACAGAUAAGUGAUCUGCUUUUAUUGUUUCCAACGGAUUACUCAUCCUUUGCAACAGGUUAGUUAUAUGCUGCAAUAGAUAACCUACCUAGUGCAACAGAUGAGUGAUCUAUUUUUAUUGUUUCCAAUGGAUUACUCAUCUGUUGCAACAGGUUGGUCAUAUUUUGCAAUAGAUAACCUACCUAGUGCAACAGAUAAGUGAUCUAUCUCAACAGAUGAGUGAUCUUUUUAAUUAUUUCCAAUGGAUUACUCAUCCGUUUAACAGUUGAUUAUAUGUUGCAAUAGAUAACAUACCUGGUGUAACAGAUGAUUGAUCUAUUUCAAUAGAUGAGUGAUAUAUUUUUAUUGUUUCCAAUAGAUUACUCAUCCAUUGCAACAAGUUGGUUAUAUGCUGCAACAAAUAACCUACCUGGUGCAGCAUAUGUGUAGUUUAUUGGAACUGUUAUUUUACUAUUGUGCAUGUUAGCUUUAUUGUUAUCCCUUUUUAACGAUGCAUUAAUCAAUUAUAAUUUAUUUUAUGUUACUAUUAAUUUUAGAUAAUAUGGCUCCCAAAAGAAAAGAAACCGAAUCAAGUCCAAGUAUGGAACAAGUGAAGCAGCUAGGCUAUAUCUACCACUGUAUGAGCUUACUUUACAAGUGUUAUCUCAAUCAGGAGAAGAAGAUAAUGAACAUGGGGAGGAUGAAUAUUUCAAAAGAGAUGAUCCAAAUACUAAUAAUCCUUCCAUCGAAGAGUUGGUCAAAACUUUCAACAUUGAUAGUUAUCAUGUGAGAAUUCAGUGUGAUGGUGCCACAGAUUUAACUGGUGAUUUCAUGGUUAAGUCAACCUUGGAAAAAUAUUUUGAUCCAUUAAGAAAAAUACUUUGAGAACAAAAAUUGGAUGCUUAUUUCAGGGACAGCUAAUUUGGGCAAUAUCUUAAUUUUCCGGAGGUUAACAAUGUUCGUUUCCAAAUGAAAUUGGUAUAUGAUCUUCUCAAGCGUAUGUUUAUGCAUGAAAACAAAGAUAAGAUGGAUGAGGUGUGGAUAUAUUACAGUGGCAUGCCUGUUUGUUUUGGUUGGAGGUUUGCCAUAGUUACUGGAUUAAAAUGUUAUCCUCCUUCUGAUUCUCAAGUUAUACCUAUUCUAACCCCAAAAAACACCCCGCACACCUCAAAAGGCAAAGGCAAGUCGAGUGAUCGUGAUGACCUGGUGUCCCUUGUUUCUCCAAGCUUCAAAAACAUAAAUUUGAUAAAAGCGUUGAAAGGUAAAAGACUUUCAAAGAAGCACAAGCAAUCAUUGUGCUUGGUUAUUACAUAACAUUUUUUGGACGAGAGACGUUAACAACAACACAGCACUUGGUUUAAUAAAUCUCUCCGAGGAUCUUGAGGCAUUUAACAACUAUCCUUAGGGUUUUGAAAGCUUCAAAAUUACUGUCAAAUAUUUUUUGACUCCGUUAACGCCAAAGACAGUCAACUUAUAUGACUUUCCAUGGGCUUUAAUGGUAAAUAUUUCUUUUAUAAUGAUAUGAUUCAUAUUUUUAAUCAAUAAUGCUUUUGAUUUAUUAGCAUUAUUUUACAGGCUUGGGUGUUUGAAUUCAUUCCUUACUUAAGACAAUAAGUGAACUACCAGGAAGAAUUUUUCUAUCUAAGAAUCCUGAAAUGGUCGUCGGUCAAAACUGAUAAAAAUUUAAAACUUUUUUAUCUCUUCAACCCCCCGAAGAAAGAAGUAAGUCUAAUUCUAAUUAAGUUUUAAUUAAUGAUUUUUUGAAAUGAUUUCAUUAUCAUUCUAAUAUAUGUAUUGAUUUUCUUUAGAUUAUCUAUCUGUGGCUUGUUUCGACCAAUCGAGAAUUGAAGAUGCCAUUUUUUCUUACUUUAAGGUAUGUGCAAACUUUAUUGGACCCUAAGGUCAUUCAUAGAAUAAAAAAAGAAUUGUUUAGAGCAACAGUCAUCGCAAGAAAAAUAAUUCUGGAGGGUGGGCUUAUUGUUGUUGAUGAUGGUAGUGGUAGUGGUAGUGGUGCUUCCGUUGGGGCUAAUGAUGCUCCUCUUAUAGUUUUUGAAAAACCAAACCAUUAUGAUUAUGAUCAUAUUGGUCAUAUAGAUUUUGCCACUUCGAGUUAAUGUUCUGCAUGCAAAUGUUAAGAUUGCAAGGCGAAAUAUGAUGUAGCUAUUAAUGGUAUUAAUGCAUUAAUUGCUUCUGUAAAGAAAAUGACAUCUAAGAGGGGUGUAAUUCCAUCAAAGAGGAUUUCAUAUUCAUACACUCCACUAGAUAUCAAGGUGACUAAGAGGAGAAGGAAAGAAAUUUCCAAGGCAUAUCAAGCAUCGAAAAAAGUAAAUUUCAACUCCUCUGCCUUUGUCUUUCACCUUUGAUCAAUGUACAAGGGCCACAGGAGAGCAGCAUGAGAUGAAGAAGGCAAAUGUAUAUCAUCUGUUCCAAUAAACAAACAAACACAUAUUUGUUUCACCAGAUGAUACAUCUAUUAAAAAUUAUCAAAUAGAUAUAUACAUCUGUUGCAACUAUGGUCUAACCUAUUGCAUCAGAUGCGUUAUCUAUUACGAUAAUUGUCUUACCUAUUGCAUCAGAUGCGUUAUCUGUUACAACAUAUGUUCGUUUGUUUCAACAAAUCAAAUAGGUCUUUGUACUGUUUUAAUUUGUACCGACAGAUAAUUCAUAUGUUGCAGCAGAUGGGUCAUUUGUUCAAAAUUAUCGUACAACUUUGUUUUACCUAUUUGAAUUUAUCCUAACGUAUGAUCUAUCUGUUGCAACAAAUAGAUAAUCUAUUGUAUAUCUGUGAUUAGAAAUCUCAUUGAUAUUCUGGCUUUCUAGGUGGAUGUCACAGUAGAAGCUACUAUUGAACAACAUAAUAUCACAAUUGAUAAUCCAUCCACUGCUUUCAAGAAAGAAGAAAAAGUGGAGCCUGUCAGUUCAAGAGAAUGGAAGAAUGACUUGUUUAAAAGGUUUAACAUCUCGGACGAGGCUCCAAAAAACUAACAAAGUUCAUCAACGACUUUAGAAUGGAUUGCCAAUGGGCUGUUAAAGCAUCAUGCCGACAGGUACAUAAAUUAUUUUUAAAGAUAUUUAUUUAUACAAUUCUUGUUGUAAUAAUAUGAUAUUAACACAUAUAAAUCAUGUAAAAAAAAUGACGAACACUACAAAGUGAACGAAUCGAGUCUUGAUUUUGAUAUUUUCGACUUUGUUGUUGUACAUCCCGAAAUAAAGAAUUGAUUCUAUUUGAUGUUACAGCCCCAAACUUGCUGGAAUAAUUAGGUUUAAAUGUCAUACAUAUUACUAUUAAUUAAUACUUUAUUUAAUUGCAUCUGUGUAUUAAUUUUACUGUCACGUAAUCUGAAAUGCUUGAUAAUAUGUGCAGGACAUCAAUGUUAUUUUUUACUACCUUUAAAAGAAGGUCAAGGUGUAAACACAAGAACAAUAUUGAUACACGACAGACAAUUGUUUGUACAAAGUUUACAUAAAUAAUGUCUACGAUAGGUAUUGUCAAUAACAGCCGAAAGUUUUUUGAAAUGAGGAAUGCUUAAUCAACAUCAUCAAAGGUUUUAGCAUUUCAGCUAGCUUACCUUGGCAUUUGGUCGAUGAAGUGUACAUCCAAAUCAAUUAUGGUGAUGAAUUUCAUUGAGUGUUGGCUGUCAUCGUUCUAAAAGAAAGGCACAUCCGAGUUUAUGACUCGAUGUCGCGAAAGAGACAUUCUGGGCCAUCAUCUGAGAUACAAAAGCUGGCCAACAUAUUGCCUAUUAACUUGAUAUGAGUGGCUUUUUUAUCAAAAGGUUUGUACUAAUUGGUCGACGAUUGAAGCAUAUCGGGAUAAAAUGAGUAAUCCAUUUGAUGUAGAAAAUGUUGAAGGAAUUUCUCAACAACCAUUGGUAGUCUGUAAGUAUCAUGAUUUAUUUUCAUUUCAUAAAUUUUACAACGCUUACAUGAAUUGGAUUAUAUUUUUUUUAAAUACAGGGAUUGCGGUAUUUUUGUUGCCGCUUAUGCUGGGUAUUUGAGCAAUAGAUUACAAGUACCAAAUGAUGGACUUGAUGAGGGAUUACACCGCAAAAGAUAUCCUGCUCUUUUAUGGAAAUACGGAGAAGCAAAAGCGCAGAAACCAUAUGCAAGCGACAUUAAAGAUCCACGAUGACCAAAGCCGAAUUUAAUAGCACCGGAUAGAGAACAACUUAUCCAUAUUGAGUAGAUCUUUAUAGCUUGAGUCUGUCAAAUUAAUAACCUCUCCUUAGGAAUUGUUGGCACCAAAAUUUAAAUUGUUGUUUUAUUUGUAGAGCAGAUCAUCUGUACCCAUAAUAAUUUUUUUUACAUUUUAUUUAUUUAUUGAGUUAUUUCAUGUAAUUUAUGAAGGAUUGAUUUAUUUUAUGUUGUCUAUGAAUUUAAUUUAAUUGUUAGUUUUAAACUUAUUAAUUAAAAUGGAAUACUACAGCAAUAGAUAAUACAUCUUUGCAACAGAUGACAUAUCUGUUGGAAAUUAUCAAAGGGAUUUAGACAUAUAUUGCAACAUGUAGGUCAUUUGUUGAAAAUGAUCAAACAGGUCUUCCUACUAUUCUGAUUUGUUCUAUAGAUUACCUAUCAGUUGCAACAGAUAGACUAUAUGUUGCAACAGAUUGUAUAUCUAUUAUGACAGAUAGACAGAAAUAUCUGCAUAAUGCUAUGGAUGACUAACCAAUUAUAAUAGAUAAUAAAUUUUUCACAACAGAUAGACUAUAUGUUACAAUAGAUAGACAAUCUGUUUCAUCAUAAAAUAUUCAACUUUCGUCAAAUAUAAAAAAUUAUCACUACAUGUAAAGUGAAGUGGCUUUGAAUAAAAAAUUGUUAUGGUGUUUGUCUUUGUACAUCUUCUUCUUAAUACACAGGCUCCAAGCAUCUAGUUAGUACCUCAUAAGCCCAGAUAUCUUCCAUCUUUUCCAUAAUGCCAUCGCACAGAGCGGCUAUUUUUGUGCUGGCUAUUUUUCAUAAGCGCGUACGACCCUCACACGACAUCGAUUUUAUUUUUUUGAAGUUCUAUGUCCUUGUUUCGACUUUCAAAAUCUCAUAUUUUUAUCAUCAACACUUCCACUGGCAAAUGAUCCAUCAGUUUACUCUGCCUCAACAAGCUGGGGAACAACUCUAACAGUGGCUGCAUAUGGGUACAUAAAUGAAGUUAUCGAAGAUAGGUAAGUUGCAGUCAUAAACCUUAAUAUUUCCCUCCUCAAGUAGUAUCUCAACAACAAGAAAAUGUCUGGCUUUCAUAUUCAUGACUUUAAGAAUUCUCUUUGCCUUGGUCCAGCUCUUGUCAUGUGGAAAUAACCUUUUCUCUCUAAUAUAGUUAAUCAUAUCUUCAUCCCAUUCAAAUGUAGAAACUAACCAAUCAAAUCCCGGGCCACCGGGAGUGUCAGCUAGCCUACUAAGCUCAUUAUACCUAUUCUUAAAAUUAUUGUAGAAGUUGAGAUCCCUUAUCCUAUCGGCAGUAUCAUAACCAUCCGGGUACGUUAAUUGCAUGCCUCUCAUAAGGCAUAGAAUUUCAUCAACAUACUAUGAUAUAAGAAGAUAAUUUUUAAAUAGGUUAGUAAUUGUAAAGAAGAAAAACAUAGUGGAAAGAUGCAACGGAUGGUCCAUCUGUUGUAGAGGGUUCUCUGAAUCCCUUCACAAAUUACCCAGCUAACGUAACUUAUACAACAGAUGGGUAAUUUUUUGUAACAAAACCACCACUAGUUGCACCAGAAUACCCAACUGUUGUAACAGAUGACACAUCUGUUGUGUAGCUUCUUAUUCAUAGAGUAGAUUAGAAGGCUAGGUUAGGAAAAGUAAGCUUACCCAAUCCACGCACCGCUUACGCAUACUUGUUAUAUUCUUGAAGUCUUGGGUGUGAAAGACAUGCAUGGUGUAUUCUUGUGUAGGUUUCUUGGAAUUCGUGGUCCUUUACAGUUCCUUCUUCUAUUCGUUGUCAAGUGUCACGUAUAUUUCCACCUUCUUAAAUAGCCCUUGAACUUCAACAACUUUUGGAGUGGGAGGAGUUGCAUUUUUUUGUUUUCAGAUAGGAGAGUAUUUGGUUAAUUUUUCUUUUCUUCCUCCUAACUGCAAAUAUAGGAGUGUAUGUCUCCCUCACCUUCUUGGAUGGUAUGUGUAAGACCCCACAAAUCUUUCUAGUCGUUGAAGCUUGAAAAGAGGUUCCCGACUUAGAAUCUCCUAGCUAAGUAUUCAAACUUAGUGCUAUUUUGGCCUUCGAAAGUUAGCGUUCUUAUUUCAUGACCUUUACAUCCAUAAACUUUCGAUAUUUAAGUUAAUCCAUGAUCAGAAAGGUCAAUAGGGGUUCCCAGAUGAGUUUUGGAUUUUUCGAACCUCGAUUAGACCACGUUUGGAAUCCCAAAACGGUGGACCAAUGCAAUCUUGGUGUGCUACGUCACUAUCAUAUUGGUCAAUAUUAUUGCAGGAACUGCCAGUCAAAAGUACUGAGGCUUGGCGCGAUCACGACUCGACACGUUAGGUAUCACGUCGACCAGCGCGUCAGCACCCAGUUCCAGUCAUUAAAAUAGUCGCGACCCUAGGGUUAUUUCAGUUUUUUUUCCACUCUUAUAUAAGCCUAUAACACGAGAUUCAGCCGUUGUUUACCCACUUAUAUUAGUUUUCUCUCAAUUUUCCUUAAGAAUAAGUUUAGGGUUUCCCAUUGAAGAUCUAAAUUAAAGAAAAAUCCACCAUCUAUCUCUGUAAAAUCAAGAACUAAGGUAUGUUAGAUGUUGAUUCUUGGGUUCCUUCCACCCAAGAAGUUCAAGAACCCUUUUCAAAUUAUUAAUAUUGAAUAUUUAUGAUUUUCAUGAUUUAUGUGAGGUGAAGUUCAUGUUUAUAUGAUUGUUGAGUUGUUAUUCAUGUUCUAGGUUAAAGUUCCGAGAUUUGAUUCUAGUAUGAGAUGAAUUUCAUGAUAUUCAUGAUAUACCCUUCAAGUUGCAUGUUGAUUUAUGUAGUUAUGUUAAUUUGAUGGAUUGAUUGUUGCUUAACCAAAUUAUGCUCCCUAUAUGUUUGAUACAAUGCUUAUUUAAAUGAGAUAGUGUCAUUAUAGCAUGUUAGUAUGAAACCCCCAAUUACGUAUAAGUUAUUGCAUACCAAGUGUUUGUAGAAAAGCCUUAGCAAAUGAAAUAUGAGAUGUUAGCAUGAAAUCCCCAAUUAUGUACAAGUUGAUGUAUGUUAAGUGUUUGAUGAAAGACUUCAUUGGAUGAAUUAUGAGACAUUAGUGUGCAUUCCUAUGCAUGUGUGAGUUUAUAACUUUCAAGUGCUUGAAGAGAUGCCUCAUUGAUUGUACUGCGAAUGAUAGAUUAUUGUAUGCUAUUCAAGAACUGUCAUGUCUUAAUUAUUUUAUGUUAUCGAGUCCUGGGGUAUUUAAUACAUGAUAAUUUAGCUGUGUGCCUAGAGUUAGUGUCAGUUACAGUACUCUCAGUCAUAUCGAGAUCAGUAGUAUUCUCAUCCAGUUACAAAAUUUAGUAGAACUCAGUCAGUUACAUAACUUAAGAAAAUCCAGUAAGCUCAGUAUCAUUCCAAGUAUAGCUCAAGUAUUCAAUUUAGAUCUCAGCAGUAUUCAAGUAUUCAGUUUAGAACCCAGUAGAAUUCAGUUAGUUUAACAUUUUGUCAGUCAACGAAACUUAGUAAGCUUAGUUCAGCUCAGUUAAACAGUAUGAAUAGUAAUAGAUUUAGCUCAGUCUAGUACAAUCUAAGAAUCAGUUCAGCAUCUAUUCAGUUGGAAGUAGGACUCAGCACCGAGCGAGGGCAGGGAUGGCGAUUUCCCCGUUAGAGAGGCAAAGUCGUUAGUAGUAGUCCCUAUACUCCAGAACUGCGUAGCUAGCGUAGGAUGAGGAGUCACCCAUUAGAUUAAGGCUUGGCUACCUCCCAGGAGUCACCCAUUAUAUUAGGCUUGACUUUCUGUUUAGAUCACCUGUUAGAUAGGCUUGACCAUAGUAGAUAUCUUUACUCGUGGUACGGUACUGACACUCUUCCAGCUGGGGUUACAGGUUGGACCCCACUAGUUCAGAUUUGGACCAUGUCAGUUAGAUGACUACUUACCCCAGUCUCAAUUUCAGAUUCAGUCUCAGUAAUGGAAUGCAGAUCAGCAUUACAGAAAUUAGGACUGUCAGAUAUAGUAAUCAGCUCAGAAAAGAACUUAAACAGUUCUGAAGAUUUAGAGAUCACCCGUUAGAUAGGCUUGAUCUCAAAUUCAGUCAAUCAUAUUCAUUAUCAGUAGAUACAGAGAUCACCCAUUAAAUAGGCUUGAUCUCAGAUUUAGUCAAUAAGUAUCAGUAUCAGUAGAUUUAAGGAUCAUCCGCUAGAUAGGCUUGAUCUAAGAUUUCAGUGUUUGUAGAUUUAGUUAUCAGAAUUUAGUAUCAGUAAACUUAGAUAGCAGUUAUCAAUAAUCCAGUCAUUAGAAAUCAGUACUCAGCGUUACUACAAUUUCAGUUACACUUUAUGCAUUCAUGCAUGUAUCCUCAUUCAGCAUACUCAUGUAUUCAGUCAGUAUUGUUCAUACAUAUAAACCCUUCCAUUUAGCCUUACCUCAUCUAGCAUACUAGUAUAUUCUCAUGUAUUGACACAUACUUUUCUCUUGCGCUAUGGUGAUUUAUACCAUAGGUUCAGAAGCACGAGAUCUCAAGCAACCUUAGCAGUUCAGACUCAGCCAACAACAGUAGACAUAGCAGUGAGUCCUCAUUAUUUGAGGAUGUUAUAUUAUUUCAUUAUAUUACUAGACUUAGUAUUUUAGUAGACGGAGUUAGUUGGGGAAUUUUCCCAUCAACUCCACAGUUUAGACAGUUUAGAGGCUUUCAGACUAGAUUUUAAACAAUUGUAUUAGUAUUCAGUUUUCAAUUGUAUUUCAGUUUUUGAACCUUAUGGCAUGUUUCUUGCCAGUUUUCCAUAUUUUUACAGUAUAUCAUGCAGUGCUCAGUUACAGGUAUCAUUUAAGGGUUAGCUUGUGGUACUUCGAGAUUAUGAGUACCGUGUAGCGUCUGGGGUACCAUACUCGGGGCGUUACAGUAUGACACCCCUUUUGGAUUUCAAUUCCUAGGCAUCUUCAACGAUAGCCUCUAGUUUUACAAGGAUUUUAUCAUGUCUGUCUUUGCACACUUUGCAUUUGCAAUGAGAACAUAAGAGUAAAAAGGGGUGAGACAAACCACUAUAAGAGUGGGAGGGACCACCGUAUGGGUGAGAAGGACUGAUAUAAGGGUGAUUUCAAUAAUAUUUUUUUUAUGCAUCAAUAUGCUCAUCAUCAUGAUUGGCAGCAGCCUCAGCCUCAGGAUGACUUUCACCAACAUGAACAACUCCACCAGCAACACCUUCAGAAGAAGCACCCGAAUCUCUUACAGUAGGUUGGUCAUGAAGAGCCCCAACAUUAGGAUGACCUUGCCUAACUACUCUUCUUAUAGCUAUUUCUCCAGUCAAUUCCUUCUUUAUUAGAUCCACCAUUCAGUCUGCUAUUAUAUCAACAAGACUUAGAGUAAUAAAAGAAGUCAUUCCCAACUCCUGCUCAGUAGGCAGGAUCCAUGGAUUCAUAACCUAUAAAAUAAAGGCAGAUACAUUUAAAUCAUAUAAUAAUAAUUUAUAGUCAGUUAGGUUACAUGUUAACACAGAUAACUUAUGCAACAAAUGAUUUAUUCGUCGCAAUAGUUGAUCAUUCUGUUGUAAUAAAUUAAUAAUAUAUUGUAUCAGAUUACCCAUCUAUUACAUAAUUUAUAUUCAAUGAGCAAUCUAUUGAGUCGGGUUCAGAGAACCAGAGUAAUAUAUAGGUAAUCUGUUGCGAAAUAUGAAUCGUCUGUCACAAUAGAUUACCUAUCUGUUGCUCUAAUUGUAAUAGAUGGGAAAUAUAUUGCAAUAGAUGACCCAUCUAUCACAACAGAUAGAACAUUUAUUUUAAUAUUUUUCUUUGAGUCAAAUUAUUUUACUUGAAAGAAUACGUACUAUAUCAUCUGGAAGGUUAAAGAGAUCAGCCUCUUUAAUUCUUGUGCUGCUCUUUACAACCAACCACCUAAGGACCCUUGGAUGAGAAACCUCAUCCUGUAAUCCUUGACCUAAUUUUGGAGGAGAGGAAUGGCUUCAAAUGUCCAAGCCUAAAAUAAUUAAAUAGAAAGAAAGAAAAAAGAAAUUAUAAUAAUUAUUCAAUAUAAAUUAAUGGAUGAGUAAACAAAUAGUGAUUAAAUUUACCAUGAAAACCCAAGGAAAUCCAUAUAAUGUGAUCAUCUUUAGGGAUAGCUUUGUCAGUAAAUAUUUGAUAGUCAAGUUGUAGUUGUCAUAUCCCUAAGGAUAAUCAUUGAAUUUCUCAAAAUCCUCAGCAAGCGCUAACAAAUCAUCAUCUAUGACUUUGUUGACAUCUCUUGCCAAUAUAAUGGAAUGGGCAAACCAAACUAAGCAUUAUUGCUUCCUGUAAUACUUUGGUAUGGUUUAUCCUUGAGAUCUUCUAUCAAAUCUGCCGCUUUAUAGCUACGUCCAGCAAUUUCUAACAACCCGUCUAUUUUUUCUCGCGUUUGUUGGUUUUGGUGGGUGGUCUCUAGGUCAAUGCCUUCACUUUAUUUGAUGGUGGUGCUUUGGUUGUCCUACUUUCCUUGGACCUUUUGUAGGGUGUUUCCUUGAUGAGAGGUUUUGUUGGACGAUCGUAUCUCAAGCCUAUCACAAUGGCAAACUCUUUCAUGCAAAAACAAAUCGGCAUGUCAUAGCAGUUGAUCCAAAUAUCAUCCAUCUUUUUCCCUCAUUUGUCUAAUCUUUAUCAUCCCUCACAUACUUGAUCCUGCGCUUGAGAAGACCAUAUAUUAUGAUCAAUUAGAAACAGGCAGUGUGGUCCUCAGGCAGCUCAAGAAAGUAUCUAAAGUAGCUCUUCUUAAAAAGUCUGUCUAUGUUUUUAUUCUUCAUAAUAUUCCUAAAUUCAUCAAAAGAUUUCCCCAACUGACAUUUUAGUAUAAGAUCACCAGUUAGUUCUGCAGGGCCAUCUAUCGGCAUCGCAACUUGAUACCUAUCAAUACUAAUUAUUUUGAUACGAUCAUACUGGGAUUUCGAUCUUAAUUCAUGCUCCAUUAGUGAUGCAGUAUCAUCAUCUUGAUCAUCAUCCUCUUUCUCACUUGCUACUUUCUUCUCUUAUUGUUUAUCAUCAUGUUGAUUAUCAUUCUCUUUCUUAAUUUCUACUUCUUCCUCUUCUUGUUUAUCUUCUUCUUUCUCCUCACUUUUAUUUUACUCAACAGUCUCUAUAUACCCUUCCCUACCUCCUUUUUCAUAACUUUCCUCAGCUUUAUUUUUCCUUGAAUGAGAUUGUUCAGGAAGCUCCUCCGAAUCCAUCUGUACUCUAGCCUUUUUUGUUAGGGGGUCAGAAGUUGAUGCACUUUUAGUUUCUUUUAUUUUGGGAGACAUCUUUUCACUACAAACAACAACAAAAACAAAUACAUUACAUUUGAUGUCUACAUAAUUUUUUUAAAAAAAAAGAUAAGACAAAUUUUAAUAAAUUAUUAUACGCCACAUUACAAAAAAAAUAUUCCACCGGGUAACCCAUCAGUUGGAACAGAUGGGAAAUUUGUUUGAAGACCUAUUUAAUAUCUCCCAAUAGAUUUUCACCUGUUGCAAUAGGUGGACCCCUAAGACCACCACCAACACUAACACCAAUGCCACAAGACCACCAACACCUCCACCAAUACCACCAAUGCCACCAAUACCCAUACCAAGGACACCAAGACUGCCACCACCACACCCAAUGCCACUAAUACCACCACAAAGACCGCCAACACCACCACCAAGACAACAAAUACUGACACCACCAACAAUACCCUGAUAUCCAAUGAAAUCGUGUGUAAAAAACUAGAGUUUUCUUGGGUUCUUCCUGUGUUUUUAGCAUCAAAACUCAAAAUUGUUAACCCAUUCUCAAAGAUAAUACAACUAAAAGUCUUCUUUUUUAUCAUUAACUAAAAAUCCUAAUUUUUAGAAUAAAGAACAAAUGUAGAACUCUUCUCAAACUUUAUUACCUGUGAAGACAGAGAAAACAAUGGAUAGAAGCGAGAAUGAAGUCAAAAAUAACAACUGUGUGGUUAAAAGUGAGAAGAAAAUUGAUUUGUUUUGAAGGGUUGAGCAAUAUGUUGAGUAGUUGUUCUCUGUAUUGUUGAGAAAGAAAGGAAAGAGAGAGAACUCGGAUUUGAAAUGACGAAACAUUUUUCCCAUGAAUGGAUGAUUUUUAUGGGUUGAUUUGUAUUUUUGAAAAAGAAUGACAAGUUUUGAAAUUGUUAAUUUGGUCCAAAUUGAUCUUAAUAAUUUUUUAAAAUUUUAAAAGAUAUAAUUUUUAAUUGUCUCAUAAUAAUAAAGUGUAUUAAGUUCAACUGCAACACUGAUGAAUUUUAGGUAUAAACUUAAUAAUAGGUUAAUAAGAAUCAUUUUAACUCAGAGUGAUCGAUCGACGACUCGAGUCUGGUGGAAUGCCAUACCAACAUGAUGCAAUUGCAAAGACUCAAUUGAAGUUGUAGUUGACCCUAUAAUCUCAUCCCUAUUUAUAGCUAAAUCAAUUUAGGUAUUAGCUUAAUAACAGGUUAAUAAAACUCAUUUCAACUCAAAGUGAUCGAUCGACGACUUGGGUCAGGAGGAACCUAAUACCAACAUUAUGCAAUUGUAAAGACUCAAUUGAAGUUGUAGUUGACCCUAUCAACUCAUACCUAGUUCUAGAUAAAUAAAUUUAGAUAUUAUCGUAGUAAUAAGUUAAUAUGAAUUGUUUCAACUCAAAGUGAUCAAUCGAUAAUUCGGGUCGGAAGGAAUGCAAUACCAAUAUCAUGUAAUUGCAAAGACUCAAUUGAAGUUGUAGUUGACCCUAUCAACUCAUACCUAGUUUUAGAUAAAUCAAUUUAGAUAUUAUCUUAAUAAUAGGUUAAUAAGAAUCAUUUCAACUUAGAGUGAUCGAUCAACGACUCAGGUUAGGAGGAAGGCAAUACCAAUAUCAUGCAGUUGCAAAGACUCAAUUAAAGUUGUAGUUGACCCUAUCAACUCAUCCCUAGUUCUAGCAAAAUUAAUUUAGGUAUUAUAUUAAUAAUAUGUUAAUAAGAAUCAUUUCAACUCGAAGUGAUCGAUCGACGAUUGAGGUCGGGAGAAACGCAAUAACAACAUCACGCAAUUGCAAUGACUCCAUUGAUGUUAUAGUUGACCCUAUAAAAUUAUCCCUAGUUAUAGCUAAAUAAAUUUAGAUAUUAGAUUAAUAAUAAGUUAAUAUGAAUUGUUUCAACUCAGAGUGAUCGAUCAACCAUUGAGGUCGGGAGGAACGCAAUACCAUCAUUAUACAACUGUAAAGACUCAAUUAAAGUUGUAGUUGACCCUAUAAAUACAUUCCUAGUUCUAGAUAAAUCAAUUUAGUUAUUAGGUUAGUAAUAAGCUAAUAUGAAUUAUUUCAACUCAGAGUGAUUGAUCGAUGACUAAGAUCGGAAGGAACAAAAUACCAAUAUCAUGCAAUUGCAAAGACUCAUUUGAAGUUAUAGUUGACCCUAUCAACUCAUCCCUAAUUCUAGCUAAAUAAAUUUAGGUAUUAUAUUAAUAAUAGGUUAAUAAGAAUUGUUUCAACUCAGAGUGAUCGAUCAUAACUCGGGUCAGGAAAAACGCAAUACUAAUAUUAACAACUGCAAAGACUCAUUUGAAGAUGUAGUAGACCCUAUCAAUUCAUUCCUAGUUCUAGAUAAAUAAAUUUAGGAAUUAGAUUAAUAAUAGGUUAAUAAGAAUAAUUUCAAAUUAGAGUGAUCUAUCGAUGACUGAGGUCGGGAGGAACACAAUACUAACAUCAUAUAAUUGCAAAGACUCAAUUAAAGUUAUAGUUGACCCUAUCAACUCAUCCCUAGUUAUAGCUAACUUAAUUUAGGUAUUAUAUUAAUAAUAGGUUAAUAAGAAUCAUUUCAACUCAAAGUGAUUGAUCGAUGAAUCAGAUCGGGAGGAACACAAUACCAACAUCAUGCAAUUACAAAGACUCAAUUGAAGUUGUAGUUGACCCUAUCAACUCAUACCUAGUUUUAGAUAAAUUAAUUAUAUUGAAAUCUAUUGCAAUAGAUUAUUGAGUUGUUGGAAAUUUUCAAACAGAUAUUGAGAUUUGUUGUAACAGAUUACUCAUCUGUUUUAAUUAUCAAAUGGACGUUUACAUCUAUUGUGACAGAUGACUGAGUUGUUGGAAAUUUUCAAACGGAUAUUGAUAUCUGUUGUAACAGAUGACAUAUCUAUUUGAAAAUCUUGUUUUUUAAAUUUAAAGAAAUUUUUUUUUCCAAAAUAAAAAAAGAUAAAUUUCUAAGGCGGUAAAAACUAUUUCUUAGGUAACUCAAAAAUCUCCUCCUUUAGUAGUCUUAUCUUGUCUUUUCAAUGUCACCCGUCUCCUCAUGCCCCUAAAAUUUAUUAAUGAAUAUUAAUUAAUAUUUAAACUUAUCUCUAGAAUUAUCUCUUAUUCAACCGUAAAUUUAUUCAUCUCACUUCUUUUUCUUCCUCUUCUCUUUAGGGUUAUCACAAUCGCCUUUUUGUUCUCUAUUUUCUCUCCUCUUUAUCAUGAGGAUCCUUUUAAAUAUCAAUUGAUCUAUAUAUUUUUUUUGAUUAAAUAGUUUUUUUGAUACCCUUGCUUUUGACAUUGCUGAUAUGGUUCAUUAUUGCUCUUUCAUUCUCGUCUUCUUCUUUGCAAGUUAUCUAAAUUAGUUAUUUACAUCUAUUUUUUAAUUUAAUUAUCCUUUACCCAUAUCCUAUUUGUUUAAAAGUUUUGAAGGAAAGGUGACUUUUAAGUCUUCAAUGAACGAAUCGUUGUUUUUAUUAAAAUAUGCAAAAAAGUCAUUUGUUAGGAAAGUUUAAAAGCCUUGUUGGCAGUAUCAUUUUUUUAUAAGUAUUUUAUCUGUUUCUUUGUUGUUGAUGCUAUUAUUGAUGUUGUUGGUGGGGUUGGUAUUGUUGGAACAUGUGGUGUAGUGUUGUUGAUGGUGUUGGAACAAAUGGUGGUAUUUCUUUGUUGUUGAAGUUGCAAUAGACGAAGCAAAUGUUGGAAUAAAUCAAACCACAAGCAAGGAUGGUAUGAUGUAUUUCAUUAGAUUACAUAUCUGAUGUACCAAACUCCAUAUAUGUUGCAACAUAUGGGGAAUCUGUUGUCCAUCUAUUUCAAUAGACGGGGAAUCUGUUGCAAUAGAUGUGGAGUCUGUUGCAACAAAUGGUUAAUGUUAUUUUUGUUCUUCUCAUGUUUGACAUCAGUUGUUUUUCUCUUGUUUGUAGAUAUAAGAAAGUGUAAGUAGAUCAACUUUUGUCCGACCAACAAAAAAAGCUACAGUAAAGAUAGGUUUGGAGGAAUAAGUUGCUUGUAGAUGGAACCACUUCAUAUGUAGGAGGUAUGUAUUACUGAUCAUGUUAUCGUGAAAAUACACAUAGAGUACACUGAUUUUGUAAAUGUUGUUUUUUACCAAUUAGGCAUUGAUCAUUCAAAUAACAUAUCUGCAAUUUUAUAGUUAAGUUUGAUAGGUUUGAACUGAUAAGGCUGAGGGACCAUGAAUAUAUUUUUGAUACCUUAUUAAAAUUUAAUGUCAGUUGUUGUUCAGGUUUAUGUGUUAAGCUUUGUGAAGGGAUCAAGUUUUGGUGGCAUUGUAAAAAUAUUCAAUAGCGAUUAGACUAACUUUUAGGGUGCAUUGGACUUUGAGAGCGCCUUUGAAUCCUCCCAUUGCUUCAACUAAGAAUGAAAAUCAAUAUAGUUAUUGCUCUAGCCCAAAUUAUAUGGUUGGGUUGCUCAGGGUGAUGAUUAUACGCUAAAAAGUGCGGUAGGAGAAUACAUACGAGGAAAAAUGAGAGUUGAUGAAAGACUAUAUCAUCUGAGACCUAAUUGAAGAGGAAAUAUAGGAUAAGAGGGAACGUCUAGCAAAUAUGGCAGAUAAAACUGAAUUAGAACACAAGAAAUCUGAAUCAAGUGCAAAUAUGAAAGUGUAUCCAAAAAUGAAAAUCUAUCUAUUUUAUCUCUCAAAGAAUAAUAGUGCAGCUGGGCACUUUGCUAGGGAUUGCGACUAGCUAGCAUAGUUGGAAUAAUCACCUACAUAGAAAAUAGCAGAACACCAAGAAGGUAGCUUUGCGGGCACCGAGGGUUGAAAUGAUGUACAGUAAGUUAAGAAAACUUGUGCCAAGAAUAGCUGAAGUUAAAAUAAUGAAACUAAGCAAAGGCGACAAUUUUAAAUUGGAUCUCAUACCUUGUUGUUUGUGGUUUCGAUUAGGUCCACUGCUAUUGACCUGAUUGGAACCACAAACAAGCUUAAAACAUAGAUUGAGUAUCAUUAAUUCCUUAGCAAUAUGGAUAUAAUUUAUUGUGUUUUCUUGCCUUAACAUGCUUUCAACAUACCUUGGAAAAGAUCAAAGGCUUGUUGUAGCAUAUGAAUCUCGAUAAUUUUCAAGCUUGCCUCCAGUUUGCUGAUUUGGUCUUCAAGCUUGUCAUUGCCAUCUUUGAGGUUAUUGUAGAGUUCUUGGUAUUUUGUGAGAUCGUCAAUGAAGAACACUUUCUUUGGAGUUUUGGAAUUGUAAAAAGCCUUCAAAAGGCUUCCAGAACAUUUUAUUUAGGAUUCUUAAAUGAUAAAUGGAGGGUCGCUAUGUUUGUUUUAGGUCAACGGUUGAUGCACACUCAAGCAGUGGUCCCAACAGUUAAACAACUCACUUUCUCAUUGAACAACAUUCGAGAAAGUGAGUUGUUCAACUGUUGGGACCGCUGCUUGAGUGUGCUUCAUCACAGUGUGCUUCAUCACAUUGACCAAAAACAAACAUAGCAACCCUCCAUGUAUUAUUUAAGCCUUUUGAAGAAAGUGUCCUGGAAGCGUUCUAAUGGCUGUUUACAAUGCCAAAACUACUAAUAAAGUGCUCCUCAUUGACGAGCACACAAGAAACCAAUAACUCUACACUAACCUCAAAGAUGACAAUAACAAACUUGAAGACCGAUUCAGCAAGCUGGACGCAAGUUUGAAAAUUAUUGGGAUUUAUAUACUACAACAAGCCUCUUAUCUUCUCCAAGAUAUGUUGAAAGCAUGCUAAGGUAAGAAAACACAAUCAAUUAUAUUCAUAUAGCUAAGGAAUUAAUGAUUCUCAAUCUACCUUUUAAUUUUGUUUGUGGUUCCAAUCAGGUCAAUAGCAGUGGAGCUAAUCGGAACCAUAAACAACAAGGCAUGGGAUUCAAUUUAAAAUUGCUGCCUUCGCUUAGAUUCCUUAUUGUAACUUCAGCUAUUCUUGGCACAAGUUUUCUUGACUUACUGUACAUCAUUUCAACCCUCGGUGCCUGCAAAGCUACUUUCUUGGUGUUCUAUUAUUUUUUAUGUAGGUGACCAUUCUGACCAUGCUACCUAGUCGCAGAUCCCUAGAAAAGUGCCCAACUGCACUAUUUAUCUUUGUGAGAGACAACAGAUGAAUUUUUAUUACUGGAUACACUUUCAUAUUUGUACUUGAUUCAGAUUUCUCAUGUUCUAAUUCAGUUUCAUUGGCUAGAUUCACUAGAAGUUCCUUGCUACCUUAUGUUUCCUCUUUAAUUAGCUCUCAGAUUAUAUAGCCUUUCAUCAACUCCCCUUUUCCUUGCAGGUAUUCUCCUACGGCUCCUUCUACCAUAUAACCAUCUUCUUGAACAACCCAUCCACAUAAAUCUGUGCCUGGGGAAUUUUCAUUUCUUUUAGUUCUUGUUUGAUGCAGUACAAGGCUUCAAAGGCCUUUUCAAAGUCCAAUGCAUACUUAAAGUUGUGUCCAAUCGCUGUUGGAUCUCUGUACUGACACCAAAUAUUGAUCUCUUCUCUAAACUUGACACGCAUAAACAUGAUCAAAAGCCAUCAUUAAUUCAAAAUAGGGUAUCAGUACCAUAUUCAUGAGCCCCCUGGCCUUAUCAAUUCAAACCUAUCAAACUUAACUGUCAAUGCAGGAUCUUGUUCGAAUGAUUAAUGCCUAAUCAAUUAAAAGCUGCAUUCACAAAAUCAUUAUACUUUAUGUGUGUUGUUUCGAUAACCUUAUCAGUAAUACAUAACUCCCACACAUAAAAGUAGAUCCAUCUAUCUGCACACACCUUAUUCUUCCUAACCCAUCUAUGGCUUAAUUUGAAUAAACGGAUGACUAACCUGUUGCAAUAGAUGAUACAUCUGUUAAAAUUAUCAAACAAUUAUAGACAUCUGUUAUGACAGAUGAUCAAUCUGUUACAUCAUAUGACUUAUCUAUUGGAAAAAUCAAAUAAAUAUAUCCAUCUGUUGCAAUAUAUUGUCAAUAUGUUGUAAAUUAUCAAACAGAUAGAAUAUUUUUUGCAACAAAUUAUCCAUCUGUUAGAUUUAUUUUAAACCAAUUUUCUUUUCUUUCCGUAAUACAAUAAAGAUAAAAUAUUGUAUUUAGAUCCAUUUUUUAAAUUUACAUAUUCAAAAAAGUCACGAGUUUUAUUUAAUUAAGGGAUGUAAUUAUUAAAUAAGAGAUGAACAGUCGUGACAUUUUUACUAACCCAUUCGAAUUCAAUCCUUUAUAAAUAGGUCCCUCCUUACCCGUUCAUUCUACUCUACUUCAACAUAUGGCAGAUCCAGAUUUGUACAAGGUAAUUCAUCUCAAGUCCUUGCGGGAACUUGAAAGGAAAAUUCAUAAACUCCAGAGGGAGUUGGGCGACUUCAGAGCAAGGCUGAGGAGGGCCCUGCUGCUGCCGGAUGACAAUUGGCCAGUUGACAAUAAUAAUAAUAAUAAUAAUAAUAAUAAUUAGGUUAUGUUUUUUCUUUUAGCGUAUGUGUUUUCUUUUUUAUAUCGAAUCUACCUAAGGAUAUGUUUUUUUAUUGCAUAUAUUUGUAUAUAAUGGAUUCAAAAAUCUCUGUUUGGUAAACUUUGGAUUUUUAAUUCUUAAUUAAUAUCUAAUUUUCUUUUUGUCUAUUUCUUAUUCUCAACAUGUUGACAAGUGGAGGUAGGGAUUGAGCGUUUAUGGCAACGGAUGGACCAUAUGUUACAACAGAUGGUUAAUCUAUUGUGACAGAUGGAUCAUAUGUUGCAAUAAACGGUUAUUAAUAAAAAAGAAUUAUUGUUACUAAGAGGGUGAAAAGUCAUGACUUUUCAAUUAUUUAAUAUAAAAAAUGAUUCGUAAAUAAAUGAUAAGGAAAUAAAUGAUAAAUAUAAUUUAUAACCAUAAAAGAACAGUUAUUUAAUAUUUAAUAAUUGAUCGUGACUUUUCACCAUUGUUGUUUUUAAAUCUAUUUUUAAAUUUAUUUAUUUAUUAUAUAAUAAAAAAGGUAAACAAUCGUGAUUUUUUGUCUAACACAUUCAAAACAGCUCAUGAAUCAAAUUCCCCAUCCAGUGCGACUGAUGAAUCAGCUGUUAGAAGAAAUAAAAAAAGCUCCUUCAACAGAUGGUUGAUUUGUUGCAACAGAUGGUAUAUCUGUUGUCAUAGAUGGGUUAUCUGAUACAACAAAUAUACAAUCUGUUGCAACAACUCAAUAAAAAUAUUUAUUAUUUUAUUAAAAGAAAUGGUUAUUGAAUAGGUGAGAAGUCUUCGAUUAUUUAAUUGAGAAAAAGGUUAUUUAAAUUUAAGAACUAAUUAAUAAUAAUAAGCUGAAAAGUCAUGACUUGUCACAAUAAUAAAAAAAUCACCAGUUUGAUUUGAUUAAGUCAUUUCUUUUCACAGAAAGCAAUAAGAAAAUAAAUGGUAAACACAAUUUAUAACCGUAAAAAAAUGGUUAGUUAAUUUGAAUAAUUGAUGUUAAUAUUAAAUAAGCAACAAGUAGUGACUUUUCACCAUUUUUGUUUUUAAAUCUAUAUUUUAAUUUAUAUAAUAAAACAGUCACCAAUUUGGAUUAAUGAAAGUGUAUGAUAUGAUUAUUAUUAAGAAAGAUAGAUUAUAUGUUGCAACAGAUUGAUUAUAUGUUGCAACAAAUAGAUUAUCUGAUGCAACAGAUGGUCGAUUUGUUGCAACAGAUAGUAUAUUGAUUAUAUUUAUACACUCUAACAAACGACUUCUACAUUUCAAUGGAAGGAACAUAUACAAAAGUAAAGUUCGAUAAAAUAUUUAUAGAAGUAUGUUUUAUCGCGUUCUCAAAGUUAAAUAACUUAAAUUGAUACGAUGGAUGGUAACUUAUAAUUAUUUUUUUAUAUAAUUUUUGAAAUACUUAAAAUUUAAAUUUAAAACAUGAAUUUAAUUUAGCUUCAAAGAACAAGUUGAAAAAUUGAUAAAAGAAUGACCAAGAACACAUGAAAUCACACACAAAAAACAAGCCACAAGUUCAAGAGCCGAGGAUCCCUUUGGUGACCAACUCUCGGAUUCAACAAACAAUCAACAAAACGAGAUGACAAGGGUGUUAACACACAAAAAAAACACCAACCACACUAAGUUAAAACACAAUAUGAUGAACAAGAUAACAAUAACAACAAUGUGGUAACAAUAACAGCACCUCACGGGUUGGAGUACAAUUACAACAAACAAAUGAUUUCAACAUAAAAAAAGGGAUAGAUAGUUAGACAAGUGAAGGUAUAAUAUUAAGAACCUAAGACUUUGGUGGACUAUUGGACCCUUAAUACUACACACGACAAACACCUAACUCAUGCAUUGACACAAGAGGGACUUUACCUCCCCUAAACACCAACGUAUCAAGCCAACAUGCAACACAAGUGAUAUCCGUACUUGUUGCCCUCAUUUCGGUUUGGUGGCUAUUAAGGCCCUAUAACUAAAGGUGUUACCAUGUUCCAAGUCUUACAUCCAUGAACAACUAAGAAAAUAAUCCCUAAAAGGUUCUACAUAUAGUAUAUUAUAAAAAAGACAAAAUGACUACACUACCCUUAAUUAGAGGGGAGGCCAUGGAGUGCAUUUUGGGUAAAGUGGAGAGACAAAAAUGCCCUCAAUGAAGAUGGCCCAAAACCGUGAGCCAUUAAGUGUUCAAAACCGUGAAUCCUCAAGUCUUCAAUGCUCCAAGCAAUCUUCCACUCAUGGCCUUGAUAAAUGGUACGCUCAAUUAGUGAUGCAUUAUCAUCAUCUUGAUCAUCAUCCUCUUUCUCACUUUUUACUUCCUCCUUUUCUUGUUUAUCAUCAUGUUGAUUAUCGUCCUCUUUCUCACUUUCUACUUCUUCCUCUUCUUGUUUAUCUUCUUCUUUCUCCUCACUUUUAUUUUACUCAGUAGCCUCUAUAUACCCUUCUCCACCUCAUUUUUCAUAACUUUCCUCAGCUUUCAUAUCCCCUGAAUGAGAUUGUUCAGGAAGCUCCUCUGAAUCUAUCUGUACUCUAGCCUUUUUUGUUGGGUGGUCAGAAGUUGAUGCACUUUUAGUUUCUUUUCUUUUGGGAGACAUCUUUUCACUACAAACAACAAAAAAACAAAAAAUACAUUACAUUUGAUGUCUACAUAAUUUUUUUUAAAAAAAGGUAAGACAAAUUUCAAUAAAUUAUUAUACGCCACAUUACAAAAAAAUAUUCCAACGGGUAACCCAUCAGUUGGAAUAGAUGGAGAAUUUGUUUAAAGACCUAUUUAAUAUCUCCCAAUAGAUUUCCACCUGUUGCAAUAGAUAGACCCUCAAGACAACCGCCAACACUAACACCAAUGCCACAAGACCACCAAGACCACCACCAAUACCACAAUGCCACCAAUACCUAUACCAAGGACACCAAGACCACCACCACCACCACCGAUGCCACUAAUACCACCACCAAGACCGUCGAUGCCACCACCAAUACCGAAACCACCAACAAUACCACAAACACCGUCCAACAAUACCCUGACAGCCAAUGAAAUCGUGUGCCAAAAACUAGAGUUUUCUUGGCUUCUUUCUGUGUUUUUAGCAUCAAAACUUAAAAUUGUUAACCCAUUCUCAAAGAUAAUACAACUAAAAGUCUUCUUUUUCAUCAUUAACUAAAAAUUUUAAUUUUUAGAAUAAAGAACAAAUGUAGAACUCUUCUCAAACUUUAUUACCUGUGAAGAAAGAGAAAACAACAGAUAGAAGCGAGAAUGAAGUCGAAAAUAACAACUAUGUGGUUGAAAGUGAGAAGAAAAUUGAUUCGUUUUGAAGGGUUGAGCAAUAUAUUGAGUGGUUGUUCUCUGUAUUGUUGAGAAAGAAAGGAAAGAGCGAGAACUCAAGAUUUGAAAUGACGAAACAUUUUUCCCGUGAAUGGAUGAUUUUUAUGGGUUUAUUUGUAUUUUUGGAAAAGAAUGACAAGUUUUGAAAUUGUUAAUUUGGUCCAAAUUGUUCUUAAUUAUUUUUUAAAGUUUUAAAAGAUAUAAUUUUUAACCGUCUCAUAAUAAUAAAGUGUAUUAAGUUGAAAUGAAACACUGAUGAAUUUUAGGUAUUAGCUUAAUAAUAGGUUAAUAAGAAUCGUUUUAACUCAGAGUGAUCGAUCGAUGACUCGAGUUUGGAGGAAUGUCAUACCAACAUCAUGCAAUCGCAAAGACUAAAUUGAAGUUGUAGUUGACCUUAUAAUAUCAUCCAUAUUUAUAGCUAAAUAAAUUUAGGUAUUAGCUUAAUAACAGGUUAAUAAGACUCAUUUCAACUCAAAGUGAUCGAUCGAUGACUCGGGUCGGGAGGAACUUAAUACCAACAUUAAGCAAUUGCAAAGACUCAAUUGAAGUUGUAGUUGACCCUAUCAACUCAUCCCUAGUUCUAGAUAAAUAAAUUUAGAUAUUAGCUUGAUAAUAAAUUAAUAUGAAUUGUUUCAACUCAGAGUGAUAGAUCGAUGAUUCGGGUCGGGAGGAACGCAAUACCAACAUUAUGCAAUUGCAAAGACUCAAUUGAAGUUGUAGUUGACCCUAUCAACUCAUACCUUGUUCUAGAUAAAUCAAUUUAGGUAUUAUCUUAAUAGUAGGUUAAUAAGAAUCAUUCCAACUUAGAAUGAUCGAUCGACGACUCAGUUCGGGAGGAACGCAAUAACAACAUCAUGCAAUUGCAAAGACUCAAUUGAAGUUAUAGUUGACCCUAUAAAUACAUUCCUAGUUCUAGAUAAAUCAAUUUAGUUAUUAGCUUAGUAAUAAGUUAAUAUGAAUUGUUUCAACUCAGAGUGAUCGAUCGACCAUUGAGGUCGGGAGAAACGCAAUACCAUCAUCAUACAACUGUAAAGACUCAAUUAAAGUUGAAGUUGACCCUAUAAAUACAUUCCUAGUUCUAGAUAAAUCAAUUUAGUUAUUAGCUUAGUAAUAAGUUAAUAUGAAUUGUUUCAACUCAGAGUGAUCGAUCGACCAUUGAGGUCGGGAGAAACGCAAUACCAUCAUCAUACAACUGUAAAGACUCAAUUAAAGUUGAAGUUGACCCUAUAAAUACAUUCCUAGUUCUAGAUAAAUCAAUUUAGUUAUUAGCUUAGUAAUAAGUUAAUAUGAAUUGUUUCAACUCAGAGUGAUCGAUCGACAACUCGGGUCAGGAGGAACGCAAUACUAACAUUAUACAACUGCAAAGACUCAAUUAAAGAUGUAGUAGAGCCUAUCAAUUCAUCCCUAGUUCUAGAUAAAUCAAUUUAGGAAUUAGCUUAAUAAUAGGUUAAUAAGAAUUAUUUCAAAUCAGAGUGAUCUAUCAACGACUGAGGUCGGGAGGAACACAAUACUAAUAUCAUAUAACUGCAAAGACUUAAUUAAAGUUAUAGUUUACCCUAUCAACUCAUCCUUAGUUCUAACUAACUUAAUUUAGCUAUUAGCUUAAUAAUAGGUUAAUAAGAAUCAUUUCAACUCAAAGUGAUUGAUCGAUGACUCAGAUCGGGAGGAACACAACACCAACAUCAUACAAUUACAAAGACUCAAUUGAAGUUGUAGUUGACCCUAUCAACUCAUACCUAGUUUUAGAUAGAUCAAUUAUAUUGAAAUCUAUUGCAAUAGAUGAUUGAGUUAUUGGAAAUUUUCAAAAAGAUAUUGAGAUUUGUUGCAACAGAUUACUCAUCUGUUUUAAUUAUCAAAUAGACAUUUACAUCUGUUGUGACAGAUGACUGAGUUGUUGAAAAUUUUCAAACGGAUAUUGAUAUCUGUUGCAACAGAUGACAUAUCUAUUUGAAAAUCUUGUUUUUUAAAUUUAAAGAAUUUUUUUUCGAAAUAAAAAAGAUAAAUUUCUAAGGCGGUAAAAAAAAAUUUCUUAGGUAACUCAAAAAUCUCCUCCUUUAGUAGUCUUAUCUUGUCUUUUCAAUGUCACCCGUCUCCUCGUGCCCCUUAAAUUUAUUAAUGAAUAUUAAUUAAUAUUUAAAAUCAUCUCUAGAAUUAUCUCUCCUUCAGCCAUAAAUUUAUUCAUCUCACUUCUUUUUCUUCCUCUCCUCUUUAGGAUUAUCACAACCGCCUUAUUUUUAUUCUCUCUUUUCUCUCCUCUUUAUCAUGAGGAUCCUUUUAAAUCUUAAUUGAUCUAUAUCUUUUUUCGAUUAAAAUAGUUGUUUUGAUACCCUUGCUUUUGACAUUGUUGGUAUGGUUCAUUAUUGCUCUUUCAUUCUCAUUUUCUUCUUUUCAAGUAAUUUAAAUUAGUUAUUUACAUGUAUUGUUAAUUUAAUUAUCCUUUACCCAUAUCCUAUUUAUUUAAAAAAUUUGAAGGAAAGGUGAUUUUUAAGUCUUCAAUGAAAGAAUCGUUAUUUUUAUUAAAAUAUGCAAAAAAAAAAAGUCAUCUGUUGGGAAAGUUUAAAAGCCUUGUUGGCAGUAUCAUUUUUUUAUAAGUAUUUUAUCUGUUUCUUUGUUGUUGAUGCUAUUAUUGAUGUUGUUGGUGGGGUUGGUAUUGGUGGAACGUGUGGUGUAGUGUUGUUGAUGGUGUUGGAACAAAUAGUGGUAUUUCUUUGUUGUUGAUGUUGCAAUAGAUGGAGCAAAUGUUGGAAUAAAUCAAACCACAAGCAAGGCUGGUAUGAGGUAUUUCAUUAGAUUACAUAUCUAUUGUAACAAACUCCAUAUAUGUUGCAACAUAUUGGGAAUUUAUUGUCCAUCUGUUUCAAUAGAUGGGGAAUCUGUUGCAAUAGAUGUGAAGUCUAUUGCAACAAAUGGGUAAUGUUAUUUUUGUUCUUCUCAUGUUUGACAUCAGUUGUUUUUCUCUUGUUUGUAGUUAUAAGGAAGUGUAAGUAGAUCAACUGUUGUCCGACCAACAAAAAAGGCUACAGUAAAGAUAGGUUUGGAGGAAUAAGUUGCUUGUAGAUGGAAUUACUUCAUAUGUAGGAGGUGUGCAUUACUGAUCAUGUUAUCGUGAAAACACACAUAGAGUACAUUGAUUUUGUAAAUGUUGUUUUUUACCAAUUAGGCAUUGAUCAUUCAAACCAUAUAUCUGCAAUUUUAAGGUUAAGUUUGAUAGGUCCGAACUGAUAAGGCUGAGGGACCAUGAAUAUGGUUUUGAUACCCUAUUAAAAUUUAAUGUCGGUUGUUGUUCAGGUUUAUGUGUUAAGCUUUGUGAAGGGAUCAAAUUUUGGCGGCAUUGUAAAAAGAUUCGAUUGCGAUUAUACUAACUUUUAGGGUGCAUUGGACUCUGAGAGCAACUUCGAAGCCUCCCAUUGCUUCAAAUAAGAAUAAAAAUCAAUAUAGUUAUUGCUCUAGCCCAAAUUUAUAUGGUUGGGUUGCUCAGGGUGAUGAUUAUCGCUAGAAGAUACGGCAGGAGAAUACAUACGAGGAAAAAUGAGAGUUGAUGAAAGGCUAUAUCAUCUGAGAACUAAUUGAAAAGGAAACAUAGGAUAGGAGGGAACUUAUAGCAAAUAUGGUAGAUAAAACUAAAUUAGAACACAAGAAAUCUAAAUCAAGUGCAAAUAUAAAAGUGUAUCCAAAAAUGAAAAUCUAUAUAUUUUUUCUCUCAAAGAAUAAUAGUACAGCUGGGUACUUUGCUAGGGAGCUGCAACUAGCUAGCAUGGUCGGAAUGAUCACCUACAUAGAAAAUAGCAGAACACCAAGAAAGUAUCUUUGCGGUCACCGAGGGUUGAAAUGAUGUACAGUAAGUUAAGAAAACUUGUGCCAAGAAUAGCUAAAGUUAAAAUAAUGAAACUAAGCAAAGGCGACAAUUUUAAAUUGGAUCUCAUACCUUGUUUUUUGUGGUUCCGAUUAGAUCUACUGCUAUUGACCUGAUUGGAACCACAAACAAGCUUGAAACAUAGAUUGAGUAUCAUUAAUUCCUUAGCAAUAUGAAUAUAAUUUAUUGUGUUUUCUUGCCUUAUCAUGCUUUCACCAUAUCUUGGAGAAGAUCAAAGGCUUGCUGUAGUAUGUGAAUCUCGAUAAUUUUCAAGUUUGCCUUCUUUAACUUGCUGAUUUGGUCUUUAAGCUUGUCAUUGCCAUCUUUGAGGUUAUUGUAGUGUUCUUGGUAUUUUGUGAGCUCGUCAAUGAAGAACACUUUCUUUAGAGUUGUGGCAUUGUAAAAAGCCUUCAAAAGGCUUCCAGACCAUUUUCUUUAGGAUGCUUAAAUGAUAAAUGGAGGGUCUCUAUGUUUGUUUUAGGUCAACAGUUGAUGCACACUCAAGCAGUGGUCCCAACAGUUAAACAACUCACUUUCUCAUUGAACAACAUUCAAGAAAGUGAGUUUUUCAACUAUUGGGACCGCUGCUUGAGUGUGUUUUAUCACGUUGACCAAAAACAAACAUAGCAACCCUCCAUGUAUCAUUUAAGCCUUUUGAAGAAAGUGUCUUGGAAGCCUUUUAAAGGCCGUUUACAAUGCCAAAACUACUAAUAAAGUUAUCUUUAUUGACAAGCACACAAAAACCAAUAACUCUAUACUAACCUCAAAGACGACAAUAACAAACUUGAAGACCGAUUCAGCAAGCUUGAAAAUUAUUAGGAUUUAUAUACUACAACAAGCCUCUGAUCCUCUCCAAGAUAUGUUGAAAGCAUGCUAAGGUAAGAAAACAUAAUCAAUUAUAUUCAUAUAGCUAAGAAAGUAAUGAUACUCAAUCUACCUUUUAAUUUUGUUUGUGGUUCCAAUCAGGUCAAUAGCAGUGGAGCUAAUCGGAACCAUAAACAACAAGGCAUGGGAUUCAAUUUAAAAUUGCCGCCUUCGCUUAGAUUCCUUAUUGUAACUUCAGCUAUUCUUGGCAUAAGUUUUCUUGACUUACUGUACAUCAUUUUAACCCUCGGUGCCUGCAAAGCUACUUUCUUGGUGUUCUACUAUUUUUUAUGCAGGUGAUCAUUCUGACCACGCUACCUAGUCACAUAUCCCUAGAAAAAUGCCUAGCUGUACUAUUUAUCUUUGUGAGAGACAACAGAUGAAUUUUCAUUACUGUAUACACUUUCAUAUUUGCACUUGAUUUAGAUUUCUCAUGUUCUAAUUCAGUUUCAUCGGCUAGAUUCGCUAGAAGUUCCUUGCUACCUUAUGUUUCCUAUUUAAUUAGCUCUCAGAUGAUAUAGCCUUUCAUCAACUCCCCUUUUCCUUGCAGGUAUUCUCCUAUGGCUCCUUCUGCCAUAUAAUCAUCUUCUCGAAUAACCUAUCCAUAUAAAUAUAUGCCAGGGGAAUUUUUAUUGCUUUUAGUUCUUUUUUGAUACAGUGCAAGUCUUAAAAGGCCUUUUCAAAGUCCAAUGUAUACUUAAAGUUGAGUCCAAUUGCUAUUAGAUCUCUACACUUACACCAAAUAUUUAUCUCUUCUCUAAAAUUGACACGCAUAAACAUGAGCAACAACCAUCAUUAAUUCGAAAUAGGGUAUCAGUUCCAUAUUCAUGAGCCUCACGGCCUUAUAUAUUCGAACCAAUCAAACUUAACUGUCAAUGCAGGAUCUUGUUUGAAUGAUCAAUGCCUAAUCAAUUAAAACUGCAUUCACAAAAUCAUUAUACUUUAUGUGUGUUGUUUCAAUGACCUUAUUAGUAAUACAUAACUCCCACACGUAAAAGUGGAUCCAUCUAUCUGCACACACCUUAUUCUUCCUAGCCCAUCUAUGGCUUAAUUUGAAUAAACAGAUGACUAACCUAUUGCAAUAGAUGACACAUCUGUUAAAAUUAUCAAACAAUUAUAGACAUCUUUAUGACAGAUGAUCAAUCUGUUACAUCAUAUGACUUAUCUAUUGGAAAAAUCAAAUAGAUAUAUCCAUCUGUUGCAACAGAUUGUCAAUAUGUUGUAAAUUAACAAACAGAUAGAAUAUUUUUUGCAACAAAUUACCCAUUUGUUAGAUUUAUUUUAAACCAAUUUUCUUUUCUUUUCGAAAUAAAAUAAAGAUAAAAUAUUGUAUUUAGAUCUGUUUUUUAAAUUUACAUAUUCAAAAAAGUCACCAUUUUUAUUUAAUUAAGGGAUGUAAUUAUUAAAUAAGAGAUGAACAGUUGCAACAUUUUUACCAACCCAUUCGAAUUAAAUCCUUUAUAAAUAGGUCCCUCCUUACUCAUUCAUUCUACUCUACUUCAACAUAUGGCCGAUCCAUAUUUGUACAAGGUGAUUCAUCUCGAGUCCUUGCGGGAACUUGAAAGGAAAAUUCAUAAACUCCAGAGGGAGUUGGGCGACUUCAGAGCAAGGCUGAGGAGGGCCCUGCUAGUGCCGAAUGACAAUUGGUCAGUUAACAAUAAUACUAAUACUAAUAAUAAUAAUAAUAAUAAUAAUAAUAAUAAUAAUAAUAAUAAUAAUAAUAAUAAUAGUAGUAGUAGUAGUAGUAGUAGUAGUAGUAGUAAUAAUAAUUAGGUUAUGUUUUUCUUUUAGUAUAUGUGUUUUCUUUUUUAUAUCGAAUCUACCUAAGGAUAUGUUUUUUUACUGCAUAUAUUUGUAUAUAAUGGAUUCAAAAAUCUCUAUUUGGUAGACUUUGGAUUUUUAAUUCUUAUUUAAUAUCUAAUUUUUAUCUUGUCUAUUUCUUAUUCUCAACAUCUCGAUAAUUGGAGGUAGGGAUUGAGCGUUUAUGGCAACGGAUGGACCAUAUGUUACAACAGAUGGUUAAUCUAUUGUGACAGAUGGAUCAUAUGUUGCAACAGACGGUUAUUAAUAAAAAAAAGGGUUAUUGUUACUAAGAGGGUGAAAAGUCAUGACUUUUCAAUUAUUUAAUAUGAAAAAUAGUUCGUAAGUAAAUAAUAAGGAAAUAAAUGAUAAAUAUAAUUUAUAACCAUAAAAGAACAGUUAUUUAAUUUUAAUAAUUGAUCGUGACUUUUCACCAUUGUUGUUUUUAAAUAAAUUUUUUAAUUAUUUUAUUUAUUAUAUAAUAAAAAAGGUGAACAAUCGUGAUUUUUUGUCUAAAACAUUCAAAACAGCUCAUGAAUCAAAUUCCCCAUCCAGUGCGACUGAUGAAUUAGCUGUUAGAAGAAAUAAAAAAAAGCUCAUUCAACAGAUGGUAAAUUUGUUGCAAAAGAUGGUAUAUCUAUUGUCACAGAUGGGUUAUCUGAUACAACAAAUAUACAAUCUGUUGCAACAACUCAAUAAAAAUAUUUAUUAUUUUAUUAAAAGAAAUGGUUAUUGAAUAGGUGAGAAGUCUUCGAUUAUUUAAUUGAGAAAAAGGUUAUUUAAAUUUAAGAACUAAUUAAUAAUAAUAAGCUGAAAAGUCAUGACUUGUCACAAUAAUAAAAAAAUCACCAGUUUGAUUUGAUUAAGUCAUUUCUUUUCACAGAAAGCAAUAAGAAAAUAAAUGGUAAACACAAUUUAUAACCGUAAAAAAAUGGUUAGUUAAUUUGAAUAAUUGAUGUUAAUAUUAAAUAAGCAACAAGUAGUGACUUUUCACCAUUUUUGUUUUUAAAUCUAUAUUUUAAUUUAUAUAAUAAAAUAGUCACCAAUUUGGAUUAAUGAAAGUGUAUGAUAUGAUGAUUAUUAAGAAAAAUAGAUUAUAUGUUGCAACAGAUUGAUUAUAUGUUGCAACAAAUAGAUUAUCUGAUGCAACAAAUGGUUGAUUUGCUGCAACAGAUAGUAUAUUGAUUAUAUUUAUACACUCUGACAAACGACUUCUACGUUUCAAUGGAAGGAACAUAUAGAAAAGCAAAGUUCGAUAAAACAUUUACAGAAGUAUGUUUUAUCGCGUUCUCAAAGUCAAAUAACUUAAAUUGAUAUGAUGGAUGGUAACUUAUAAUUAUUUUUUUAUAUAAUUUUUGAAAUACUUAAAAUUUAAAUUUAAAACAUGAAUUUAAUUUAGCUUCAAAGAACAAGUUGAAAAAUUGAUAAAAGAAUGACCAAGAACACAUGAAAUCACACACAAAAAACAAGCCACAAGUUCAAGAGCCGAGGAUCCCUUUGGUGACCAACUCUCGGAUUCAACAAACAAUCAACAAAACGAGAUGACAAGGGUGUUAACACACAAAAAAAAAACCAACCACACUAAGUUAAAACACAAUAUGAUGAACAAGAUAACAAUAACAACAAUGCGGUAACAAUAACAGCACCUCACGGGUUGGAGUACAAUUACAAAAAACAAACGAUUACAACACAAAAAAAGAGAUAGAUAGUUAGACAAGUGAAGGUAUAAUCUUAAGAACCUAAGACUUUGGUGGACUCUUGGACCCUUAACACUACACACGACAAACACCUAACUCCUACGUUGACACAAGAGGAACUUUACCUCCUCUAAACACCAACAUAUCAAGCCAACAUUGCAACAUAAGUGAUAUCCAUACUUGUUGCCCUCAUUUUGGUUUGGUGGCUAUUCAAGGCCCUAUAACUAAAGGUGUUACCAUGUUCCAAGUCUUACAUCCAUGAACAACUAAGAAAAUAAUCCAUAAAAUGUUCUACUUAUAAUAUAUUAUAAAAGAAGACAAAAUGACUACACUACCCUUAAUGAGAGGGGAGGCCAUGAAGUGCAUUUUGGAAAAAGUGGAGAGACAAAAAUGCCCUCAAUGAAGAUGGCCCAAAACCAUGAGCCAUUAAGUGUUCAAAACCGUGAAUCCUCAAGUCUUCAAUGCUCCAAGCAAUCUUCCACUCAUGGCCUUGAUAAAUGGUACGCUCAAUGGUAGGCUAAAAAUAGGUCUUCCUAGCAUAUUCUUGUGCCCUCGGGGUGACCAAGUCUUAAGCCUUUAAGUGAUGGUCUCCAAUCAUGUCUUCAAAAACUAGGGUGGCCAUUUGACUUAUAUCAUUCUCCCCUAACAUCCUUUGCUUUAAUCACGAGGGACUUAGCAAAAAUAUUACAAAGAAGUUGGAAAAAAGAAUCACCAUCAAGGGAAGAUGCCCUAAUUAAAAAUAAAGUCAACGCAACACAUAUAGCAAUAUUACUCAAACAAGUGGACCUACUAACAACUAUCCGUCCUUCACACCCUAAGAAGUUACCGGGAUAAAAUAGGAGAUGUAACCAAUGGCUUAGGUCUCGGCCACUCUUAUUCUCCCCUAGGGUGUUAGACUAAAAGAUAAGCAAGCCCUCUUUAUGACCAUUGAAAAUAUCAUGAACAAAAAGAGGGUUGAGAAAGGUGCUCCAUAAGUCAACCUCAAAUAAAGGGUUAGCAUGCACGCACUUACUACUAGUAUCAAAAUCUCCACUAGGAAUAUGUCCAACAUAAGAAGCACAUAAAGAAGAAGUAGCCGGAAUUUCUAAGCACACAUUACCUUCUCUUUCAAAUGAGCAAUCCUCACUUAGACACAAACCACCAUGGGCAGCCAAGGGUUCACAAGCAAAACAACCAUUACCAAGACAAUCAAAAUUUGGGUUUCCUAAACAAUCAAGCACAUCAAGGUCAUUUCCACCCGAUUGAUCAUUGUCCACAUCGUCACUAGUUGUUGGCAACUCAUAUACCAACGUUGGCCCACCUUGGUUUUCGCAAGGGUCAACUAGUGUGUGAAUUCUCUCUUCACUUAGUAAUGGAACCUUAGUCAAUUUAUAAGUGCUGGCACUAGAUGGACACAAGUCAUUCUCACGAGGAGAAUCAAUUUCGUCAUCUAAAGGAUUAACUAGUGACUGUAUACCUACAACAAGAGUUUGGUCCUCAUGCGACCUAACUAUACUGAGAGUAUCACAAAAAGGAGGCUUGAGCACCUCUACCUUAGGCAAAGCCGUAACUACUCCUACUUGGAUCCUACUAGCCACAACACAAUCGUAGCUCACAUGGCUAUGGCCUUUCUCUUGACGUGUGUCCGGGCAGACCAUUUUCUCCAUUUGACCUAGUAUAUGAUCCAAACUUUCAUUUGCCAUAGCUGGUCUCGGGACAUAGUGUCAAGGUAGGCUAAAAUGAUAUUGGUUGCAUUGUUGUCCAUGGGUUGAGAGGUUGAGCCACGGGUUCCCUUGUAAUUGUACCUAAAAAAAAUAAAAGAACAAGCCUAAAAAUCAAAACACAAGUUAGUUCAAAACAACCUUACCGCAUUCUCACAUACUAGAUCAUCUAACACUUAGAGUUACAAGUGUUGCAAGUCGGCUUGUAGUUCGUGAUGAGUCGAGAGGUGAAUAUACUCCUUGGUCGGAAAGAAUUCUUUAUUUGAAGACUCAUGGAAAUGAUGUCCAAACUUGAAAGUGAUGACGUGUUACCCUAUAAUUGGCCACGACUUUCACUAAUUUUAAUUAUCAAGUAGAUGUUUUUGGUCACUUCUCUAUUUGGAAUGGAUGCAAUUAGUUUUGGAGGGAAAGUGUAAGUCUUAGAACCUUUGUCAAUUUCAAUCUUCAAAAAGGUAUGACUUGACUUGUACUAUUCCCACAAACAAGGCCCUUGAAAUAGGGAAGGUGGUUAAAAAUGUUGAUGUCAAGUCUAGGAAGUGAUGGGUUCAAGUCUUCUCACAAACAAACACUACAACUUUUAUCUUUACCUUUUUGAAUCAAUUUUGCACUUUUUGUUGGUCAAGUUAUAAGAAUAGGUGAAGAACAAGAUAAAAACAACAACAACCAUUAUGAACACCAUAACAACAUACCAAUAAUGUCCAUUCCAACGGCAAACAACAACAACACAUGGCCACUUUCAAGUUUACAACAACAAUGUCAAUGUUUUAAGCUCAAACUUUAGUUCUACACACUUGUAGUGUUGGUGAGAAUGAAACUAACACUAGAAACAAGAAAAAGACUACUAGUUCUAGACAACACAAUUUGGCCAAGACAACAACAACAAGAUCUUCAAGUUCUCAUCCAAGAACACUAAACACAAGAAUACUCUUUUUUUGAAGUUUCUAACAAGCAAGCCCAAGAUUGAUCUUUCAAGAACAAUAUCAAGCCAUGAUCUGAUACCAAAUGAUACAAGAAAAGCCAAGAACACAUGAAAUCACACACCAAAAACCAUCCACAAGUUCAGGAACCGAGGACCCCUUUGGUGACCAACUCUCGGAUUCAACAAACAAUCAACAAAAUGAGAUGACAAGUUUGUUAAAACACCAAAAACAACCAACCAAGAUAAGUUAAAACAAAAGAUGUGAACAAGAUAACAAUAAAAACAAUGUUGUAAAAAUAACAGCACCUCACGGGUUGGAGUAUAAUUACAACAAACAAACUAUUACAACAUAAACAAAGUGAUAGAUAGUUAGACAAGUGAAGGUAUAAUUUAAGAACCUAAGACUUUGGUGGAAUCUUGGAACCUUAACACUACACACGACAAAAACCUAACUCCUACGUUGACACAAGAGGAACUUUACCUCCUCUAAACAUCAAUGUAUCAAGCCAACAUUGCAACACAAGUGAUAUCCAUAUUUGUUGCCUUUAGUUCGGUUUGGUGUCUAUUCCAAGACCUAUAACUAAAGGUAUUACCAUGUUCUAAGUCUUAAAUCCAUGAACAACUAAGGAAAUAAUCCCUAAAAGGUUCUACUUAUAGUACAUUAUAAAAGAAGACAAAAUGACUACACUACCCUUAUGAGAGGGGAGGCCAUCGAGUGAAUUUUGGGAAAAGUGAAGAGACAAAAAUGCCCUCAAUCCGUGAGCCAUUAAGUGUUAAAAAUCAUGAAUCCUCAAGUCUUCAAUACUCCAAGCAAUCCUCCACUUACGGCCUUGAUGAAUGGUAUGCUCAAUAGCAGGCUCAAAAUGGGUCUUCCUUGCAUAUUCUUGUUCCCUCGGGGUGAUCAAGUCUUGAGCCUUUAAGUGAUCGUCUCCAAUUAUGUGUUCAAAAUUAGGGUGGCCAUUUGACUUGUAUAAUCCUCCCUUUAUUGAAAGGAUUCGACCUCGAAUCCAAACCUUACAAGAACAAAGAGAAGACAAACAAGCACCACAUCUUCAUGACAUAAGGGUUAGAUUUAGUACAAUAAACAACAUUAAUAUGCCAAGGAGGUACAGACUUGAGAUAUAACCACACAUCCUUUGUUUUAAUCACGAGGGACUUCACAAAAAAUAUUACAAAGGAGUUAGAGAAAGUAAUCACCAUCAAGGAGAGGUGACCUAAUUGGAAAUAAAGUCCACACAACACAUAUAACAAUAUUACUCAAACAAGUGGACCUACCAGUAACUAUUCAUCCUUCACACCCUAAGAGGUUACCGGGGUCGAAUGGGAGACGUAACCAAGGGCUUAGGUCUCGGCUACUCUUAUUUUCCCCUAAGGUGUCAUCCUCAAAGUUAAGCAAGCCCUCUUCAUCACCAUUGAAAAUAUCAUGAAAAAAAGAGGGUUGAGAAAGGUGUUCCAUAAGUCAAAUUCAAAUAAAGGGUUCUCAUGCAUGCACUACUAGUUUAAAAAUCUCCAAUAGGAAUAUGCCCAACAUAAGAAACACAUACAAAAAAAGUAGAUGGAAUUUCUAAGCACACAUCACCUUAUCUUUAAAAGGAGCAAUCCUCACUUAGCAUAAACCACCACGGGCAGCCAAGGGUUCACAAGAAAAACCACCUUUAACAAGACAAUCACAAUUAAGGUUCCCUAAAUAAUCAAGCACAUCAAGGUCAUUUCCACCCUAUUGAUCACUGUCCACAUCAUCACUAGUUAUCGAAAACUCAUAUACCAACGUAGGCCACCUUGGUUUUCAUAUGGGUCAACUAGUGUGUGAAUACUCUCUUCACUUGGUAAUGGAACCUUAGUUAAGUUAUAAGUGCUAGCACUAGAUGGACACAAGUCGUUCUCACGAGGAGAAUCAAUUUCAUCAUCUAAAUGAUCGACUAGUGCUUGCAUACCUACAACAAAAGUUUGGUCCUCAUGGGACCUAACAAUACCGAGAGUAUAACAAAAAGGAGACUCGAGCACCUCUACCCUAGGCAAAUCAGCAACUACACCUACAUGGCUCCUGCUAGCCACAACACAAUAUUCUAUGUUCAUAGGAGUAUAGGGGAUAGCGUUUUUACCUCAUAGCUCACAUGAGCUAUGACCUUCCUCUUGACGUGUGUCCGGGUAGUAAACUUGAUCCCUUUGACCUACUAUACGAUCCAACCUUUCAUUUACCAUAGCUAGGUCUUGGGACAUAGUGUCAAGGUAGGCCAAAAUGACAUUGGUUGCAUUAUUGUCCAUGGGUUGAGAGGUUGAGCUGCGGGUUCCCUUGUAAUUGUACCUAAAAAAAUAAAGAACAAGCCUACAAAGCAAAACACAAGUUAGUUCAAAACAACCUUACCGCAUUCUCACAUACUAGAUCAUCUAACACUUAGAGUUACAAGUGUUGCAAGUCGGCUUGUAGUUCGUGAUGAGUCGAGAGGUGAAUAUACUCCUUGGUCGGAAAGAAUUCUUUAUUUGAAGACUCAUGGAAAUGAUGUCCAAACUUGAACCAAGGAAUUCUACAAUUCAAAAAUAAUUAAAGAACAAAAUACUGCUAACACGUAAAAAUGUACUCAAAAACUAAUUUACAAUCUAGUAGAGGAGUACUAGCUUGUCGAUUAUUUAUUAGAGUCAACAAAUGAAACUAAGAAUCAACAAAUAAGAAACUAAUAAUCCAAGUUUGAGCUUAAAUUAACAUGUGAACAGUGAAAGUGAUGACGUGUUACCCUAUAAUUGGCCACGACUUUCACUAAUUUUAAUUAUCAAGUAGAUGUUUUUGGUCAAUUCUCUAUUUGGAAUGGAUGCAAUUAGUUUUGGAGGGAAAGUGUAAGUCUUAGAACCUUUGUCAAUUUCAAUCUUCAAAAAAGUAUGACUUGACUUGUACUAUUCCCACAAACAAGGCCCUUGAAAUAGGGAUGGUGGUUGAAAAAGUUGAUGUCAAGUCUAGGAAGUGAUGGGUUCAAGUUUUCUCACAAACAAACACUACAACUUUUAUCUUCACCUUUUUGAAUCAAUUUUUCACUUUUUGUUGGUAAAGUUAUAAGACUAGGUGAAGAACAAGAUGAAUACAAAAACUUUCAAGAACACCAUAACAACAUACCAAUAAUGUCCAUUCCAACAUAAAACAACAAGUCUACAACACAUGACCACUUUCAAGUUCACAACAACAAUGUCAAUGUUUUAAGCUCAAACUUUAGAUCUAAACACUUGUAGUGUUGGUGAGAAAGAAACCAACACCAGAAACACUUUAAAUAAGAAAAAUACUACUAGAUCUAGACAAUACAAUUCGUCCAAGACAAAAACAACAAGAUAUUCAAUUUCUCGGCCAAGAACACUAAACACAAGAACUUCUUUUUCUUUUUUUUUUUGAAUUUUCUAACAAGCAAGCCCAAGAUUGAUCUUUUAGGAACAAUAUCAAGACAUGAUCUGAUACCAAAUAAUACAAAAAUGACCAAGAACACAUGAAAUCACACACCAAAAACCGUCCACAAGUUCAAAAACUUUUAACCCUUUUAGUAACCAACUCUCAGAUUCAACAAACAAUCAACAAAACUAGAUGACAAGGGUGUUAACACACCAAAUACAACCAACCAAACUAAGUUAAAAUACAAGAUGAUGAACAAGAUAACAAUAACAAAAAUGUGGUAACAAUAACCGCACCUCAUGGGUUAGAGUACAAUUACAACAAACAAAUAAUUACAACAUAAACAAAGGGAUAGAUAUUUAGACAAGUGAAGGUAUAAUCUUAAGAACUCAAGACUUUGGUGGACUAUUGGACCCUUAACACUACACACAACAAACACCUAACUACUACGUUGACACAAGAGGGUCUUUACCUCCUCUAAAUACCAACGUAUCAAGCCAACAAUGCAAAAACAAGUUAAUCUUCAAUUGCCUAGCCCUAGUUUUGGUUUUGAGUUCACUCUCAAGACUAAGAGAGAACUUUGGAUGUUACAAUGUCUCAAGUUUCAACAAUAAUCCACUAAGACCUCAAUGAAGAUGGACCGAGACCAUGAGCCAUUAAGUGUUCAAAACCGUUAAUCUCCAAGUAUUCAAUGCUCCAAGCAAUGUUUCACUCACAACCUUGAUGAAUGGUAUGCUCAAUGGUAGGCUCAAAAUGGAUCUUUCAUCCACUUUCAUUAUCCUUUUCAAGACCUAUUUAGAACCUAUUGUUUUAUUUCCUGGAGUAAUAUCAACCAACUCCAACGUAUGGUUGCUCAAAAUUGAUUCAAUCUCACUAUUGACUGCCUUUUUCCAAAAGAAUGAGUCUAAAGACGACAUCGCUUCUUUAAAUAUUUGAGUCUCAUUUUCUAAGAGAAAUGUUACAAAAUUUGAUUCAAACGAAGUUGAGUUCUUUGACGUGUACUCUUGGAUUCUCAUCAUUAUAUACAUCCCCACUUGGUUCAUCUCAAGGUCAUUUAUACCUUCACUAAAUUGUUCAUGUCUAGUUCUAUACAGAUAAAUGUGUUCAAAGAACUCAGCAUUAUCUGAUUCAAUUACCUUAUUUUCAUUGAUAUCCAAAUGUUUUGAUUUAUGAAUCAAAAAUCGAUAUGUUUUACUACUUUUAGCAUAUCUUAUGAACACACAGUCCACUGUCUUAGGUCCUAUUUUCACCCUUUUUGGCAUAGGAACUUGAACUUUUGCUAGACACCCCCACACUUUAAAAUAUUUCGAGUUGGAUUUUCUUUUUUUCAUUUUUCAUAUGGAAUUGAUUGUGAAUUACUAUGGGGAACUCUAUUGAGUAUUCGGUUAGCUGUAAGGAUAGCUUCCCCCCAUAAGUUUUGUGAUAAACCUGAACUUAUUAAUAAGGCAUUCAUUAUUUCCUUUAGGGUUUGAUUUUUUUUCCGUAAUUCCAUUAGAUUGAGGUGAAUACGUGGUCAUAGUUUGAUGGAAAAUUACAUUCUCGACACAUAUAUUUGCAAAUGGAGAUUCAUGUUCUCCACCCCUAUCAUUUCUUAUUAUUUUGAUCUUUUUCUCAAACUGAUUGCAACUUAUGUUUUAUAUUGCCUAAACGCAUCUGUUGCUUCAUCCUUACUAUUUUUCAAAUAGACAUAAUAAUACCUCAUGCAAUCAUCAAUAAAAGUUAUAAAAUACUUUUUCCACCACGAAAUGAUGUUGACUUCAUAUCACAAAUAUUAGUGUGAAUUAAGUCUAAGGGAUUGAAAUUCCUUUCAACAGACUUAUAAGAAUGCUUGGCAUACUUUGAUUCCACAUAUGUUUGGUAUUUUGAUGUAUUGCACUUAAAGUUUGGCAAAACUUCUAAGUUAAUCAGUUUUUGUGGAGUUUUGUAAUUGACAUGUCUUAAACAUUCAUGCCAUAAUUCAUUAAACUUAAGAAAAUAAAAAGAAAUAGAACUUUUAUUGAUUUCAACUGUCAUUACAUUCAUUUUGGAUAGGUUCUCAGUGAGGUAGCCUUUUCCUAUAUACACUUCUCCUUUGCUAAAUACAUUCUUGCUAGAAAUAAAUACACAUUUGAAUCCAUUUUUAUCAAGAAGUGAUAUAGAAAUCAAAUUCUUCCUUAACUUUGGUACAUACAGGUCAUUGUUAAGAGUCAAAACUUUGCCUAAUGUCAUUUUCAGGCAGACUUUUCCUAUUCCUACAACUUUUGAAGUUGCAAAGUUUGCAAAAUAGAUCUUAUCUUUGCCUUGAGAUGGAGUAAAUGCAGGUAACAACUCUUUAUUUGCACAAACGUCGCAGGUAGCACCGGAAUCCAUCCACCGUUCACAAGGAUUUUCCACCAAUUUACAUUCAGGCAAUAUGGUACACAGAUUGUCUAUUUCGUUCUUGGAUUUAGCCAUAUUUUCAUGGUAUUUCUUUUUGCCUUUCUUUGGGGCAUGACUAUCUGUUGACUUGUGGCCAAUCUUGCUACAAUUAAAGCAUUUUCCCUUGAAUUUCUUCUUAGGUUGAUUGCUUUCUUAUCUAUCUUUCUUUUAUUUUUUUGAGUUGUUGUGAUCAUCUUCUGCCAUGUUUGCUCCACUCAUUGCAGAAUUUUCUUUUGACCUCCUUUCUGAGGCUUUGUUGUCUUCUUCAAUGCGUAACCUUACUAUGAGAUCUUCGACUAUCAUCUCCUUUUGUUUAUGUUUCAAGUAGUUCUUGAAGUCCUUCUACAUAGGUGGCAACUUCUCUAUUAUUGCAGCGACUUGAAAUGCCUUGUUCACAAUCAAACCUACAAUAAAGUUCAAGAAUAUUUUUAACAUGUUCAAAUAAGGUAUUCACCAAACUCAUACCUUCUGCAAGGAGAUCGUCGAUGAUAACUUCCAGUUCCUAUACUUGAGAUAAGACAGACUUGCUGUCAAUCAUUUUAUACUCAAGGAAUUUUGCAACAAAGAACUUCUUGGUUCCAGUGUUUAGUCUUGUAUUUUCUUUCCAGUGCACUUCAUAACUCUUUUGACAUCUUCGUUCCACUAUACACGUUGUAUAGGUCAUUUGUGAGGCCACUUAGAAUGUAAUUCUUGCAGAUAAAAUCAGAAUAGUUCCACGCCUCCAUAACAACAAAUCGCUUCUAGUCCGAACUUUCUUCGGGCAAUUCUGGAGCUUCUUCAGAUGUAAAUCUUUGAAGAUACAAGAUUGUAAGGUAGAAGAACAUCUUCUAUUGCUACCUUUUAAAAUCAACACUCGUGAAUUUUUUGAAUUUCUCCGCUGAUGUCAUUGCUUGGAUUAACUCGUACGACUAGUUGUAGCAACAUUCGUUGCUACCACACUUGUCCCAGCAUCAUUCACAUGACCGUCUAUAGUCAUUUUUUUGUCACAAAAAGACAGUCAACUUUAGUAUAAAAUAUACUAAUUACAAGUUCGUAGCAACUUAUAAAUACUACUUAUUUCUAGUUUCACGAUAAAGUUUUUAUGUCUUUCAAUUGUUAACUGAAUGACCUUCAACUUUUGAUGAAUUUUUUAUUUCUACAAAUCACUUGUUAAGUUUAAACAGAGUCGAAAGCAAAAAGCUCAAAUCUCCAGAAACUAAAUAAUACAGACCACGAAGAUUAAUUCCUUAAGAUUGUUGUUUCGGGUACACAAUCUGUAUAUUUAUACAUUAAACUUCAACACAAGUUCAAGACCAUUUCAAGAACACUUAUGAAGUUUUUCAACACCUUCAACACAAGUUCAAUAUGAACUAUCAAAGAAGUGUGUUAUAUUUAAGAAAUAAGAUGAAAUAGAAAUAAAGCCAAGUCCUCCGAAUUCACGGAGUGUCCUUAAGAAAUUAAUUCCCCUCAAGUACCUAAGGUGUGAAAUUUUUUCUCCCAAGAUAAAAUGGCUUACAAUCCGACAGUAGCAGCACCUCAAACUAUCGGAUUGUUCAAACUCACUCAACGGGAGAUGAUCACAAUGGGUUUUUGGUAGACAAGAAGUGUUUUUCAUCUCUCAAAAUUAUAUAUCUACCCGAGGAAUAAGUCAGGUAUUUAUAGCCAUUAGGUGUCUCUUCAAAAAGAAAGCAUUAGUUCUAAAAAAAGUUGCAUUGUUACUGAACAGUCACGUCACCUGCACCUAGUCUAUGCUGGAACUGCACUUGACCUACAGUCGCAGGUGACGUUUUGCCCAUUCCAGUGCCUUCUGCUCUUUACCUACGUCAGGCAGAGCCAGCCUGCACUAGGUCUGCGCUUGACCUACAUCCACAGGUCACUCUUUUUUCAACACAAUGUGUCUUUCUCUAAAGGUUGUGUUCCUUUUGAGAUGCGUUGCGCAUGCAUUUGCAUGGCGUAUGAAAUGCGUACGCAUAUCAAGAAAAUUAUUUCAUUAGACUUUUGGAUUAAAAAUUCACUUGUUUUACAAAGUUUCAAAUAAAAUUUCUCUAGAAAAUUAAUCUCAUCAAUUGAUUUUCCAAAUCUGAAGCCGAGUCGAUUAAGCAACAAUGACUAUGAUGAGAGGCACCUCUUUGUUCUUCUUUCCCUAAAAAAUCCAUGUGGAGAAGUGUUUCUUUAUAAGAACACAUGAAAGUUUCUUUCUCCCACCAAUGUGGAAAAUUAGUAAACUUUCCUUAUUUUUUAGUAAACUUUUCUUUCUAAGUUUGAUCUCAUUUUUCCCUCCACCAAAUCCCUCCAUUUACCAUUCACACAUUCAACUUGAACCCAAUGUUUUUUGGUAUCUGUACUUCAAAAAUCUACGGAUAAUAAGAGAUAAUACAACAAUUAACCAAGAAUGUACUUUAAAGGCCUAAAAAUAUAAUAAGUGAGCUUAAAUAUAUUAAAAUUUUACGAGUUAUCAAUUAUCUCUUUUCCCUUGAACUUGACUAUUUGAUAGUCUAUUUUAAUUAUAGAAAAAAAAGGACGAUUUGAUAGUCUUUACUCAGUCUUCUUUAAAUGUGCUAGGAUAAUUUUAUAUUAAACAUUAACUCUCACAUAGGCUAUUUUUCUUCUCCUUUUUCUUUUUUUUUGAUUAAAAGAUGAAUUUAUUCAUUACUAUUAAUAUGCAUUAUAAAAUUUUACAGAAGGAGUUGCAACCAGCUUAUCAGUGGCUAAAGGAGGCCUAGUACUAGUUACAUAAUCCUGACAAUAAGAGGACCCAAUAGGCCCAACAAAAGGAGUUACAUAAUACCGAUAGUUAGGGGGUAUAGCAGGCCCUAAAAAUGGAGUUCCACUAUUGUCUGCACUCUGCACCUAUCAAGGGAGAACAAACACCGGCGGAGCUGACCAUAUAACAAAAGGUUAUUAUUUGACAACUUGUGACCCUCUUUAGCUAGCCUAUCUGUGACUCUGGGGCCUUUAUGCCAAAAAGACUCUUUAUCCAAACUAUUUUGUCAAAUACCCACAAGUUUUAAAUCCUUUGCCAAAUACCCACUUAAUUCUACCUCACCACCAACUUUUCCAACUUAAUAAUUUCAGCCCCAACCUUUAUAAUAAUUGACUUUAACCCAAUACUUCCAACUUAAUAAAUUCACCCAUAAGUUUCUAAUAAUACACUUCAACCCACUCCAUCAUCCACCACUAUAUAUAUAAAAAUAAUAUCAAGGUUUCCAAAAAUAUUAAAAAAAUAAUUCCAAAAGCUAAAAAUAGAAAUUGGUCAUUUUUUCCACCAAAAAGCUCCGAUUCCAGCCACUUUUCCGGCGUAAUUUUCCGGCGAUCAGCUGUAAAUUAGUCCACAAACAUCAUAAGCUUGUCCAUUGCAUUCAUUGUUACCCCAUUUAUUUCCUAUCUUCUCAAACACACUUUCCACCAUUGUUAAAAGGCUUUAAAUCACUCACAUUACUCAAAACCACUUUAGAAAGUGCAUUACAGCAGCUCAGGCGACUCCAAGUUCAUUUCUUUAUUCUAUAAACCCAACAAUCAUUGAUUACAAGCAAUAUUUUCAAUUUCAAGUAUUUGUACGAAAAUCUGCACAGUCAUCGAUCCGUCCUCGCCAAUCAUCGAUCGUGCAUACAACACGACAUAGACCAUAAGCAUAAUCUACCAUCGAUCGAAGCUUAAUUCUAGGAUGUCUAUUGUAGAAUUUAUUCUGGUUUCUGGUGAUUUCAUGGGAGAAUAGGUGGAGAAUUUGAAAUGUUGGAAAUGGAGAUCAUUUACCAAGGUGACUAUUCCCAUUCUUGUUCGCCGCAAUAGUUCAUACGACAAAUUUAUUGCAAGCAUAAUGCAGAGAGGGGAUCUAGAUUGCACGUCGUGCGACGUGAUGAUUAGUUAUGUAAUGUAUUUGAGCAAAAAGGUGAAUCCUACGAUCAUAAAUAGCGAUGUACAUGUGAUGACAUACAUAAUAGAUGCUGAUGCAGAUGGCUUUAGGCUAAUUUUGAGGAUAAAUAUGGUUGAGAGGUUCUUUGAAGGACCACUGAAUUCAUCAGCAUCCCUACCGCGGUGCCCGGCAGUCAACAAUGAUUUGAUCGAUGAUGAUUUGAAUGAUUACAAGAACGAUGUCGAUGAUACAAUUAAUAUGGAAGAUUAUUCUAUGCAUAUGGAAGACUUUUCAUCGGACUCGCAAGAUGCUAAAGAAGAUCGUAAAAUGGAAUCACAAGCAGGACACUCCUUUACUGAUGAAACUAAUUUUUGUUGUGGUCAAACAUUCAUCGAUAAAAAAGAGCAGAAAUACAACUAGACGCAGCAGUUGCGAGGCAGUUUUUUGAUUAUUAUAUGGAGAAGAGCUGCACGAAAUUGAUGAAGGCGCAAUGCUUAUCUCGUGGUUGUGGCUGGCUGUUGUAGGCAAAAAUGUAUGACACCUCAGACAAGUUUUGCAUAUACAAGUAUGUCGGGAUGUACAUGUGCGACGUUGAAAACGCCACCUGCAAACCCCAAAAAGUCUCAUCCAAAUUCAUUUCUUCAGUAUGCGUAAAUCAUUUUCAGAAUGGUAAGGGUCUAAGCAUAAGAGAAAUUCAAAGAAUUGUAUUUAAGGAGUUGUGUUGUAACGCAAGCUAUUGGAUGUGUUGGAAAGGAAGUGCAAUUGCGAAGAAAAUCAUUCGCGAGACACCGGAGCAAGGAUAUGCUUUCUUGCCGACUUUUUCUCACAUGGUGGAGUUAUUGAAUCUCGGGUCUUCUUACUCUAUCAUGGUAAAUCGGAUGGAUGGAUCAUUCAUUUACUACUUCUUAGCAUUUGGAGCUUGCAUACCAGGAUAUGCCUACAUGAGAAAGGUAAUUGCCAUCGAUGGCACACAUUUGUAUGGCAAGUAUGGGGGUGUUCUGAUGAGUGCCAUUGUACAGGCUACCGAAAAUCAUAUAUUUCUAAUUGCCUUUUGUGUCGUCGAUAAAAGGAACGAUGCUUCUUGGACCUUCUUCUUCCAGAAGCUGAAGCCUAUCAUAGAAGAUGAACCAGAUCUAUACGUCAUCUCCGACAGGCAUAUUAGCAUCGCCAAUGCCUUCUCUCGUGUAUACAAUGGUGCACAUCAUGGACUUUGUAUGAGGCACCUCGCUGAAAAUCUUCACAUAAAUCAACACUGCAGAGAACAUCUUUAUCUAUUCUAUACUUCGGCAAAGGCUUAUUCCUUUGAUCAGUUUAGCAAUAAUUUUGUGGAAUUGAAGAUUAAAUACCCCGAGGCAUCUCAUGUCCUUGAAAAUGUGCUUGGUUUUGAAAAAUGGAGUAGAGCACACUUUUUGGGCAAUAGGUACGACGUGAUGACCACAAACAUCACCGAGUCGCUCAACUCGAUUUUGAUAGAUAAACGGGAGUACCCCAUGUCAUACAUAUUUAAUUCAAUUGCUAAAAAAUUUGAUGAAAAGUUUAGGAAGCGGGAUGCAUUUGUUGGUGGUAAAGAGAACAUAUUUAUACCUUCUGCGGAAAGGAUCCUAAGGGAUAAUAAGAGUGCGAGCGAUUCCUUGUAUAUGGGUAAUACAAACGGGGUUCUCCAUGAGUAUACUUUGUUCAGUAACAGCGCUACUGCCAAGGUCAAUCUCUUGGAGAAGAGCUGUUCUUGUCAAAAAUUUGACUUGGUGAAAAUGUCGUGCAAACACGCGAUGGCAGCUUUGUGAGAAAAGUACGGCAAUGGCGAAGAUUAUGGUAAAUCCAUCUACGAAUACUCUUCGCCAAUUUAUAAAGCUGAAAGUUACCUCCUCACAUACUCAAAAGUAAUUAAUGUGGUCCCUCUGGAGGCUGAAUGAACUGUGCCACAGAAAUUGGUAGACACCAAAAUUUCUCCACCCCCGUACGAUCCCAAACUUGGAAGGAAGAAAGUCAAACAAACUAAGGGCCUCGGUGAGACAUUCAAGUCCAAAAGGAGGAAUAGGUGUUCAAUAUGCAAUAAAUACGGACACAAAAGAACUACGUGUAGAAUGGGCAUCAAAUCAUAAAUAGGCUUUUUUUAGCUUCAGUUGUAAAGCUACUGUUUUGGGGGAUGAAUAUGCAUUUUUGUAGAUUUUAACAUUCAGUUAUUAUCGACCUAAAGUUUUAUCUGCGAUAGACUAUCUAUGGUCUACGGUAUAUAUAAUAUAUGGUCUAUAAAAUAUUAUGUAUUGAUUAUAUUAUUGUUGAUCUAACACAUUAUGUUGGUCAUUUUCUCGGCCUAUCUCUCCAAUCGAUGCAAUAAAUCAUUAUUUCCCUUGUUUCCCGUUCCCAUUUAUUAAAAAGCUGCACAAAAUGUCUCUUCACGAGGAAAAAUAGCUGGUAUACGCAUACGAAACAUUUUCUCUUGUCAGACACGUCGACCUACCAUUGGGUGGAUAUAUGAACGAACGCAAUCUACAGGUCUAUAAGUACAGGCCCUCUUUCUACGCAAUCCUUCAGUUUUCCCUAAACCAAAAAUAUCAGAAAUCAUCUCUUCUUCUUCUUCUUCACCCAAAUCAAAAAGAUACCUCUAAGAAGGAUACCCCUGCGCCCCAUCAGACGUGUUCCUCCGAGGCACUACGACCUCCUCCUCCUAAGGAAUGAUUUAGACCGGUUUUUCUAUGAGCUGGGUCAAGACUGCAUCUACCUAGAGCAGGAGCUCCGUCGAAUUGCUCGUUUCUCGAUGGCAAUUCUGGAAAGGUUCGGAAUGGAAGACCCUGACUAUAUCACCCCCCCUUCCCCACCAUUCCCAUAAUUUAGUUUAAAUGUUUUACUUUAGUAUAUGUUUUUAAGUUUUUUUUAUUUGUUCAUUGCUGAAGAAGCUUUCUUUGUAGGAUCUUGUUAGAAGAAAGCUUCUUCCAUUUUCCCCUUUUUGAUGUAAAUUUUAUUAUGUAAUGCAAUGAACAAUUUUAAUACAACUAUGUUUCAGUUUCUUUUAAUAUUGUGUGUUUGCCAUCUUUGUUCUGAUCCCUUGUUUGAAAACUCGAAUCAAAUAUGUCUGCCUUUUCAAGUUACAGUAUUAUGGCUUGACUAAUUUCCUGAAGAGUAUAGAUUUUAUACAAAGUAUUUCGUCGACUGUACAUAUUAGUCGAUCAUAGACUACAUGAAUUGAUUGAUCAUCAGGUAAAUUAAAACAAACAAUAACAGAUUUUCAAAAAAUAAUUUAAUUUUAAAAGAUUUAAACAACUUAUCACAUGUUAUAUGGCUGGUAGAAGAAAAUAAUUAAAUUAAAAUGAUUUAAAUAGAUAAUCACACGUUUUGGGAAUUAUGAAAGACAAUUAUUAAAUUUAAAAAAUUAAAUAAAUAAUAGUAACAUGUAUUUUGGGCUGGUGGAAGAAAAUAAUUAAAUUAAAAAUGAUUUAAAUAGAUAAUCACACGUUUUGGGAAUUAUGAAAGACAAUUAUUAAAUUUAAAAAAUUUAAAUAAAUAAUAGUAACAUGUAUUUUAGGCUGGUGGAAGAAAAUAAUUAAAUUAAAAAUGAUUUAAAUAGCGAUCAGUCUGGUAUAUCUAGACUUUCAUGUUUAUUAUCGCAUCGACUGAUAUCAUUUUUAUGCGUAGACCAUGGUGAUCUAUGUACACAGUUAUAGACCAUUACUUGGAUGUAGUUAAAAAAUAAUUAAAUAAAUUAUAAAUAAAUGUGGUGUGGAUUUCUACACAUGUUAAGAUGUGUAAACAAGUCACAUAAUNNNNNNNNNNNNNNNNNNNNNNNNNNNNNNNNNNNNNNNNNNNNNNNNNNNNNNNNNNNNNNNNNNNNNNNNNNNNNNNNNNNNNNNNNNNNNNNNNNNNNNNNNNNNNNNNNNNNNNNNNNNNNNNNNNNNNNNNNNNNNNNNNNNNNNNNNNNNNNNNNNNNNNNNNNNNNNNNNNNNNNNNNNNNNNNNNNNNNNNNNNNNNNNNNNNNNNNNNNNNNNNNNNNNNNNNNNNNNNNNNNNNNNNNNNNNNNNNNNNNNNNNNNNNNNNNNNNNNNNNNNNNNNNNNNNNNNNNNNNNNNNNNNNNNNNNNNNNNNNNNNNNNNNNNCCACAUUUAUUUAUAAUUUAUUUAAUCAUUUUUUAACUACAUCCAAGUGAUGUUAUAACCUUGUACAUAGAUCAUCGUGGUCUACGCCUAAUCAUGAUAUCAGUCGAUGCGAUAAUAAACGUGUAAGUCUACAAUAGACUAUACUGAUCGAUGGAUGACAUAGUUUAUGAUCUACGACGGUCUAUUAAGUGUCAUCACCAGUCCAAGAUCAUCUAUUUAAAUCAUUUUUAAUGUAAUUGUUUUCUUCCACCGGCCCCAAACACAUGUGAUUAUCCAUUUAAAUCAUAUUAUAUUGAAUUAUUUUCUUCCACCAGCCCCAAAACAUGUUACUAUUAUCUAUUUAAUUUUUUUUAAUUUAAUUAUUCAUUUUUUAACUACCUCCACGUGAUGGGAUAUAGAUGUGUACAUAGAUCACGGUAGUCUCCGCAUAAUCAGGAUAUCAGUAGAUGCACUACUAAAGGUGUAAGUCUAUGAAACCAUACAAAUCGAUGGCUGACAUAGGUCAUGAUUUACGAAAGUCUAUUUAGUGUCACCACCAGUUCAAAAGAGAAAAAUUACUUUUCCAACGGUAAAAAAUGGCUACUUUUGUAAGCCAUCAGUGUGAACACUUUGUUUUUACUUCAUAUAUAAGGUGUACAUCCCUCCUUAUUUUAUUUCAUCAACUUUAUUUUGUUUUUAAAAAUUCUACAAUGUCACAAGAAUAUCAAUCAUCUAAUUCUAAAAAUACUCUAAUUUGUCAUUGUGGGAAUGCGGUUGUCUUGAGGACGUCACUCACGGAUUCAAAUCCACGUCACAAAUUUUAUAAUUGUGCAAUUGAAAAGGUGAGGUGUGCAUGUUUUCUGUAAAAAAGUUAAGUUAAUGGCUAUGUAAUUGUUAUUUUUCCCUAGGAUAAUGGUGCAUGCUCGUUUUUCAAAUGGCUUGAUGAGCUAUCACCUCCAUCUAGUCCAUCAACGUUUAUUCCGGGACUCGAGACAUCAAUUUUUCAAGGCUUGGCAAAAUUUAGUCUACUACAAAGGCUCCAACAAUGCGAAAAAAAUAAAGAUUUUCUCAUGACUUUGUUCAAAGAAGCCAAAGAACAGAGGGAUCACUUUAAGCUAUUGCUACAUGACACCCAAAUAGAGAGGGAUCAACUAAAACAAAAAUUGAUUUUGGCCGGAGAAAGAGAGAAUGUCCUAAAAAUGAUGUAUGUGCUAUAAUGCUAGUAUUCGUUCUUUGAAAAAGUGUAAUGUGGAUGUAGUGAUAUUGAAUAAAUAAUAAUAGUUGCACUUUUGUAUAAUGUUAAAUACUAUUUUUGAUAGAAUCAUAGUCGAUUAAACAACACGUCAACUUAAAUUCGACCAGCAAGGUAAUGAUAGACUAUGCAUACAAUAUAUGGAAUAUUAAGUAUGCAUUCUAUGAUAUCAAGCAUAUAAUGUACCAACUAUGACCACACCCUGCAUAUUCAAAUUCCAUACCACAAAUCAAUUUGAUAGAAACAGAUUCAGCUCAGAAUCAUAACAAGUUUCAUAAAAGAAAAGAAUAAUUAUCAUAUCCUACCACUAGAUCCUUCAAACUUCAUAUUUGUGAAAUAAAAAAAAAUUGUCAUAUCCUAACAAAUCAUCAUUUAACAACAAAUUAAACAUUUUAGCAUUUAAAAGUCUCUUUCACUAAGUUCCUCAUCAACACAAGUGUUACUGUUGAUUUCAUCAACAAUGUCCAUGACCACAUCUAUUUGGACAGCUUCAACUUCUUUUUUCUCAACAAUUGUAGUUGCUUCUUCAUUCUUACCUUCUUCUCCUUCUUUUUCAGCAUGUGCAUCAGCUGCUGCUUCUUCAGUUUCCUUUUCUUCCACACCUUGUUUUCUUACUUCACCUGCAGCAGCUGUUUCUUCCUCAGCUUCAGUAGUUGUUUCUUCCUCAGCUUCAGCAGCUGUUUCUUUCUCAGCUUCUUCUUUUUUUCACCUGCUGCUUCUCGCUCAACUUCUUCUUUGUCAGCUUUGUCAGCUGCUUCUUCAACAGUUUUUCCUUUUUGGGCCUCCUUGUUCAUCUGCUGCCGCUUUUUCUUCUUUUGCUGCUGUUGCUGCUACUUUUCUGCCUUCUUCUUGGCUCUUAUCUUCUUCACGAUCCUUCUUUUCUUUUUUUUUUUUACUCUUCUGCCACAACAAUGGCCAACUCAUCCAUUUUGCUCCUUUUUUCUCCUUCUCCAUUCCUCUUCGAUUUAUGCAUAUGCACUAUUUCAUAAUAUUACAAAGUGUUACUAAUGUUUAAAGAUGAAUAUUCAUUAAUAACAUCAAUUAAUGAAUGAAGUUACCUCGCUCAUGUUGUCGUUCAUCAUUUUCUUUUUUCUUCAUUCUUUUCUCUUUGAUAUAGGCAGCAAUAUCCAACACCAUUUCCUCGAGCGCAACCACACGCUUAUGAAGAUCCCCAGGGGAUGAGGUUCCUGCUACAUCUUUGGAGGUGCUCAUAGAAUCAUCAUCACCAACGCGUACUCCAACGGGGUUACCACCCAAAUCCCCAUCAUCAUCACUGUCCUCAUUUGAAGUGAGGACAGUCACCCCUUCUAACUCUUUCUUCAAGCCAUCGAGGACGUUAUUCUUCACCUCAUCCGUAUAUGGAUCAAACGUAAUCAUGUAAUCCAUCUUUGUCUCACAAACAGUAGGGAUGAUGUACGGGUGCACGUUCUAUCAAAUAUCAAUUAACAAUUACAUAACAUUCGAUAAAACGGUACUAUUAUUGCAUUAUAGAAAAUAAGUUCAUACCUCAGUAACUUUUCCUUUAUACUUGAAUGGGUCGCCUUCUAUUAUCUUAUCGCUUUUUGAAAUGUGCCAUCUGAGGAUGCAGGGGAUGGGUAAGGGCUCAUCCAUUGAUUUUCCAGCAAAUUCUCCAAGAUGAGGAAAGGCCUCAUAGAUCCAAAUUUGUACGCAAUACAGCAGUGAAAACAAAAUAACUAUGAAUCUAUGACAUAGUAUAAAUAAAAUGAUAAUCUACGAUAAACUCACUAAAGGUUUUAUGGUAGAUACCAUGAAUGCCCAGGGAAAUCCGAAUAGAUCAUAGAAUGCCUUCUGCUUCUUAUCAAAUACUUUCUUCUGCUUCUUCAGGUCGCUUUUCUUCUUCAAAUAGUUCAUAGUCAGUUGAAAUGUUUCUUUCCUCCAUAGAUACUUCUCGAAGAAACUCAAAAAGUCGACCAUUCGAAUCAGUUUUGUGUCGACAACCUUCGUCAAAUCUUUCGCAAGCAACAUGGUGUGCAAGAACCACAAUAGACGACACUUGAACUUCUGAUCCUCAUUCAGCUUAUUCCCUCUGAUCAGGUGUAACAAGUUGGCCACCGUGAUGUUUUUGUUUUUUGUCACCUUAAAACAAAAAUUGUCCCCCUUUGCUAACACNNNNNNNNNNNNNNNNNNNNNNNNNNNNNNNNNNNNNNNNNNNNNNNNNNNNNNNNNNNNNNNNNNNNNNNNNNNNNNNNNNNNNNNNNNNNNNNNNNNNNNNNNNNNNNNNNNNNNNNNNNNNNNNNNNNNNNNNNNNNNNNNNNNNNNNNNNNNNNNNNNNNNNNNNNNNNNNNNNNNNNNNNNNNNNNNNNNNNNNNNNNNNNNNNNNNNNNNNNNNNNNNNNNNNNNNNNNNNNNNNNNNNNNNNNNNNNNNNNNNNNNNNNNNNNNNNNNNNUCUUUUUCUACUACUACCAGCGGUAUCGUCUUUUUGUUUAGGAGUAACAUUUUUUCUACCCAUUUUCAACAUAGUCUACACCUAAAGAACAAAUCUCUCAUUUUCAGUUCAUAGACCACAAGUCUAUCAACAAAAAUAACUCAAUGAUCAAAUGCAACCCCUCCCCCCCAAAAAAAAAAUUAACAAACACCCCACCAUUAAACAGUUCACUACACAAACAUACAAUAAUUGAACCAAAAUCGAACAUGCAAAAUAUCAAAACACAACAAUUGCUAAAAAUCAAACUAGUGCACCUAAUCAAACUAAUUAGCUAUUAAUAUUUCAAUUUUCACUAUUUCAACAAUCAUGUUUUAAAAGAAUUUCAUACGUCUGAAAAUUGAAAUAUAUCUAGGGCAUUCUCAUUUUGAUAGACCACGGGUCUACGAAUAGACCGCGGGUCUACGGGCAGAAACAGGACGUUGUUCAAAUCAAAAUACCAAAAUAAAUCUUCAAACAACAAUUAUUCCACCAUUCAACACUUCGUUGCUAAAAAAAAUACGAUUAAAUCAAAACACCAAAUUCGAAAAAAAGAUCCUACAUCACUACCAAUCGAUUAAGAAAAAGAAAAACCAUUUAAAUGGAUCUAGAAAUGAUCAAAACUCAAUUUUAACUAACCUUGGGAACCAACAACGCCCCCUUAGCAGCUGCAGAUAAAGAACGUACGAAAAUGACGUUUUUGGGAAAAGUUGUUUGAAAGCGGGAGUUGGGAAUUGAAGAGGAGAGAGAGAGGGAUUAUUUUUUGGAUAUUGGAAUAAGUGGAGGAGGUUAAGUGUAUUAUAUUAAAUUUGUAAAGUUGUAAUGAUGAAUUGGUCCCUUGCCCACGUAUGGGCUCCACUUUUUCCACCUUUUACAUCCUAAACCUAAAAAAAUAAAUCAAAAAGAAAUUAAGUGGGUAUUUGACAAAAUAAUUUUGCAAAAGUUUUCUUUGCCAAUUAUUCCCAUGGUUAUGUUUUCUUGAUUCAUGCUGCAUCCGAGGGUUCCCCAAGCUGGUUAGUAGAUUCCUACAUGAAUAUGAUAAUGCGUUGUUAGUAUCGUAAUGAUUAACAAGUAUGCUUAUUACCUCCAGUGAGUUAGUUGCAAUUUCUAGUUGAGUGACCUGUAGCUUAAGAGCAAAAAAAGACUAUAAUACAAGCUUAUAAGUUCUGCAUCCAAAGGUGAGUUAACAUUAAUUUUUGCACUAUAACCCUUAACCCAAUCUCCCGUAUAAUUUCAAAAGAUGCCGCCUGCUGCUCCUAUUUUUGUUGAGUGGUUAUGGGAUCCAUCUAUAUUAAGUUUUAGAUCAAUAGUAUGAGGCUUCCAGGAUGAGGGUUCUUGAUUAUGACAAAUCGUAGUAUUAGUGCUAGAAGGUGAUAUUCCACUGCCCGUUCAAGAGGUGUUGAAAUCAAGAUAUGAACCUUCUGUUCAUCAUGAAUAUUGUGGUUACGAGUUAGCCAAAUAUUCCAUAGAUAGAAAGGAAAAAAUUCCUUCCAACUGAGUAAGGAGUUGCACGGGGUGCUAAUAUUUCUGCAGUUUACCAGCCAGUCCUUUUCCUCAUUCUGGCUAAUAGCUUGAAUGGAAGGCAGCAUGGUGAAUUGCAUUCCAAAAUAGUUGGACAUGGGGACAUUGAAGAAAUAUGUGGACUGCAGGUUGUGUACACAGAAGGCAAUUUGGAUCAAUGUCAAGGCCUAUAUGGUUUUUUAAAACGGUUUCUUCGGGAGCCGGUCAUGAUGACACACCCAUAAGAAGUUACUCCUCGUUUAAAAAAGAAUAACCUACUUUGACUUGACACAAAGUUUAAGAAAAUAAAGAAACUUUUGAAUCUUGUGUCCUUAAAUUAAAGUAGUGUCAAAUGUACCAAAAUGUCCUUUAAUCUUGUGGUCAUAAACAUACUAUGUGGAAAGUUGAAAUUAAAGUAUUGCCAAAAAAGGAAAGGGAUCAUUCUUUCUUAAAUGGACUAGAAAGGAAAGUAGGUCAUUCUUUUUUAAACAAAGGGAGUAUUUUAAUUUGUUAGGACAUUUUUGCUUUCCAAUACAGUUGAAGGAAUUGGUGGUAGACUGGUAGUAGCUUGAAUGGAGUAGUUUAACAGAAGACGAUUAUAGGCACUCCUUGUGGAAAAGUUUCCAUUUGGCUCGAGGGCACAUGUUAGAUAAUCAGAUUUAUAGUUUAGACGAUUAUAGGCACUCCAAGAGCAGUGGCGGAGCCACCUUAUGAUUAGGGGUUCGUCCCGUUCGAUGGAAAAUUAUACUCUUUCUAUAUGGUAAAAAUUAUUUUUAUCUAUAUGUAAUUGAUGUUGUAGACACGUGAUUUUGACCCUCCGUGAGUUUAAUAUAAAUAUUUUUUGAUAUUAAAUAUUUAUAUUUGGUCUAAUAUUAUUCAAAUUUCUUAUUUUUAUUUUAAUAAAUUUUUUGUUAAAAAAUAAAUUUAUUUUUGAGAUGUUUUAUUUUAUUUGAUUAUAAUUUUUUUAAAAAAUAAUACAAAAAUUUUAAAAAAUAUUUUCUUGUUAAAUUUUAAACAAAUAAGCUAGUAGUUUUAGUACUAUUUUAAUUAUAUUUAUUUUUAAACUUUUUUGUAUUUUUUUUAAAAAUAUAAAAAUUAAUUAGUUAUUUAUAUUUAUUAUUAUUAUCCUAUUAUCUUAUUUAUUUAUUUAUUUAUUUUUAUUUAUUUAUUAUUAUUAAAAAAUAAGAAUUAAAUUAUUUUAAAAUUCAAAACUCCUCCUAUCAGAUAAUAACUGCUCCCCCUUCAACUUCACCCCAAGAAUCUCAUUAUUUAAGGACUUAUCCAACCCCCAAGAAAAGUACGAACUAUUCUCAGACUAUACAUUAUAUCAGACAAAAACCAGACACUACAUCAUCAGAUACUGCAUCAGAAAAAAAUAGAGAAAAAAAAAGAGUGAGAAAACAAGUGAAGUAAAAACAAAGAGGAGGAUUCAAAAGUGAGAGUUCCGUUUGAGUUUUUCUGGUGACGACUUUCUUAUUUCUAUAUUCAAAUUAUUUCGCCCUACAGGUUCUUAUCCAACUCUAUAAUAUUUUUUUUAUAAAUUCCCAUGUGAAUUAAAUUAUGAACAAUGUUUGUUUUAUCUGAUUUUGUGUGUUAUAUAGUAGUUCGUUGAUUACUUAUAUUAGUUCUAAUAAUAAGUAUGCAUAUCUAGUAGAUUGAUAAUUUAUAAGCACGCAUGCAUAAAUAUAAUAAUAGGAAGUUUUGGACAAUAGAUUUGAUAUGAAUAAUAAAAGCGGAGGUUAAAAAAAAAAAGCAGAUCAAGCAACAAAAAAAAUAAAAUAUAAAAAGAAAUAGAAGAGAAAGGAAAUCUGAGGAUCGAAUUUGAUAUCAAGUUUCUUUCUCGUCUCACUGCGACUCAGAAAUUUGGUCCCAAAAGCUAUUGUUGGGUUCUUUAAUAUUAUGCAGGUUGGUGCGAGUUUUGCUGUGACAUGUAUAUAUUUUCAUAAAACCAUUUAAAAGUUGGACGGGUGUUGGGUUUGGCACAUAGAUGUGGGAUUUCCUUAGUAAAGUAGAAUUUUAUUUUGUUUCUCAUAGAUGUUGUUCAAUGUUAUCAUUCAACAAAGUGUACUAAUAUUUUAUUUUGUGGAAUAAGGUUUCAAAAUUUACUAUAAAAAAGAAGGGGCAUAACCACACAAACAACACAAGAUUGUAGAAGUAAAAUUAGUUAGAUUUUGUCAUGUUAUUAAAUAUUUAUGUUAAAAUAGAAUUGUGCAUGGUAAAUUUUUUUUACCCGUUUUGUUUUUAAUAAUAAUAAUUAUGAACUUGUUCAUGAAGAUAUAAUUUAUUAUUAUUAUUAUUAUUAUUAUUAUUAUUAUUAAUAUUAUUAUUAUGAUUAUUAUUAUUAAAAAAGUUUGUGGUUCUUUAGGUUUCUUUUUCUAGUUAGAUUUUAUUGAGUAAAUAUAAUUAGUUUCUUUUAGAUUGCUUCGGUAAUGGUUUCAUGUAAUCUUAAUUUACUUAAUUUGGAUGAUUGAGGAUUAUUUAGUCACAUGUCUAUUUUACUUUAGUCAAUAUGGAAUCAUGUAUUUUCAAUUUGCCUUAUUACUCCUGCUAGUUUCCUCUAGUGUUGUUGGAACGUUUUAAUCCUAAGUUAUAUAUUAAUUAUUAACGUAAGGUAAAAUAAUAUGGUUUGCAAACUUAUUCAAAAUUUGUUACCAUCAAUAAGAAAUGAAAAGAGUGGAAAUACCCAUUUGUAAGGGAGCAAGACGAGUUGCGGAAUAAUCCAAAAUUCGUUGAAAAAUAAAGAGCGAAAAAGAAUAAAAAUGGAUAAUAUAAUAUUUUUUUGAGGUCAUAAGAGACAAACAAAUGCCUUUGAACGCUAGAUAAGCUUUAGGCAUGUUUAAAAUAUUUGUCUCGAUUAAGAAUGCGGGGUGCGCAUCUUUUGAGACGUUUAAAAAUAUUUCAAGGAUGUAAUAAUGCACCUUGGUAAAAAUUGUUCUAAAAAUUAAUUCUCACUAGCUUAAUACAAGAGGUAUAGAUAGAUACAAGAUACUAAAAUGAGCGAAUUUAGGUCCUGACAUAAUUUAUUAAAAUAGUUUAAGUAUAAGUCAAUAAAGCGCCCGUGCUAGAACCACAGGACUCGAAGGGUGCCUCACACCCUCCCCUCGGUCAACAGAAUUCCUUACCCAGUCUUCUGUUUUCGCAGACCAUAUUAAGAGUCAUUUCCUUUUGAUUAGGGAUUCAACAAGGUGACUUGGCGCACCAUAACUCAAUUUCAAGUGGGGACUCUGUAAUUAAAAUAAUUCCUAUUCAAUACUGUCAUUUUAAUUGGAAAAUCCUUCGACUCGACCCUCGGGCGAAAAAGGGGUGUGACAAAUAUAAUGCGAAGUGUUUCAUAUACAUACUCAGAUGCGUGAUCGAUUAAUUAUAUUUGAUUAGCUUAAUAUACUAGGUUUUGACUACAUUUUUCAUCAAUGGAUCACUACAUCAUAUACUGAAUUAUGGGUUAUAUAUACACAUACUCAUUAUACAAAUAGUAUGCAUGUUUAACGUUAUUUAACGUAUAUACAAGGAAAAUAUUUAUUUAAUUUAUAUUUAACGUAAUUUUUUCACAUAAUUUAAGAAUGAUUGGUUUUUAUUAUUAUUAUACUGGUUAUCGACUACGUGUGAUCAGUGUAAUUUUAAAAAAUUAUAUAUAUAUAUAUAUAUUAUUAUAUAUAUAAUUAUUUUUAAUAAAAAUAAUAUAUAUAUAUAUAUUUGAUUACAUAUAUGUAAUUAUUGGUUACUCAAAAUUAUUUACUUUUAAUUUUUUUUAGUUCAAAAAUCAACCACAUGUUGUCGAUUUUUUAAAAUAUUUUCUUUUAAAAUUAAAAAUCAACCACUUGUGGUCGGUUUUUAAAAAUAUUUUUCAAUUAUAUUUUAAAAAAACAACCACAACUGGUCGGUUUUUCGUAAUACUUGAUUCGUGAACUUUAAGAUCCCAUAAAAAUUCUAAGCUUAACUCAGUCCUCUAAAGAUUGAAAAGAGGUCCCAGACUUAGAAAUUUUAGCUAAGUGUUUAUACUUAGAAUUAUUUUAGCCUUCAUAAGUGGGCGAUCCUAUUUUACAAUCUUUAGGACCUUAAAAUGUCUAUUUUUAGGUUGAUUCAUGAUCAGGAAUGUCAGUAGGUGUUCUCGAAUGAGUUUUAGAUUUGUUUAACAUCGUUUGAAGCACGUUUGGGAGUCCAAAAUAGUGGAUCGACGCGUUGCGUCACCUAUCGUGUCAAUAAAUAUUUUCCCCAACUCUUAGAGUAAAUUUCAGUAAGACGACGCAAUCUUAACGAGUUGUGUCAGCCAUCGCGUUGACCCCAUCGAUGUAGUGUGUCAGUCUGCGCGUUGUUGGGCAUGUUUUCAGUAAUUAAAAAUCCGUAUCCAGAGGGGUAUUUGGUUCAUUUUUUCACUUUUAUUCAGCCCUAAAACAUGAGCUUAAACAUUUCAAAAGGCAAAAUCACUCGCUUUCUCUCAAUUUCUUUCAAAUUUCUUUCAAGAACAAACCCCAGGGCAUUCAAUUUCAAGCCCAAACUUCAAGAACACACCAUAAAUCCUCACGAAUUUAUGUACCAAGGUAUUUUAGGUGUUCAUUUAUGGAUUCCUUUCACCUAUGGACAUGGAUUGUGUCCAUAUGUGAAUUGAUGUUAAGGGUUUAAUUCUAUGAAUUAUUACAAGUUUCAUGAAAACUAAAUAAUUGUGAGUUGAUUUAUGUGAUCUUCAUGUUGAACUCUUGAACUACAAGUUGAAUGUAGUAGCCAUGAUAUUAUUACAUGUUUAUUGCUAUAUAAAAUAACCAUGCUUCCCAAGUGUUUGUUAAAUUGCUUAUAUGAAUUGACUAGUGAAAGCAUGGCAUUUUAUUAUGUGAUUCCAUUCAUGCACAAGCUCAUGUAUAUCAAGUUCAGUCCAGCAUAGUACAACUUCUAAAUUAGUUUAGUGUCUAUUCAGUUGGGAUUAGGAUUCAGCACCGAGUGGACCCAAGGAUGGGGGCUCACCUGCCAAUAGAGGGUGUGAUCCUUAGAAGCAGUCCUUGCAUUCCAGAACUACAUAGCCAGCGUAGGUUGGGAUAUCAACCUGCCAAUUGAGGGUUGAUGAGGUGUCUUAACUGCCAGUUGAGGGUACCGCUAUUCUCGUUCAGAGCACUUGUCAGAUGAGGGUAACUCAACAACUUUUCUUUACCUGUGACACAGUACUGACACCCUUCCAACUAGGGUUACAAGUUGGACUCCAAUCAAUUCAGAGGGGGGCAUAUCAGUUAGAUAAUUACCUCCCACAGUUUUAGUUUCAGUCUCAGUAUAAAACUCAGUUCAGUUCUAUAGAACCCGGCCUGUCAGACACAAUCACCCAGCUCAGCACGGAUCUUAGUUCAAUUUCAUAGAAUCGGGACUAUCAAAAAUAGUCACUCUAUUAAUAGUAAUAUAAUAUCAGUAAACUCAGAUAUCAGUCAUUCAGUUUUCAAAACUCAUUAUCCAGUGUUAAUGUGAUCGUAGUUACAGUAUACGUAGUUAUAUGCAUAGCAUUGCAUAAUCAUUAUUUACAAAAGCUUCAGAUAUACCCGUACUCUCAUUCAGUUAUACUCAUAUUAUUCAGUCAAAUAUUGUUCAUGCAUUCAGCCUUACCUCAUCUAGCAUACUAGAACAUUCAAAGUUCUGACACAUACUCUUUCUUUUGCGCUAUGAUGUCUUAUAUCAUAGGUUCAUAUGCACGAGCUCCUGAUCAUACUUAAUAGCCUAGCUUAUCAGCAGCAGACUUAGUGGUGAGUCCUCAUAGUUUGAGGACAUAGUUAUUAUUUCAGUAUUUUAGUAUAUUUUCAGUAUUCGGAGUUAGUUGAGGGCCUGUCCCAUUAACUCCACCUUCAGACAGUUAGAGGCUUUCAAACUAAAUUAUUUCAGAUAGAUGUUCAGUUUUCAGUAUUUAAAAUAUUAGAGUAUUCAGCAUUUGUUUCUCAGUUAUAAACUUUAUGGCAGAUUCAUCCUAAUUUUUGCAUCAUUAUAUUAUUACUAUUCAGUGAUUUAUAGCAGGUACCAGUGAUGGGUUAGCUUGGGGUCCUUUGGAAUUAUGAGCACCGUGUGAUGUCUGGGGUGUAGAGUCGGGGUGUUAUAAACUUGGUAUCAGAGCCUAAGGCUCAAUAGAGUCCUAGUAAGUCUGAAGGCUAUGUCUAGUAAAGUCUUAGGCAUGAGUGUGUAGUGUACCACACUUAUGAACAAGAGGCUAUGAGGAAUUUUAGGAAAAUUUUCCCUUCUUUCAGUAUUUAUAUCGUGUGAAUGAGCAUGAACUCAAAUUAAACUCUCUGUCUAAUUCAAGUUUCCCUUUUGUUUAUGGAAUAUGCCUCCAAAAAGGACUAACGGAAGAAGAACGGGAAACUAGCCAACACCUCCACCCAUCCAGCCAGAUCCCCUGGACGAGCAUGUUUAUAAUGCAAAAUUCUGAGCAGUUUUCACUACUCUAGCUCAUUCUGUGGUAGCCCAGAAUAAACGUCCAACUUUCUUCUAGGCCAACCCAGUGUCCAAUACUACUGUAGCUAGAAUUCAGUACUUCACCCAAAUAAAUCCUCUAUUAUUUAUAAGGUCUAAGUCUGAGGAGGACCCACAAUAAUUCCUUGAUCAGGUGCAGAAAGUCACAGAUAUUAUGGGGGUGACUACUAGUGAGAGUGUUGAGUUGGCCGCAUAUCAGUUGCAGGAUGUGGUUCACUCAUGGUUCAAGCAGUGGAAGGCAGAGAGGGCCAUAGAUACAAGGCCCAUAGAAUGGGAGGAGUUUACUACUAUUUUUCUGGAUAGGUUCUUCUCACUGGAGUUGAGAAAAGCAAAGGUUUUGGAGUGUAAUUAAUCUAGAUAGUGAAAGAGUAUUCUCUUAAGUUUACUUAGUUAGCCAGAUAUGCCCCUCAUGUGGUAGCAGAUAGUAGAUCUAAGAUGAGUAAGUUUAUGUCGGGUUUGUCUAAUAGUGUGGUCAAAGAGUAUAGGAUCACAUGCUGAUUAAGGAGAUGGACAUAUCUAGGCUCAUGGUCCAUGCUCAAUAGAUAGAAUAGGCUAAGAAUAAUGACAGGAAAGGGAGAAUAAGAGGGAUAGAACAAGUAGAUUCAACUUUUCUCAGCCUAAGUCAUAGGGUGGAAAUCGUUCUCAGUUCUGCCCAAAAUAUUUAGUUCCAGCUUCGUCUUCUGUUAUUUCUCCAGUGCCAAAAUUUAGAGAUGGAAAUAAAGAUAUGGCACCAUGACCUAAACCUCAGGGUAGUGUUAGCAGUACCUGAACAAAUCCUCUUUCCCAAAAAUAUAGCGGAAACCAUCAGGGUGUCUGCAGAGCUGGUAGUGAUGUAUGUUUCGGAUAUGGCAAGCCAGACUAUAAAAUUAGAUAUUGUCCUCAGUCAGGUUCUCAGGGUCAGUAUAAUCGUCAUCCAACUCAGUUCGAUUGCCUGAAUCAGCAGGGUGCCACUUCUAGUGCCACCAAUGGGCAGUUCCCAAACAGACUCUAUGUACUUUAGUCCCGAUAGGAUCAGGAAAUUUCUCCUGAUGUGGUCACUAGUACAUUAAAAGUUUAUCAUUUACAUGCUUAUGCUUUGCUAGAUCCAGGAGCUUCUUUGUCCUUUGUAACUCUUUAUAUAGCUGUUGUCUUUGGAUUCAGUCCCGAAAUUCUAGUCGAUCCUUUCUCAGUCUUUACCCCAGUGGGUAAAUCCAUCAUAGUCCGGUGGGUAUACAGGAACUGUCCGGUUAUGGUAUCUCAGAAAAGUCACUUUAGCAGACUUAGUAGAAUUAGAGAUGACAGAUUUUGAUGUUAUUCUAGGCAUAUACUGACCAUUCAUGCUAUGCUUCUGUUAACUAUAGAAAUAUAAUUGUCCAUUUUUAGUUUCUGAAUAUACCUGUCCUUGAGUGGAGGGGUAGUACUUCAACACUUAGGGGUUAGAUUGUUUCCUAUAUUAGGGCGAGAAAAUGAUAUCUAAGGGAUGUAUUUAUCAUAUUGAUCGACUUAAGGAUUUUAGUUUCAAUACUCCCAGUCUUGAGUCAGUUCCAGUAGCAUGUGAAUUCCCAGAUGUGUUUCCCGAAGAUCUUCCUGGAGUCCCUCCCUGGCGGAAAAUUAACUUCUGAAUAGACCUCCUUCCAGAUACUUAGCCUAUCUCUAUUCCGCCAUAUAGACUGGCUUUAGUAGAACUUAAAAAAUUAAAAGAACAAUUAAAGAAUCUUCUAGAUAAGGGAUUCAUCAGGCCCAACGUAUCACCUAGGAGUCCACCAGUUCUAUUCUUGCGUAAGAAAGAUGGUUCUCUUAGAAUAUGUAUAGACUACCAUCAGCUAAAUAAAGUUACAGUCAAGAACAAGUAUCCACUUCUUAGAAUGGAUGAAUUAUUUAACCAACUUUAGGGUGUCAGUUACGUUUCUAAGAUAGACCUCAGAUCUGGCUAUCAUCAGCUUAGAGUCAAAAAAAUGUGACAUUCUGAAAAUAGCUUUCAAAACACGGUAUGGUCACUUCAAAUUCCUAGUCAUGUCAUUUGGUCUUACCAAUACUCCAGAAGCCUUCAUGGACUUGAUGAACCACGUGGUCAAGUAGUACUUGGACAUUUUUAUCAUAGUCUUCAUUGAUGACAUUUUUGUCUACUCCUGCAGUAAACAUGAUCAUGCAGACCAUCUCAAGAUAGUAUUGCAAACUCUCAGAACCCAUCAGCCAUUCUUCAAAUUCAGUAAGUGCGAAUUUUGGAUAAGGUUAGUAGCAUUUCUUGGUCAUAUAUUUUCUGGUGAUGGCAUUAGAGUUGAUCCUCAAAAGAUCAAAGUAGUAAAAAAAUUAGCCUAGGCCCAUCUCUCCAUCAUAUAUUAGGAGUUUUUUUUGUUUGGCUUGAUAUUACCGAUGGUUUGUUGAAGGAUUUUCAUCCAUUGCAUCCCCCAUGCCCAUAUUAACUCCAAAGAAAGUCAAAUUCUAGUGGUCAGAUUUUUGUGAGAAGAGUUUUGAGGAGUUAAAGACUCGACUAACUACAACCCCAGUUUUUGCUUUACCAAAUGGUUUCGACGGUUUUUUUGUGUAUUGUGAUUGUUUUAGAGUUGAUUUAGGGUAUAAUUUGAUGCAAAGAGGUAAGGUCAUAGCCUAUACCUCUAGACAGCUUAAAUUACCCUACCCAUGAUCUUGAAUUAGCAGUUAUAGUGUUUGCCUUAAAGCUUUGGAGGCACUAUUUGUAUGGGGUUCAUGUUGAUGUGUUCACAGACCAUAAAAUCCUACAGUAUGUAUUUUCUCAUAAAGAUUUGAACCUGCAUUAGAGGAGGUGGCUAGAGUUGUUAAAAAAUUAUGACAUGAAUAUUCUGUGUUAUCUGGGCAAAGACAAUGUAGUGGCUGAUGCUCUCAGUAGGAUAUUUAUGGAUAGUGUUGCCCACGUGGAGGAUGGUAAGAAGAAGUUAGUUCAGGAAGUUCAUUAUCUUGCCUGACUUGGUGUUCGCUUAGUCAAUUCAGCAGAGGGCAGCGUAUGGGUGAAAAAUAGUUUGGAAUCUUUUUUGGUAUUCGAGGUAAAAUAAAUGUAGGACAACGAUCCCAAUUUAGUUAAGUUGAAAGAGUAAAUCAGGGAUCAAAAAGUAGAGGUUUUCUCCCAAGGGGAAGAUGGUGUAUUGUGUUGCCAGGAAAGACUAUGUGUGCUAUGUGUAGAUUGCGUGAGACAGUGAAUUCUUGCAGAAGUGCAUGGUGUGCGCUACUCGAUUCUCCUAGGAGCCACCAAGAUGUACCACGACUCAUGUGAAGUCUAUUGGUGUAGUGGGAUGAAGAGACAUACAGAGUUUUUAGCUAAGUGCUCGACAUGUCAGCAGGUUAAGAUCGAGCAUUAGAAGCCUUGUGGAGUUAUUUAGGAGUUCAGUAUUCCCACUUAGAAGUGGAAGGAGGUGAAUAUGGAUUUUUUGAUGGGUUUGCCUCGCACUCAUCAUCAGCAUGACUUGAUUUGGGUCAUUGUGGAUAGGAUGACCAAGUCAGCUCAUUUCUUACCAGUUCAUACCUUUUAUUAAGAUGAGGAUUAUACCAAGAUUUAUGUUAGAGAGUUGGUCAUAUUGCACGGAGUUUCGUUAUCUGUCAUUUUAGAUAGAGAUAUGCAGUUCACCUCUCAUUUCUAGAAAGCCUUCCAAAAGGGUCUUGGUACCCAAGUUUACCUUAGUACAGCCUUUCACCCUCAGAGAGAUGGUUAAGUAGAAAGGACCAUUCAGAUAUUAGAAGAUAUGCUAAGAGUGUGUGCCAUUGACUUUAAGGAUAUUUGAGAUGAGCACCUGCCCUUGAUUGAGUUUGCAUAUAAUAACAUUUAUCAUUCCAGCAUUUAGAUGGCUUCGUUUGAGGCAUUUUAUGGGAGGAGAUAUUGAUCUCCCAUUGGUUGGUCUAAAGUAGUUGAAGCCGCAGUGGUAGGGCCUGACUUGGUAUUUGAUACCUUAGAAAAAGUUCAGUUCAUUAAGAAAGUCUUAAGAUAGCUCAGAGUCGACAAAAUCGUAUACAGAUGUGCGGAGAAAGGAUCUUGAUUUUGAGAUUGGUGAUUAUGCAUAUUUGAAAAUCUUUCCUAUAAAGAGAGUGCAGAGGUUCAGCAAGAAGGGGAAACUCAGUCCCCGAUAUGUCGGUCCUUACUGAAUUCUCAGCUAUUUUGGAAAGGUAGCUUACGAGCUUGAGUUGCCUUCAGACUUAGCUUCAGUACAUCCAGUGUUUCAUGUCUCCUUGCUAAAGAAGUGCAUAGGUGACCCAACAGUUGUAGUCCCUAUAGAGGGUAUAGAUAUUCAGAACAGUCUUUCUUAUGAGGAAGUUCCAGUCGAAAUACUUGACCAUUAGGUUCGCAGACUGAGGAACAAAGAAGUUCCUUUAGUCAAAGUUCUUUGGAGGAAUCAUUCUAUUAAGGGGGCCACUUGGGAAGCUGAAGUAGAUAUGAGGAGCAAGUAUCCUCACCCCUUCUUCGCAAACUCAAACUCAGCUCAAGGUAGCAGUCUUUAUUAGAUUUACUCAGUCUUAUGAUCAAAUUUCCUUUACCAACUUGGUAACAGUUUCAACUGCAUAGCAUUCUCAUGUUAUACAUACCUUCAUAGAAACAGUUCAGUCAUGUGUCAUGUCUUUAGAAAUAAGUCAUGCUUUAGUUAUGCAUGUUCAGUAUAAAAACACAGUAUAUCAGUAAUUUCAAUCAUGAAAUCAUGCUUCAGUUGUGCAUGUCUAGUAUGUACACUCUGUCGAUUAGUAUCAUCAGUUAGCCAGUCUCAUUCGAGAUGAAUGUUCCUAAGGGAGAGAUAUUGUAUGACCCACAAAAAUUCUAAGCUUAACUCAGUCCUCUAAAGCUUAAAAAGAGGUCCCAGACUUAGAAAUUUUAGCUAAGUGUUUAUACUUAGAAUUAUUUUAGCCUUCAUAAGUUGGCAAUCAUAUUUUAUGAUCCUUACGACCUUAAAAUAUUAAUUUUUAAGUUGAUUCAUGAUCAGGACUAUCAGUAGGUAUUCUCGGACGAGUUUUAGAUUUUUCGAACAUCGUUUGAUGCACAUUUGGGAGUCCAAAAUAGUGGAUCAACGCGAUCUCGAUGCGUCGCAUCGCCUAUCGCAUCGAUAAAUAUUUUUCCUAGCUCCCAGUGUAAAUUCUAGUGAGCUAACGUGAUGUUAAUGUAUCGCGUCCGCCAUCGUGUCGACCCCAUCAAUGCAGCGCGUCGGUCUGCGCGUUACUGGGUACGUUUUUAGUCAGAGGGGUAUUUGGAUCAUUUUCUCACUUUUAUUCAGCCCUAAAACACAAGAUUAAACAUUUCAAAAGGCAAAAUUACUUACUUUCUCUCAAUUUAUCUCAAAUUUCUUUCAAGAACAAACCCUAGGGUAUUCAAUUUCAAGCUCAAACUUCAAGACCACACCAUAAAUCCUCAUGAAAUUAUGUACCAAGGUAUGUUAGGUGUUCAUUCAUGGGUUCCUUUCACCCAUGAUGUCCAAGAACCCUUUUUUUUAAACUACAAGUUUAUGAUUUCAUGAUUUACAUGUUGGAAUUGGAUUGGGUUCAUGUGUGAAUUGAUGUUUGGGGUUUAAUUCUAUGAAUUAUUACAAGUUUCAUGAAAACUAGAUAAUUGUGAGUUGAUUUAUGUGAUCUUCAUGUUGAACUCUUGAACUAAAAGUUGAAUGUAGUAGCCAUGAUUUUAUUACAUGUUUAUUGCUUAAUGAAAUAACCAUGCUACCCAAGUGUCGUUAAAAUAUUUAUAUGAAUUGACUAGUAAAAGCAUAACAUGUUAUUAUGUGAUUCCAUUCAUGCACAAGAUCAUGUAUAUCAAGUGUUUGACAAAAUGCCUAAAUGAAUGUAUUAUUAGUAAGCAAGUACUAUUAUGCUUUUAAGGUUAUGCUAUGCUUUAAUUUCCAUGCUAUAAUACCCGAAAAUAUAGCUGUUGACCUAGAGCUACAGUAGUUAUAAAAUUAUCUCAAUAAUAUCACGAUUAGUAGUAUUCAGUCAGUAUAGAACUCAGUUAAACUCAGUCCUGUUAAGUCAGUUAACACGAUCAGUAACAGUUCAGUCCAGCAUAGUACAACUUAGAAAUCAGUUCAGUGUCUAUUCAGUUGGGAUUAGGAUUCAGCACCGAGUGAACCCAAGGAUGGGGGCUCACCUGCCAGUAGAGGGUGUGAUCCUUAAAAGCAGUCCUUGCAUUCCAGAACUACGUAGCCAACAUAGGUUGGGACAUCAACCUGCCAGUUGAGGGUUGAUGAGGUGUCUUAACUGCCAGUUGAGAGUACCACCAUUCUUAUUUAGAGCAUCUUCCGUGUGAGGGUGACUCAGAAACUUGUCUUAAACCAUGGCACAGUACUGACACUCUUCUAACAGAGGUUACAAUUUGGACCCCAAUCAGUUCAGAAAGGGGCAUAUCGGUUAGAUGACUACCUCCCACAGUUUCAGUUCAGUCUCAGUAUAGAAUGCAGUUCAGUUCUACAGCACUAAACUCAAGUAAGUUCCACAGAAUUAGAACUAUCAGAAACAAUCACUUCGUUAACAGUAAAACAGUAUCAAUAAACUUAGAUAUCAUUCAUUUAGUUUUCAAAACUCAUUAUCCAGUGUUAAUGUGAUCUAAGUUACAGUAUACGUAGUUAUGUGCAUAGAAUUUCAUAAUCAGUAUUUACAGAAGCUUCAGAUAUACAUGUACUCUUAUUCAAUUAUACUCAUAUUAUUCAGUCAGAUAUUGGUCAUGCAUAUGAACUCAUGCAUUCAGCCUUACCUCAUCUAGCAUAUCAGUACAUUCAAAGUGCUGACGCAUAUACUUUCUUUUGCAUUAUGAUGUCUUAUAUCAUAGGUUCAGAUGCACGACUUCUGAUCGUACUUAGCAUCCCAGCUUAUCAGCAGCAGACUUAGUGGUGAGUCCUUAUAGUUCGAGGACAUAGUUGUUAUUUUAGUAUUUCAGUAUAUUCUUUAGUAGUCGGUGUUAGUUGGGGGCUUGUCCCAUCAACUACACCUUUAGAUAGUUAGAGAUUUUCGGACUAGAUUAUUUUAGGCAGAUGUUUAAUUUUCAGCAUUUGAACUAUAAGUAUUCAGUAUUUGCUUCUCAGUUAUGAAGCUUAUGGUAGAUUCAGCCAAAUUUCUGCAUUAUUACAGUGUUACUAUUCAGUGAUUUGCAAUAGGUACUAGUCAUGCGUUAUCUUGUGGUACUUUGGGAUUAUGAGCAUAAUGUGACAUUCGGGAUGCAAACUCGGUGCAUUACAUGAACAUUAGUCGGAGAGGUGAAUUAAGAUACAAGCUUGAGAAGUUAGAAUGUAUACGUCUUACGAAUAUCCAUGCAUGGGUCCUAUCCAAAGUAUUGUGUCUUUGAAGGUAUAUAUGAAAGUCAUGGGAUGUCUUAUAUCAUCAUCAUUCCAUAUUUAUCAUUACAUCGCAUUGCAUCACAUAUCCUUGGCAUGUUUGAUAUUAUGUUUGGGAAUUUUAUUUUUGUAUUGAAUUAUUGCAAUUGGACCUUGUUUGUGAUAUUGUAAUUUAUGCAUUCAUCUCAUUACAUUACAUCAUAUUAUGCUAUCUCUUGAUUUCAUUUGGGAGUUGAAAUAUUGUCAUGACCUGAGACUACCCCCUAGUCGUAACACGAUUCUUAAAACCAUAAGUGAUCUCAAGCUAACCCAUGAACUGGCAUAUUGUUAAGCAACUGAACUAUAAUAUAUUAAAUAACUAGUUCUUCUAUAUGGAAAUAUAAUCAUGACAAAAUCUGGGAAGAAUUAUAAUACUAACUCUUACUCACAUCUAUGAAGUCUCUACUAUAAUGACUAUGAUAGCUAGGACAUGAACCCAGCUACCACUAAUCAAUACAUAUGAGUAAUAAAGUAAAGUUCAUGAACAAAAUCUGACUGAAGUCCCCUAAAUAGGAGAACUCAUCACCUGUUGGAUGGAACUAUAACUGUCUGAUCAUGAUGUAUGGACUAUAACUGGUACCUACAUUAUUAAACAAUGUAGCCACACAGACAUAUAUAUGGAUCAGUACUUCUGGAAUGUACUGAGUAAGUGGGGGGUGAAUACAAUAAGUAAAACUUAUUUCAUACGUAAUCUUAAAACAUGCAUGCUAAGUGUAAGUAGACUCACUAAGCUACCGAAGUAAACUGAAAUCUGAUGUAGCUUAAAACAUGAGUAACAAACAUAAUAUUAUAACUAGUGAAUCAUUAAACUUAGUUUCUUAAAGCUUUACUUUUGCAGGAUAAGUAGAAGCUGGGGGAUACGGUAAAGCAUGAAAACAUGAACAUACCAAAACCAAGCAUACAUUUACUGAACUGAUCUGAUUAACUGGAUAACUAAUGUCUAAGUGACGAAAUGAUUGGAAACUAGGAAAAGGGAUAACUAGCGUCGAUAUACUGAGUAGCUGAUAUAUGAAUACUGGCUGCUGUACAAUCAUGAGAUAAAUAGGCAUAAAUGCAUGAAAAGUGUAAAAUCUGAGAAUGCAAGACUAAGUGUAUAGAUGUUAUGUUAUUGAGAUAAUCUGUAAUCUGAAAGAAUGAAAGCUGUUAAACUGAAUAUCUAAAAGUCAGUACACUUAGUAAAGCAAACCUGAACUGAAAAGGCACUAAAUACUAUACUGAUACUGUGGGAGGUAUCAUGUAACCGACAUAAACCAUGUGAGCUAUCAUGGAGUCCAACGUUUGACCCACGUUGAGGGGGGGGUGUUCUAUCCUUACCAUCGGAAUAAAACCUAAACUGUAGUGAUCACUAAAUUGAUGUCCUAAAAGACUAGAGAGUCAAGUCUAAACUGAUGGGUGACCCCUGAGAGAAAGUCAAGCCUAAAUUGAUGGGUGACCCCUCAUAUCCUACGCUGGCUACGUAGCUAUGGAAUACAGGAACUGUUACUGACGACUCUGGCUAACUGAAGGAGAAGCCACUAUACAUGCAUUCGCUCGGUACUAAAUCCUACUCCCAACUGAAAGACACUGAAAGACUAACUAGCAUUUGCACUGAUAACUAAUAAGCUCAGGUCCUGAUAUUUUGUAAAUAACAGUGCAUACGGAUUCUGUGAUUAUUAGAAACAUAUAAAAUGAUACUAAAACUAAAACUGGACUGAGUUUAACUAGACAUGAUUCAUAAUUGAUAGUGCUCAUUAUGAUCAUAAUAACUGAUUAAAUAGGAAAAAAAUCAUGGUUUAACUAAAUCAUACUUAAAAAUCUGAAAAAUUAUGUAUAACAUAUAGUAUCGGGUGUUAUAAUCUACCAGAACCGAAUGACCAUAAAGCAUGAUAUCAGCACUUAAAACUAUAGUAGGGGAAUCAUGGUUCAAAAAUCCAAAAGCAUAGACACUUCAUCAAACACAUGAGAAUCAUAAACUUGAACAUGGGAAUGCUUUAAACAUGAUGAAAUAGUAUGAUUACGUGACUAAAAUCAUAAAUUGGGGAUUUACAUGGAAUUCAAUUGAAAUAGUUCAUGGGCGUUUCAGCAAAACAUGUAAAGAUCAUAGCUUGAACAUAAGAAUAUCUUAAACAUGAGGGAAACAAUAGAGUUACAUGGCAAAAUUCACAACUUGGGGAUUCAUCUUGAAUUUAAUUGAACGUGAUAUGGGAAUUUCAAUACUCAAACAUGAUAUGACUCAUUCUACUUUAAAACACAUGAAAUCAUAACUUGUAAAUAAAAUCAACAAGAGAUUUAGGGGGAUACGUCAACUUGAAACAUGUAAAACUCAUAAAUUUAAAUUCAAAAAAUGUUCUUGGGCUCCAUAGGUGAAAGGGGGUCAAUGGAUGAACUCCCACAUACCUUAAUAGAUGAUUUCUUGAAGAAACUUGAAAUUGAAACUUGAGUUCUUGAAGUUCUUAGGAAGAAACCUUGAAUUUUGGAAGUUAAAUGAUAAACUUGUGAAAGAAAUCCUAUUCUUGAUGUUUGUUGAAGAUUUACUGAACUGGGAAGCUUUAACUCUUGGAUUCUUACAGAAAUCUUGAAUUUAAAACUUAAAUCCUUGUGCUCUUGAGAGGAAAAGGUUGAAAUUUUCUCAUGUGGGAAAGGGGAGGGUGUUUGUUAGAGUUGAUUUGAAUGAGAUGAGCAAAUAAUUUCCUUUUGGAUGCUAUAGAUCAUCCUUUGGAUGUUUGGGGUUGAGGGUAAAGGACCAAGGUGCCCCUUGACCCUUAAGGAGCUGAAACAGAGGGUGAAUAAGCUCUGCAUCGCAUCAGAUAUUGCAUUGAGAGAGCAACACAUCACGCCAUAUAUCGCGUUGAGAUACUGGCGCGCUGCAGCUAAAUUGCGAACCCUUAUUGCCUCUCAUGAAAAAGGCGAUAACUUUUUGCUUGGGUAUCAGAUUUAGGAGAAAUUAGUAUCGAUGGAAAGCUAACUCAAUUAUCUAUCAUUUGGUGUAUCUUGAGCUGAAAAAUUCCAUGUAUAUCAAAUGUUAUAUACAUUCAAAGUAGACCCUUAUAGAAUCGAAUAUCAAAUUUUGGACGAAUCAAAGGCUCUUAGCUCAACUUUGUUCUAAGUGAUUUCUAUGAACAUUUUUCACUUCUAAAGCACUUCACACACUAGUAUAAGGAUCAUGACACAUUUAUUCAAAAGAAAUUCAUGGGAUUAUAGUUUACACACGUGAGAACGAUUCUUCAAAGUCUAGCCUAAAAAUAUGGGGUGUUACAUAUAUUAUGAGACGUACGGUAUAACUUUGGCUUGGUUAGUGUGGCUUGUAGAGUUUCACCUAUUGAUAAAUGAUAUACAUUGAUUUUACACUUUCACUAUUGUAUUCCAAAUUAUUGGCUAAAUAUAUUGACUGAGGUUGAUAUACUAUUUGGUCCAUUUUACAUAACCUUCUCGGUCGUCCAAGAGGACUUGCUAUCUUUCUAUUUACUUACGUAGUUUUUAGGAAGCCCAACUGGAAAUUGAAACUUUGGUUAAAGAUGAAGGAGUACUUACCACUCCACCACAAUCCUUGUUGGAUUGCCAAGUGGGUUUGUACAAUAGGAUUAGUUUUUUUUUCUUCUAUUUACUCCUUCUCUAUUAUUAAAGAAUCAUAAAAAAAAUAUUGAGAACCUACUAUUAUUAAAAUAGUGAAACAAAUAUUAAAAUAUACAUCUAAAUGAAUUCCUUGAUGACAAUGAUGGAUUCAACAUAUAAAUAAUUCCUUGAUAACUGAUAGAUUCAUGAUUUUAAGAUGGUGGAUGCUCACUUUUUUAAGGAUAAAUUACACAAAACCACAAACCUAAGAGAUCUUAUUACAAAAAAUCCCUUACCUUUUAAACAAUUACUUAAAAUCCCGGAUAUUCUAUUUUACUCUUGAUACAUAUGAAUAAAACUCCCACCCUACUUUUACUCCACAAUUAAUGCAUACAAUCUGUUUUUCUUUGAAGAUUUUUUUUCAAAUAUUUCAUUCCCUCAAAUCUCUCCUAAAUUAUCAUCAAUUGAUACAACUCUCAUCUCCUUUACUGUAACUUCUUCACCAAUUUUAUUGUCUUUCUUUAUCUUUUUUAUCAACUUUUCUUUUAUAAAUUUUGAAUUCUUUUUUUAUGUCAGUAGUCAUUAAGGAAGGGAGGAGAAAUUGAACAAUGUGAUAGUGACAUAUACUUUGUGAUAGUGAUUCAUAUUUUUAAUUUAUUUAUAAAUGUUUGUAACAUAUGUUUGACAAAUGUAAAUUAUUUAUUUUGGUGUGAGAUUGAAUUUUCAAUGAUUAGUGAGUAAUUUUAUGAGAUGUAUCAUUAUGAUAAUCUGAUAUCAGAUGUAUCAUUUUCACGAUUUGUGCCUAAUUUUACUCUCUGUAAUAAUUGAAAAUAGUUACUUCCUUAUUUAACUAAACACUAAAUUAUAAAUGUAUCACAAUGUAUAUGACAUAUACUAUUGAUACAUAUGUCACAAUGCAUAUGACAUAUUAAGUCAAUACUGGUGAUACAUAUGACAUACACUUUGUGAUAGUGAUUCAUAUUUUUAAUUUAUUUAUAAAUGUUUAAUACAUUUAACAUAUGUUUGACAAAUGUAAAUUAUUUAUUUUGGUGUGAGAUUGAAUUUUUAAUGGUUUAUGAGUAAUCUUACAAAAUGUAUCAUUGUGAUUCAUCUGGAACCAAAUGUGUCAUUAAGAUACACCUGAAAUCAGAUAUAUCAAUUUCACGAUUUAUGCCUAAUUUUACUCUCUAUAAUAAUUGAAAAUUAGCUACUUUCUUAUUUAACUAACCACUAAAUUACAAAUGUAUCACAAUGCAUAUGUAUCAAGACUAAAAUAUGUAUCACAAAUUUAAAAAUUCAGAAUAUGAUGUAAUUUAACAAAUUAUUGAGAUAAAAUGUUAUAACCCUUAAACAUUACAAAAUUUAUGCAAGUUAUCCUUUUUUUAAUCUAAACUUGGUACAAAUUACAAAUAGUAAAAAUGUACAAUUAUUAUUCAAACAUUACAAUGGAAAAAAUAAAUGAAAAACCUACUAUUUAUAUUAUUAUUAUAGAAAAAACACUUCACAUCACAAAAUACAAUGAACACUAAUAAAAGCAUGAUUGAGAAAAUGGAGGCUACAUAUCCCGGGGUUGAUGUUCUCUGCAUAAAAACAAGACAAAACAAUUAAGCCAAAAAAAAAAAAAAAGUUUAACCUGCUGAUGCAGAAUUUGAUCUUUACUUUUGCAAUAAUUCUAUCACUAAGCACCAUGAUUGAUGAUUUAGUAAUUGAAAUUGAACUACAAACAAAAAGGAAGAUGGUAUACCUUUAUCUUAAUGAUUCUUAACAAUUUUGAAAAAAUAUAUUAUUGAAAUUUUUCCAACAUUGUUCUUGACAUAUUGAUUCCAAUUACCUGCCCCUCUAAGUCUCUUCUAUACUUUUAAGUGUGUUGCAAUCAAACUACUUGUAAAAAAAAUAAGGUAAAAUUUCACUUAUAGUUUUCUUAGAGUAUCUAUAACUAACUUUCUAGUCUAAAUUUCAUAUUUACAAUUCAUAGACAAAAUAAAUGACAUUUUUAUGCAUAUAUAGACAAAAAAGAAGGAAAAAUAACAACAAAAAGAGAUAAAAAAGAAAAUUUUAAUGUAAUAAAUGUCCUUAGUCUUCUCCAAUUUUUCAUUUAUUUCUCUGAUAUAACAGAUCAAUAAAUAUGAAUUUAUACGUUAAUUACUCCCUCAAAAGUUGAUAAUUUUUUUAAAAAAAAUUGUGAUCUACAGGAGAAAAUUAGUAAUUCAUGCAUACAAAAUUCUGGUAUAUACGAUUUACACAAAUUAUUGUUUUACUUGAAUUUAUUUACUGAAAUCCUUUUUUGAAUCUAAUACGCAAUAAAAAUUGAUUCAGUUUCAACAUAAUGAAAAUUGAUUUUAUUAUUGGUUUAAAUUAGAUUUUCGAAAUUGAAUGCACAAUAUAAACUUCAAAAAUUUUCAAAUUGUCAAUUUUGUAAUUACUAUUAUUUUUGUAUACAAUAACUUCAAUUGUAAUUUUAUGUUUCAAUUUUCGUAUUCAAUUUUUAUUUUCGUAAUUUUGAAUUUUUUUCACAGAAGUUGUUAAAAGGUUAUAAUCCCUUUUUGUGUUAGUUUUUUUUAUUUUUUCUAAAUUUCAUUUGUAAUUGCAAUUUGUGUGAUAUAUUCAUUCAUUACUCUACUACAUAUUUCAUAAUAUACAAUUGAUAGUCUUUUAAUAUUUUUUUUUAUGUAUAUCUAUUAAUAGUAUAUUUGAAUUUUUGUAUAUCUGUUAACAUAAGUGUAUAAUUGUAUUUGUAUAUCUGUUUUAAAGGUUACAAAGUUUGUUUUCAUUAUUUGUAUAUCUAUUGUUUGUAUAUCUGUUUAUUAAUUUACAUAAAUUUGAUAUUUGUAUAUCAGUUGUUUGUAUAUCUAUAUAUACAUAUAUGCAAAUGAAGUAUACAUAUAUUCAAAUAAAAACCGUUGUUUAUUAUUUGUAAAUCUGUUGUUUGUAUAGUUGUAUAUACAAAUUUGAAUGUUGUUUGUAAACGAUAUUGCAAGCGAAAUACACAUAUAUUCAGAUCAAAAUUGUCAUUUAUUAUUUAUAUAUCUGUUGUUUGUAUAUCUGUAUAUACAAAUUUAAAUGUUGUUUGUAAACGAAAUAUACAUACAAACGAAAUAUACAUAUUUGUAUAUCUGUUGUUUGUAUAUCUGUAUAUACAUAUAUGCAAACGAAAUAAACAUAUACAUAUAUGUUUAUUAUUUGUAUAUCUAUUAUUUGUAUAUCUGUAUAUGCAAAUUUGAAUGUUUAGCAUAACAACAAAUUUGAAUGUAUAUGCAUAUAUGCACUCUAACACUGUAUAUAUCUAUAUAUGCAUUAUUCUUCAAAAUGUAUAUGUGAAAGUUAAAUGUAUAUACAUAUAUGUAGAUUGUAUAUAGAUAUAUCAAAAAUACAAACUAUAUAAACAUACAUACACUCUAACUCUCUCUCUCUCUCUCUCUCUCUCUCUCUCUUAUCUCUCUAUAUAUAUAUAUAUAUGCAAGUAUUAUUCUACAAAAAAAAAAGUAUACGUAUCUACAUGUAUUGAAACAAAAAUUUAUAUUGACCAACAAUUCUGUUUCAUGAGAAAAUAUACAAAAAGACCUCGUAAUCAUUGUCAACUUCAUUACUCCCCCUUUUAGAUUUAGAUACCUUAAAAUAUAUUUUCCUUUUCGCCUUGCUAGAAGAUGCAAAAUUCUUUCCUUUUUUAUUUUUUUGAUAAAUCAUCCAUAAAAAAAUGGGGAAGUGACUUACAUAAUAUAUAAAUAAUUAUAUUAUAAAAUAAAAAUCAGCAAAAACGAAAAAAUUAUAAAAACGGGGGAGCGCUCCCCCUUUUCUAUUUUUUUGUAAAAUAUAUGAAGAACGAAAAAAUUUAACGAUUAAUUGACAUAAUAUAUAAAUUUUUUUGAAAAAAAAAUCUAAUGUCAAUAAGUGAUUUAUCACAUAGAAAUCCAGAAUUAUAUUUUGUGGUAUUAGAGUGACUUUGAGAGAAAAAUAAGGAGAAAAAAGUUGAAGAAGAUGUCUUAAAUAAUCAUGUAUUAUGAUUUUGCCAAUGUUGGCGUUUCUUUAAUUUAAAAUCAAGGAUAUUAGAGUAAUUUUGAGAGAAAAUUAAGGAAAAAAUAGUUGAAGAAGAUAUCAUAAAAAAUCUUAUGUUUUGAUAUUCCGUUGUUGCUUUUUUUUGAGUCAAUAGGAUAGAGAGAGAAUAGAAAGAAAAAACCAAAAAUAAAUAUAUGAGAGAGAAAAUUGAUAUAUACAAAUCUUAAUAUAUUUGUAUAAAUGGUCCAAAAAAAAACAACUAACUUUUAACUACCAAAUGACUAUGAAUUGUAAUUUUUUAAAACAUGAACCAUUUCAUAUAAUUAAUAUAGUAUUUUGUCUAUAAUAUGUAGUUUUUCCAAAAAAUAACUACAGACGAUGCACUCAAGGUGGAGCUAGAAGUCGACGUUCAGCUUCAACCGAAGUAAUCAAUAUUAGUUCAAUCUUUAUAAUACAAAAGUCAACAGUCAAGUAAAACUUAUGCAUAAAAUAUAUGGUAGUAGUUCUCCACAAUAUUACCUCAAAGGAAACAUGUUGCAUAGUAAAAUCAUGAAACUUUAGGUGGAACAUUUGACUUAAAAAUCUAUUCAGCGUGUUCAUUCAUCUUCCUAACCCCCAACCUGCUUCAGAAAUAAUUUAUAUCAGCUAUUUAUAAGGAAAAAAAGCAAGACUUAUCAUCAUUGCGCAGAGUUUCCUACGUCUUACAUUCUCCAUAACAAACUAAUAAUAAAAGCAUUCAUUGAAUUUAUUAAAAGUGUAAACAAUAAGCAUGGUAAGAUAUCAACAAUAAGAAUUGCAAGGACUUGGAAUUCUCAAUAUAGAGUGUGUGUAUUGUACUUAUAUGCAAAAUAUAUUCAAUUCAACAAUAACAAAUUCAAUAAAGUUUCACAAGUGAAGUACGAAGAGGGUAUGAUGUAUGCUAACCUUACUUCUUCAACCUCUCAAGGAAUACAGAGGUUUCAGAUAGAUAUUUAACUCAAAAGAAGUGUAAUUAGAAUAGAAUAAAGAGGAUUUUUUUUUCUUUAAUGAAUAUACUAAAUUGUAUCACCUUGUUUCUUGUACAAAAUGCGUUUUAAUUGAAUGCAAGAUGUUAACACUUUCAAGAAAAUCGUCUUAACGUAUCCAGUAGUUGUUAGCAUCAUCUACACCGGAAAAUUCAGCGACCGUUUGCUGCCCACUCCCAGAAUCAUAUGACACAUCCAUGCGAAGUUAGAAAUAAAGAUUGGGGUAUCUUAAUUUGUUCGUAAUAUUAAAGUUAAUACUCACUUCGUUUCAUAUUAGUUGACCCCUACAGACUUGAUACAUCCAUUAAGAAAAUAUUAAUUUAGGAUUUAUUUUACCAAUUAGCCUUAUUCAUUAUGCUUUGAAAAUAUAAAUUUGAUUAAACACAUUUUUUUAGUCAUUUAGUGUUAAGGGUAGUAUUGGAAAAACAUAAUAAAAUCUUUUUGAUUUCAUCAAAGAGACAACUAAACUAAAAUAAAUAUUUUUACAAAGAGGGUCAAUUAAAAUGAAACGGAGGAAAUAUUAAAGACAUUAAAAAUCAAGUACAAAAUUUCAUUAUAUAUAGAUAUAUAUAACUUUUUUUUUUUUUUUUGGCAAUUAAAAGGGAACUUUCUAUUACCUAAGGAUAAUUUUUACAAAAGUCAAAACUGUUUGUGGCAUAACCGCCAAAACAUUUGCAUAUCAGGCUAUUAUUACAUCAAACUAGAAGGCUUGCAAAGUCAAACUAGGGAAUUAGGGAUAAAAGAUAAGCUCCGCUAAUCUUGGCCUUCUGGAACCUCGCACAAAAAUAUCUUGCACUAUCUUCCUGUUGAUCACCUACGUUGGAUUACUCUUCAAUUGAAAAAUUCAUCAAUUUCUCUCGAUCCAUACCUGGUAUACACCAGCUGCCAACCACAACCUAUAUAAGGUUACUGAGGCUACCCUUCCCUUGGUAUUAACAAAGGCCCAUUCUAGCUCUUCUUGCCAUGCCAUCGUGGCAUCGCUUGCCUUGUAAUACCUAACCAUAGUAACAUUUUGGACCAUAUUUCACUGGAAUAGGGGCAGCUGAAAAAUAAAUGUUCAAUAGAUUCACUUCCUGAGGGGCAUAAAGCACAUUGCUGAUCAUUAGUAACUCCCCAUUUCACAAGUCUGUCCCUAGUGUGAAGCCUUUUCAGAGCUGCCAGUGGUAGUAUGAAAAUUCACUUGGGUGAGCCGGGAUUUUUGCAUAUAAGACUUCGCCACCGAACUUUCUGGUAAGUACCUCGCAUAACAACAUAUAACUUCUUGAUUGAGAAAUGCUCCAUAGAAGUGAUAUCAAUUUCCCUAAUACUAGCAUCCUGCAAAUAUAGCUUAGCUUUCACUAUUUUCUGAACUACCCAGGAGGCUUGUUUGGGACUCCAACUCCAUAUAGGUUUAUCCUUUAUAUAAUAGCAAUGUACCCACUUGACCCAUAAGUUGUCCUUCUUAUGACAUAAAUGUUCGGUUCAAUAUGUAUGGAAGAAGUGUGAAUGGAAAAUGGAGAGAAAAAUGGUGGAGGGAAGGAGACACUAAUUUAGAAAGUGUACUCCCAACUUGGAAAGUUCACUAAAUCACCCACAUUAGUGGGAGAAGAGAACUUUGGAGUGUUUUUAAUAAAGAAUACUUACUCGACAUGGAUAGUGAGACAAGAACAAGGUAGUGCCUCGCGCCGUCGUCGUUGUCGCUCGCUCGGCUUCGGAUUCUGAUUCGGCAAAUGAUUAAUGAGAUCUAUCUUUUUGGAAAAAAUUUAUUUGAUCAAAAUCUAAUCCGAAUAUACCAAAGGAAAAAUGACAAUGCAGAAAAUUUUUCUGUGUUUUAUCCUCCAUUUAUAUGCAUGUAUACAACGAAUUGUUGUAACGUUUCGAACUAAACUGAUGCACUGUUUUGAACUGAACUGAUGCUUCGGAAAGAUGCAAACAUUCAGUAAAAUGACACACUGAUUCAUGAAAUAGCAUGCCUGUUCGGGAAAGACACACUGUUUGGACAAAUAGACAUGAUUUUUCAGGAAAGGUUACACCUUUUUAAGUGAACCAUUGUCACUUUUCAGAAGAGGCAUGUUAUGGCUUUAUAAACCUGCUUUCAUCCACAGGUUUAGACAUGAAAAAUAAUUUCUAAAACAAAAACUCUUCUUGUCUUCAAAUAUUCUGUGUGAUCAAUCAAACUGUUGAGUGAGUUCGUAGAAUCCGACAAUUUGAGGUACCGCUAUUGUUCGGAUUGAAGGCUAUUUUAUCCUAAGAGGAAAAUUUCAUAACCUCGGGUACAGUGAGGAGAAUUAUUCCUUAAGGACACUCUGUGAAGUCGGGGGACUUAGUCUGAAUUUUAGUUUCAUCUUUUUCUGAUUAUUAACACACUUCUAAGAUAGAUUAUUCAUAAUCUAGUGUUGAAGGUGUUAAGAAACUUCAUAAGUUCUUGUCUUGAACUUGAACUUGCUUUGAAGUUUGUGUUGCUUAUAUACAGAUUCUUGUACCCGACUAAAUACAAAAUAACAAUCUUAAGGAAUAACCUAGAAUCUGUAUUACUUGUUUUUAGAGAUGAAAGCUUUAAGCUUUCUACUCCAUUUGAAUUUAACUAGUGAUUAGAAGACAUAAAAUCUUCGUCACAAAAUUUAAAAUUCAUUCGGUUGACAAUUGGAAGUCAUAAAAACUUCAUUGUUAACUAGAAGCAAGAAGAAGAGUGUAAAUAUGCUUAACUUUAUAAGUAGUAUUCUGAAAAUACUAAAUAUUAUUGUCUUGUGGUGACAGAAAAAAUGACUAACGAUAAUCUAAUGCAAGAUGCGGCUACGACUGUGGAGGCAAACAGUAUUGCCUCAACAGGUCGAGCAAAUGCUCCACAACCAAUGGCACCUGCGGAGAAGCCCAGAAAAUUUGGGGGCAUUGACUUUAAGUGAUGGCAGCAGAAGGUGUUCUUCUACCUCACAACACUAUGCCUUCAAAAGUUCACUAGUGAGAAUGCUCCUGAGGUGCCCUAGGGAACCUCAAAAAAAGAGCGUUUUAUGAUUGUAGAGGCUUGGAAACACUCAAAUUUCCUUUGCAGGAAUUAUAUCUUGAGUGGUCUACAAGACGACCUUUCUAAUGUUUAUAGUGAAACUAAGACAUCAAUGGAAUUGUGGGGGGCACUUGAACAAAAAUAUAAGACAGAGGAUGUGGAAAUUAAGAAAUUCUUUGUUACAAGAUUCCUAGAUUUUAAAAUGAUAGAUAGCAAAUCGGUUCUCUCAAGUGCAGGAAUCGCUAAUAAUCAUCCACGAUCUCCUAGCGGAAGGUACAUCUUUGAAAAAUACCUUAGUUGAACAAAUUGAAAAGGUUCUUAAUACUCAUAUAAAGUGUUUUGUAGGUUUGAUUGUGAAUGAUGCUUUCCAAGUAGCCGCGAUAAUUGAGAAGCUACCACCGAUGUGGAAAGACUUCAAAAAAUACUUGAAGCAUAAACACAAGGAGAUGACUGUCGAAGAUCUUAUUGUCCGAUUGCAUAUAGACGGGGAUAAUAAAGCUGCCGAGAGAAGGUCAAAAGGGAAUUCUACAAUUAAUGGAGCACAUAUUGUGGAAGAUGACCAAAAUAAUUCUAAGAAAAGGAAGAAAGUUGAACAAGAAAGCUGUCAUGCCUCAAAUCCUAUUGGGGGGGACUGGCACCCAUAAUCGAAGAGGCUUGGGAGAACCAGCUCAUAACCUUAUACUUCCCAUGCAUACCUCUAUGACAACCUGAAAUUCGAAUAGCAUCCUGUAGCAUAUAAAAGGAAAUAAUCACCUAUAUAAGCUCGAGCACACAUAUAUAUGUAUAUACAAUACUUGGCCGUUGAAGCCAUCACGUCUAUUAACAAAAUGCCACCUUGACUGUACAUUAGGUCUACAAAGCCUCUAGACAAUACACAGAGUUUAACUAAGGUCGGGACACACCCCACCAUAUAACUGACUUCUAUACAAUACCAAAAGUGACUGGAUAUGACACGGAAAGCCCCGAAGCAAACUGAAGCUCACCAAAAGCAGCUGGAUAUCCUGGCUCCUACUUGUGCGGUGUAUGAGCUGAGGUGCCUGUGCCUGCAGCAUAAAAUGCAGGUCCCCCAUGGGGAAGUCAGUACAAAAUAUGUACUGAGUAUAUAAAGCUGUAGAUAAUCACAUAUGAUAUAGGAGCUCAAUAGAAAUCAGAAACAAGUGAAUAAAUCGUAAUAGGANNNNNNNNNNNNNNNNNNNNNNNNNNNNNNNNNNNNNNNNNNNNNNNNNNNNNNNNNNNNNNNNNNNNNNNNNNNNNNNNNNNNNNNNNNNNNNNNNNNNNNNNNNNNNNNNNNNNNNNNNNNNNNNNNNNNNNNNNNNNNNNNNNNNNNNNNNNNNNNNNNNNNNNNNNNNNNNNNNNNNNNNNNNNNNNNNNNNNNNNNNNNNNNNNNNNNNNNNNNNNNNNNNNNNNNNNNNNNNNNNNNNNNNNNNNNNNNNNNNNNNNNNNNNNNNNNNNNNNNNNNNNNNNNNNNNNNNNNNNNNNNNNNNNNNNNNNNNNNNNNNNNNNNNNNNNNNNNNNNNNNNNNNNNNNNNNNNNNNNNNNNNNNNNNNNNNNNNNNNNNNNNNNNNNNNNNNNNNNNNNNNNNNNNNNNNNNNNNNNNNNNNNNNNNNNNNNNNNNNNNNNNNNNNNNNNNNNNNNNNNNNNNNNNNNNNNNNNNNNNNNNNNNNNNNNNNNNNNNNNNNNNNNNNNNNNNNNNNNNNNNNNNNNNNNNNNNNNNNNNNNNNNNNNNNNNNNNNNNNNNNNNNNNNNNNNNNNNNNNNNNNNNNNNNNNNNNNNNNNNNNNNNNNNNNNNNNNNNNNNNNNNNNNNNNNNNNNNNNNNNNNNNNNNNNNNNNNNNNNNNNNNNNNNNNNNNNNNNNNNNNNNNNNNNNNNNNNNNNNNNNNNNNNNNNNNNNNNNNNNNNNNNNNNNNNNNNNNNNNNNNNNNNNNNNNNNNNNNNNNNNNNNNNNNNNNNNNNNNNNNNNNNNNNNNNNNNNNNNNNNNNNNNNNNNNNNNNNNNNNNNNNNNNNNNNNNNNNNNNNNNNNNNNNNNNNNNNNNNNNNNNNNNNNNNNNNNNNNNNNNNNNNNNNNNNNNNNNNNNNNNNNNNNNNNNNNNNNNNNNNNNNNNNNNNNNNNNNNNNNNNNNNNNNNNNNNNNNNNNNNNNNNNNNNNNNNNNNNNNNNNNNNNNNNNNNNNNNNNNNNNNNNNNNNNNNNNNNNNNNNNNNNNNNNNNNNNNNNNNNNNNNNNNNNNNNNNNNNNNNNNNNNNNNNNNNNNNNNNNNNNNNNNNNNNNNNNNNNNNNNNNNNNNNNNNNNNNNNNNNNNNNNNNNNNNNNNNNNNNNNNNNNNNNNNNNNNNNNNNNNNNNNNNNNNNNNNNNNNCGUUCGAAGCUCUCGAGAUGACAAACGCAGUUAUCGGAUUACUUUAGAAUUUCUACGGUUGAAUCUAAAGUAAUUUAAAGGUCAAAUUUGGCUAGGGUUUGUUCUUUCUCAAUGAUUGAUGAUGAAAAUAAGUUUUUGAACUCAUAUACAUAUAUAUAUAUAUACACAUAUUCCCAUCCAUAAUAUAAUAGGAAAUGACCAAAAUGCCUUUAAAAUUUAAAUAAUGUCAAAUCUAUCCUUUGGUGGACUGUUUUGGAAAGCUAAAGUAGAUCGACCAUAAAUCUUUUCCCCGAUAUCGAAUUUGGGUGAAAUUGGUACCGUUGGAAGGAUAAUUAAAAGGGCUUUCAUUUCAUAUAAAGUAGGCCACCCAGUUCGUCCUGUACAAGGAGUUAUGGUCGUUUGAAGUUGACCCUAAAAAUCUGUUUUGAUAGGCUGAAGUAAAAUGAGUAUAACUCCUUACUCAGACGUUGAAUUUGGAUGAAUACAAUUGAAUUGGAAAUAAUACUCAAAGAUCUUUCUUUUCAUAGGUCGCAGCUCUCCCAGUUCAUUAUAGUAAGAGAGUUAUGAUCGUUUGAAAUUGACCCAAAAAUUCGGCUGGCCUCAGUAGUUUGUGUGCAGGAAAUUUUCCUGCACAUUUACUAUUCCCAAAUAUCCCGGCCACCGUUUUAUAGUUUCGAACGUACUUGAUUAUAUCCGAAACCUAUCCAUUUUUAGAAAUCUUUAUAUCGUUGGAAAGUUUAUUCAAUAACCUUCGCAUGGAACCAUCGACGGGCAAGUUCUGGUAUAAAUAAAAUAAAAAAAUUAAUUCUAUAUAAAUAAGACCAAUACACGUACUUGAAUACACCAAUAAAUGUAUUUGAAUACAGGGUGUUACAGAAGCAAUCAACCCAAGAAUAAAUUCAAGGAAAAAUGCUUCAAUUGUAACAAGAUUGGCCACAAGUCCACGGAUUUUUGCACCCCGAAGAAAGGAAAGAAAAAGGACCAAGCAAAUAUGCUUGAGUCCAACAAAGAAUGUGAUGAUCUGUGUGCUAUAUUCUCAGAAUGCAACUUGGUGGGGAAUCCUCGCGAAUGGUGGAUGGAUUCUGGUGCCACCCGCCAUGUGUGUGCCAACAAAGAGUUAUUUUCGUUAUUCACUCCGGCUCAAGUAGAAGAAAUGAUCUACAUGGAUAACUCCGCUACUGCUAAGGUAGAAGGAACAAAAAAAUAUGCUUGAAAAUGACUUCAGGAAAAGUCUUGACAGUUAACAAUGUCUUGUAUGUUUCGGAGUUAUGUAGGAACUUAAUUUCUAUUUCACUUUUAUAUAAGAACGGAUUCGAAUGUGUAAACGUUUCUGAAAAAAUUAUAAUUAGCAAAGGAGAAAUGUAUGAAGGAAAAGAAUAUCUCACUGAGGGCCUUUAUAAGAUGAAUGUAAUAAAUGUUGAAAUCAGUAAAAGUUUAAAUUCUUCUUAUUUGCUUGAGUCUUAUGAUUUAUGGCAUGAACGUUUAGGCUAUGUUAAUUACAAAAUGCUACGAAAACUGAUUAACUUAGAAGUUUUGCCAAACUUUGAGUGCAAUAAAUCAAAGUGUCAAACAUGUGUAGAAUCAAAGUAUGCAAAGCAUCCUUAUAAGUCUGUUGAAAGGAAUUCCAAUCCCUUAGACUUAGUACACACUGACAUUUGUGAUAUGAAGUCAAGACCAUCACGUGGUGGGAAAAAGUAUUUCAUAAAUUUUAUUGACGAUUGCACUAGAUAUUGUUAUGUCUACUUGCUAAAUAGCAAGGAUGAAGCAAUAGAUGCGUUUAGGCAAUACAAAACUGAAGUGGAAAAUCAGUUAGAGAAAAAGAUAAAAAUGAUAAGAAGUGAUAGGGGCGAAGAAUAUGAAUGCCCCUUCUCUGAGAUAUGUGUAGAGAAUGGAAACGUCCAUCAAACUACGGCCCCGUAUUCACCUCAAUCUAAUGGAAUUGCGGAAAGGAAAAAUUGAAUUUUGAAGGAAAUCAUGAAUGCCUUACUUAUAAGUUCUGGUUUACUGCAAAACUUACGGGGGGAGGCUAUCCUUACAACCAAUCGUAUACUCAACAGAGUUCCCCAUAGUAAGACACAAUCAAUUCCUUAUGAAAAAUGGAAAGGAAGGAAACCUAACUUGAAAUAUUUUAAAGUGUAAGGGUGUCUAGCAAAGGUCCAAAUUCCUAUACCUAAAAGGGUUAAGAUAGGACCUAAGACGGUGGACUGCGUGUUCAUAGGAUAUGCUAAAAGUAUUAAAGCAUUUCAUUUUUUGGUUCAUAAAUCCAAAGAUUCGGAUAUUAAUGAAAAUACGGUAAUUGAAUCAGACAAUGUUGAAUUCUUUGAAAACAUUUAUCCGUAUAAAACUAGACAUGAACAGUCUAGUGGGGGGUCUAAAUGACCUCAAGAUGAACUAAGUGAGAAUGUACAUAAUGAAGAAAAUAAAAAACGUAGUACACAUCAAAGAACGUCUACUUCAUUUGGAUCGGAUUUUGUAACAUUUCUCUUAGAAAAUAAGACUCAAACAUUUAAGAAAGCGAUGACAUCUUCGAACUCAUCCAUUUGGAAAGAGGCAGUCAAUAGGGAGAUUGAUUUAAUCUUAAGCAACUAUAUAUGUGAAUUAGUUGAUCUUCCUCCCAAAAAUAAACCUUUAGGUUCUAAAUGGAUCUUCAAAAGAAAGAUGAAAGCGGAUGGUACUAUUGACAAAUACAAGGCAGGACAUGUAGCAAAAGGCUUCAAACAAAAAGAAGGCCUUGAUUACUUUGAUACAUUCUCGCCAGUAAUAAGGAUAACAUCAAUUUGAAUGUUAAUUUCCUUAGCUGCGGUAUAUGGCCUUGAAAUCCAUCACAUGGAUGUGAAAACCGCUUUCCUAAAUGGAGAAUUGGAGGAAGAAAUAAACAUGGAACAGCCUGAGGGUUUGGUGGUUCCAGGAAAGGAAAACAAGGUAUGUAAACUUAUUAAGUCAUUGUAUGGACUAAAGCAAGCACCAAAAAAAUGACAUGCAAAGUUUGACCAAACCAUGUUGGCAAAUGAAUUCAAAAUAAAUGAAUGUGAUAAAUGUGUUUAUAUUAAAGACACUCCAAAUCACCAAGUCAUUGUAUGUUUAUAUGUGGAUGAUAUGUUGAUCAUCCACAGAGAUAUUUCUGACAUAAAUACAAUAAAAUGAAUGCUCGAGAGCAAGUUUGAUAUGAAAAACCUUGUAGUUGCAGAUGUGAUCUUAGGUAUAAGAAUCCAUCGAACUCCACAAGGGUGCGCAUUGUCACAGUCUCAUUAUAUCAAAAAUAUACUUGACAAGUUCAAGUAUAUGGAAUUCGGUAUUGCCAAGACUCUUUUGGAUGUGAGCUUUGCACUUUGAAAGAAUGAAGGUGAAAGUGACUCACAAUUGGAGUACACAAGAAUAUUGUGAUGUUUAAUGUAUAUAAUGAACUGUACAUAACCAGACAUAGCAUGUGCUAUCAGUAAGUUGAGUCGAUACACGCGUAAUCCCAACAAAACUCACUAAAUAGCAAUGAAAAGAGUUUAGGGGUAUCUUAAAUACACUCAAGAUUAUGCCUUGCAUUAUAAUAAAUAUCCUACGGUACUUGAAGGGUAUAGUGAUGCAAAUUGGAUCACCAGAUCGAAUGAAGUUAAAUCCACAAGUGGAUAUGCAUUUAGAAUCAGUGGAGGAUCAGUCUCUUGGAAAUCAUCCAAACAUAUUUGUAUUGCUCGCUUUACAAUAGAAUCUAAAUUUAUCGCAUUGGAUAAAUGCGGUGAAGAAGCAGAAUGGCUUCCGUAUUGGCCCAAGCUAGUGGCACCAGUAUGUAUACACUGUGAUAACCAAGCGGCAAUAGGUAGGGCAUGGAUCAUGAUGUACAAUAGUAAAUCUUCACAUACGACGAAGACACAAUACCGUUAGGGAACUUCUCUCUAGUGGAAUUAUCAUGGUUGACUAUGUAAAGUCAAAGGAUAAUGUGUCGGAUCCACUUACAAAAGGCCUAUCUAGAGAAGAAGUGGAAAAGACAUCUAAGGGAAUAGGUUUAAGGCCUAGGAUAAGUCAGCAUAGCGGUAACUCUGCCUAGCAGACUGGAGAUCCCAAGAGCUAAGUUCAAGGAGAUCAAACAAAUUUAUGUUUGACAGGUUCAACAUUAUCAAUUACCUAACCCAUUCUAAUGAUGUAGACAAUGUUUAGUAAACAAGGAUAAGACUUAAGGUGAAAAUUCCUUUAAUGAUUAUCUAAAUUUGGCAAAUUUGACAAAAUAGUUUAAUCUAUAGGAUUGAACGUUUAGAAAUCACUUAAGUGAGGACGAAGUGGAAGCCACUUCAAGGAGAAUGUUAGUAAAGGUCUAUUCUCUAAGCUCUCAUGAAAUCGGGACAUGUUCAUGGCUAAAAAGAACCAAACCGUGAGAAUCAUAAAUGGUAAAAGGAUGAUUGUGUGACAUGUGUUGUCUAGGUGUACAUUAAAGCUCAAUGGUUCAAAGAUAUCAAAUCUAUCGAUUGAACGAGUGCAUCCAAUGUAUGUUCACUACAGAAAGUUCAAAGGAAAACCCACUUAUCCAGAUACAAUCAGUCUUUGCUUGAUGAUCACAUACUUGUCCGUAAAAUUUUUAUGAAAAAUAGUCAUUUUCCAUUCAUGUGGGGGAUAGUUGGGUUCAAUAUGUAUGGAAGAAGUGUGAAUGAAAAAUGGAGAGAAAAAUGGUGGAGGGAAGGAGACACUAAUUUAGAAAGUGUACUCCUAAAUUGAAAAUUUCACUAAAUCUCCCACAUUGGUGGGAGAAGAGAACUUUGGAGUGUUUUUAAUAAAGAAUACUUACUCCACAUGGAUAGUGAGGCAAGAACAAGGUGGUGCCUCGCGUCGUCGUCGUCCUCGCUCGCUCGACUCGACUUUGGAUUUGGAUUUGGAUUUGGUUAAUGAUCGAUUGAUGUGAUCUAUCUUUUUGGACAAAAUUUAUUUGAUCAGAAUCUGAUCCAUAUAUACCAAAGGAAAAAUGACAGAAACGCAGAAAAUUUUUCUGAGUUUUAUCCUCCAUUUAUAUGCAUGUAUAUGAUGCACUGUUACGAACUGAAUUGAUGCAAUGUUAUGAAAUGAUGCUUCGGAAAGAUGCAACCAUUUAGUAAAAUGACACACUAAUUCAUGAAAUGGCAUGCCUGUUCGAAAAAGACACACUGUUUGGACUAAUAGACAUGAUUUUUCAGGAAAAGUUACACCUUUUAAGUGAACCAUUGCCACUUUUCAAAAGAGGCAGAUUAUGGCUAUAUAAACCUGCUUUCAUCCACAGGUUUAGACAUGAAAAAUAAUUUCUAAAACAAAAACUCUUCUUGUCUUCAAAUAUUCUGUGUGAUCAAUCAAACUGUUGAGUGAGUUCGUAGAAUCCGACAAUUUGAGGUACCGUUAUUGUUUGGAUUGAAGACCAUUUUAUCCUAAGAGGAAAAUUUCAUAACCUCGGGUACAGUGAGGAGAAUUAUUCCUUAAGGACACUCUGUGAAGUCGGGGGACUUAGUCUGAAUUUUAGUUUCAUCUUUUUCUGAUUAUUAACACACUUCUAAGAUAGAUUAUUCAUAAUCUAGUGUUGAAGGUGUUAAGAAACUUCAUAAGUUCUUGUCUUGAACUUGAACUUACUUUGAAGUUUGUGUUGCUUAUAUACAGAUUCUGGUACCCGAAUACAUACAAAAUAAUAAUAAAUUCCACAAUUGCUUACUGACGGCCGUUCUAUUCCAGAGCGAUAUCCAGGACAUUAAUUCCACCAGAAGUUCUAAGUAAGCUCACUUUGUCCCAUGGUUACAAAGUCUUUUUUCAACUCCACCGGUCCACAAGAAUCUCAUACAAGUCUGUUCAAUGAGUUUGAUCACCUUAGAAGGCAAAAUAAAAAUCUGUGACCAAUAGACUUGUAUGGAAAACAAGACAGCUUUGAUCAAGGUUUCUCGUCCAGCAUAAGAGAGGAACUUGGUAGUCCAACAUAAAAUUCUACCAAUAUCUUUGUGAUCAAGGUCUAACAUUGCAUUAUUGAUAAUCUUUUGGUACUUAAGGGUACUCCUAAAUACCUAAAAGGCAAGGCACAUAGCAGUUUGGAUAAUAUCUUUGACUCCACCAAAAUACACGCAGCUCUUAUCAAGGUUAGCUAUCAGGCCAGAAGCUUGUGAGAAGUGAUGAAAGCAAUCAUAAAGUAGUUGGACAGACUUGACAUCUCCUUUACAGGAUAAAAGUAGAUCAUUCGCAAAUCCAAGUUGAAUCACAUUCAUUUUAGCAUAUCUAGGGUGAAACUUGAACUCAAGCAUAGUAAUCGAUUGUUUCAGCUUCCUAGGCAAAUACUCCAUAGCUAGGACAAAAAAGAAGGGGCACAUAGGGUCCACCUGCUGUAAUCCUCUCUUAGCAUCAAAGGGUUCAGCGGGCCAACCAUUAAUACAAAUCAAAUAGGACACUGUUUGGAGACAUUCCAUCAUCCAUCCUAUAAAUCUGGUUGGAAAAUUUAAGUGCCUCAACAUUUGUUCCAGAAACACCCAUUCCAGUGAGUCGUAUGCUUUUUGCAUAUCGACUUUGAGCGUACACCUUGGAAAAAUUCCUUUCCUACCAUAAUUGAAGUCCUCAUAUUAAGAAUAUAUUGCACCAAAAAUUGGAUCCAAGACCGAAUAAAAAUCUUACAUAAGAGAAAUUAUACAAUGAAACUAAUUUAUUUAUUAAAAUAAUUCAUAUUAAAUAUUGGGUUAGAGAUAAAAAUGGUAGUACGAAUUUGCCUUUGCUUGGAUUCCAUAUUGUCAUUUAAUUGCUUUCAAGUUUAGCAAUUCUUUUGUUAGGUUUGUACUAAUUUUCUACUAUAACUAAAAUUAAAUUUUUUGGUGGAAAAAGGUUACUUUGUUAAAAAAGAUCUAUUUCAUAUUUGAAAAUAAAUUUUUGGAGGAAAAGUUUUUAACUUUGAUAAAUUGAGAAUCUUUUUACUUAUAAAUAAUAGAAUAACAUUGACAAUAUAGCCUUUAAAGAGCUUUUUUAAGAAGGUAAAUUAUUCUUUCAAUAGUUGUGUAUUUUAAAUAUUAGUUUUUUCAUUAUGAGUGACCGUAUUUUAAAUAUUAGUUUUUUCAUUAUGUAGGUCACUCGAUCAAAUCAUAUUAAAUUUUAUACUUAAUUUGUUAUAUAAUUUUUUUGUUAUCUGAUUUAUUCUCUUCAAUGCUAGCAAUAGUUAGAUUUUGAAUAACGUUAUGUAGAAUAAUCAGGGCAACAUGCUCAUUAUUUUGAUUUACUGCAAUUCCAACUUUUUUAGAAUUAACUCGGAACUUUAAUUGUAGAAUAAUCAAAACUUAAAUUUUUAUUCCAAUAGACAAUAACAUAAUUGAGAUACAAUAUUUAAAUUAUUUAAAUAUUAGAUGGUCAAGCUUUAGGACCUAGUAGCCCUAAAGCAUCCGUAGUGGCUGCGGAAGUGGUCGAGAAAUCUGCAGCACCAACGAAUUGGGCAAAUUUGUUCACUACUAACAAGUUUGCAGCUAAAGGAAUGGAACUUGAGUAUGUUGCACCUAUGAUUGUUGAAGGGGAAGUUGUAGCACAACUACAGCAAGAGGAUAUACAAGCAGGCAUUGAGGCUUGGAAGCAUGCUCUAAUUUUCUAUGUUGUUGGAACUUCCCCAACCAUAGCAGUUGUUGAACGUUAUAUUGUUGGAACAUGUAAUUUUGUAGCCGCCCCUAAAGUGUACUACCACAAUGAUGAUUUCUUCUUGAUCAAAUUUCAGAGCAUCGCUGAUCGUGAUGCGGUUCUCUUUUAGGGUCCUCAUAUGAUGAACAACAGACCAGUAAUUGUCAAAGGGUGGGAAGCUGACUUUGAUCUGAACAAAGAGGUGCUUCGAAUGAUCCUGCUAGGGCUCAAAUUGCCAGGACUCCCGCUGAGCUAUUGGAGUUUGAACUCCUUGAGUAGAAUUGGGAGUGACCUUGGUAAACCAGUGUAUGCGGAUAACUGUACAACCAACGUGGAUUGUAUUUCUUAUGCGAGAAUUUUAGUGAUUAUGGAUAUCACAAAACCCCUUCCACAAUCAAUUAAGGUGUUCGACCAUAAUGGAAGAGUAGUUGAACACGAUAUUGUAUAUGAAUGGAAGCCGACAUACUGUGACAAAUACCUCCAAGUUGGUCAUAACUGCCAGGCCAAGGUGAAACAACAAAAAAAUAAAGAAGAAGGUGCUAAAGUGCAGACUACAAUAAAUCUGGAGAAAGGUGAAAUUAAGCCAGCCAACCCACAAAAGGGGAAACACAUGCGAGCAUUAUGGUUAAGAAAAGAUGGGGAAAUAAUGCAACCUCACCUGCUAAUUUUGGAAAAGGGGUCUUCAAGCAACACAGAGGAUGAAGGGUGGAAAUAGGUAGCAGGCAAGUCAAAUCCUAGGACUGCACAGGCGCAAACCCCUACUACUAUUGCUAAUGUGUUUAGACCACUAGAUUUUCCACCUAUACAGGCCUAAAAGGUGAACCAACAAGCUCAAUCGGGUGCGCCUAGGGGUAUGACCCGUCCCCCCGACCCUCAAUAAGCUUCAUGAAGAUAGUUGCCUGGAACAUUGGAGGCCUCAAUAAAGUGUACAAGUAGCCUGAGUUAAUAAAGUUCCUAAGGGAAAACAAUAUAGGCCUCAUAGCUUUAUUGGAACAUAGAGUUUGUCAAUCUCAAGCUUCUAGAAUAAAAGAUAGAAUUGCACAAGGGUAGGAAGUUUGUUGGAAUUACACUAUUGGGAAAGAUCACAUAUGGAUAUUGUGGAAUCCCGAUAUAAUUCAAUUCCACCCGCUGGACAUCCAAGAUCAGUUUAUUCAUGGUACCUUCAAGUUGAUUGGUAGGCAAUUGGAGUUCUACAUCACUGCAAUUUACGGUCUACAUACUGUGUCUUCUAGAAGACCACUAUGGCGUGCUAUCAGGAGUAUCCAUAAUUCAAUUCAUGGACCUUGGGUGAUUUUAGGGAACUUCAACGCUAUCCGAGAUAUAUAUUAUAGAUUAUAUAGGAGUAUGGUGCAGGAAUAUGAGGUAUCUGACUUUAAUUCAUGCAUGAUUGAUGCUGGUUUGACUGAACUAAAAACCAUUGGCCACAAAUAUGCUUAGAGAAAUAAUCACACUAUAAGCAAAAUUGAAUAGGCUUUAGUCAACAGUGAUUGUAUGAUGCAAUUUUCUCACAUCGAAGCUGUGACAUGGACCCACACUGUUCUGAUCAUUCUCUAAUUAUUGUUGAAAUAGAGGAACAAUAUGCGCCAAGGUAUAGGCCUUUAAAAUUCUUUAAUCAUAUUUCUAAUCACCCUGAAUUUUUGGGGAUUAUCAGUCAGGUUUGGACGCAACAAAGGCAUGAAACUGGAAUGAAAUCCAUUUAGGGUAAACAGAAAGCUGCAGAACGACUCAUUAAGGGACUAAACUCAAGGGGAUUUUCUAAAGUAGAUGAAAAUUUGCAACUGUACAGAGAGGAACUUGUCGAGGUGCAACAACAGAUGCAAGACCCUACCAAUUUUAGCACCUUAUUUGAGAGGGAAAGGAAUACCAAAAUGAAGUUGGAGAAAUGGCCCUCUAUCGAAGAAAACAUACUGCAAUAGAAGUCACAAGUGAAAUGGCUCCCAUUAGGAUAUUCUAAUAAUGCAUAUUUUCAUGCCUUCAUGGAGGGAAGAAUUACCCAGAAUCAGAUUCGAUCUCUCACUACUUUGGUAGGAAAUAUAGUUCACACCUCAGAUGAUAUAGAAGCUGAAAUUACAGGAUUCUACAAGAAGCUAUUGGGCUCCUCUUCUUCUCUGCUGCCUUUUAUUCAAGAGGAGGUGUUACUUAAAGUUUCUAGGCUGCACAGAGAACAAUAAUUGAAUCUGGUCAAAUCAGUUAUAAUAGAGGAAAUAAAGAAAGAACUAAUGUGCAUAAAUGACCUUAAAGCUCCGAGCUAUGAUGGAUUAAAUUCCACUUUUUCAAAAAGAGUUGGGAGUUUAUAGGAGAAGAAGUAACUACAGCAGUGCUCCAAUUCUUCCAGACUUGCCAAAUGUACAAGCCCUCAAUUGCACAACAGUGACGUUAAUUCCCAAGAUCAAGAACCCUAUAACAGUAAAAGUAUUUUAGGCCUAUUUCAUGUUGCAUAAUUUUGUAUAAAUGUAACAUCCCGUAGCAUUCUCGACUUAGCACCACUCUUAGUGGCAUGCAUAGAGAGCUUACAACCUGAAAUUUUUGUAAGUGUUAAAAUACUUAGUCAUAUUUUUGAGCCCUUAACUCCAAUGAUUUUGUAAAUUGAUCUUCCCAACCUCGAGACAUAGAUUUUUUAGUUGAUUCAUGUUCAGGGAUAUAAGGAGAUGUCUAGGGAAAGUUUUGGAUUUUUCAAACAAGGUUUGGGAUGUGUUUGGAUUUUGAAAAUAGUGGUUCACCGCGAUUGCACCGCACUGCGGUACUUAUAGCAAUGAUGCCUCUGGCGCAUCGCGGUGAGUCCCAAAAAUGGAUUUCAGUUGCAAAUUUAAAUUCUGAGGGGCAAUCUUGUCUUUUUCCUAUAGCCCCAAAUCGUGAUAAUAGUACUUUAAGAUGUCAUUGGGGAAUUAUAUGCUAAAAAUUACUCAAUUUCUCUCAUAAAACUAAAUCCUAACUCUUCCUCAAAGAUCAAGAAUCCAACCUAUAAGCUUAAGAUUUUCAAGAAAGGAGUCAAUAUUAGAGUUCAUUCUUUGAACUAAGGAACCUAAGGUACGUGGGCUAUCCUAAACUUCAUGGGCAUAGUGAAAUCAUUUUUAGUAAAUUUUAGAGUUAUGAACUCAUGUGUUUAUGAAAGGUUUUGAAAAUACUCUAAAUAAUUAUGCUUUAUGAAACCAUUUAGAUGACAUAGCGUUUUGGUUUUGAGGCCCUAUUAUGGAAUUGAAACAAUGUCACGUGUAUAUACAAGUAUUUUCAAUUUUGUAAGUUUGAAUUGAGAGCAUGAAUAACGUAACUCCCUUUCUUGUUAUGAUACCUUUGGAUUUCACAUGUUAUGGGUUGUCAAAUUACAUGAUUGGAAGUAUGAAAUGAAUGUUUUGAUAUUGUUUAUGAACUUGAUAUUAGUUGUGAAUUGAAGAGAAGAUGUUUUUUUGUUUAUAAGUGUUUAAUGCAAUAAUUGAAAGAGUUGCAUGGAUUGUUACACAGAAAUUGACCAUCAAGUGUUAAAGUAUUGAAAGAAGAGAGUCUUUGCAUAAGUUUCACAUGUUUUGAACUAAGAACUAUUUUGCAUGAUUUAAAUGUUUUGAUGGUCAAAUGAUUGAGCUGAUUGAACAAUCUAAAACAAAACAUGACAUGGCUUAAACAUAUGACUUGCAAGUUUUGGUAUGACGAUACCAAAAUAGAUAAUGCCAUGAUAGACUCAGAAUAGAAUACUGAUUUCCUUAUAACAGAAUACCGAUUUCAUCCAGAUUUUUAGAUUUUAAGUUCAGAAAUAUGCAUGUUUAGAAAAGGUUAAAAAUGGGCUUAAAGAGAGUUAGGUGGUACUCGAAGAAGGCAUGAGUUCAGACACUCCUUGCUCGAAAUCGUAUUUUGCUGAUAAGGGUUUUAUUAUGUCCCAAGAUAGGGAUUAUUUGUCGGCCUUUUCCCCUUUGGCGUAUUAGAAUUAAAAACUCUAACCCUUGUGACAAACUUGGGUUGGGGGCUUAGCCACCAACUCAACGGCGGAUUCCAUAUAGCCCAUGAGAUUGUAGACUUGUAGGGUGUACCACCUAGCUUAGAAGUAAGAUAAAGAGUUGAGAUUUACAGAAAUGUUUACAACUCUAUUGAAACUACCCAUGUAUUUAGAGAUGCUUUACACUGACAUGUUUUAAUGAAAUGUUCUCGCCUAUAUUAUAUAAAGACUAUAUUUUUGCUUUUGGAUUGUACUGCGUACCAGUAUAUUUUGUAUUGACCCCCUACAUUUUAGGAUUUAAGGCUCAGUCCUGGGGUCCUGCUAAGCAAUAGACCAUUGUCAGAUGUUUGAAAUUGGUGAGUCUCCCUUAUUUUGGAAGGCCUUAUCUCAUGUGAUGUUUUAUUUUAUUUUAGUUCAUGGUCCGAUUGGGGGCCUUGCCCCAGUUUUCAGACAAAUGUUGAUUUUAGUAUUGUUAGAGAUUUCACAGACUGAUGUUAAUGAUUUGAAUAUUUAUGAACUCACAUUAGUAUUGUUCAGUAAUAACAAGAAGAUGACCAUGUUUCCGUUUUACUAUAUUUUUGCAUUUCUUUAUAGUAUGUGAAUGUUGCAUAUGAUUGCCAAAUUAGAAGGGUUCUCGGGCCUUCAUGGUUUGGGAUGCUUAUCGUGGAUAGGGCCUCGAUUUGGGUUGUGAAAAACUUGGUAUCAGUGCACGGUUCAUGGUCCUAUGGUGUUUGUAAAAUCGCAUCAUGUAGAAUUCUAUUUAUGGGUGUGUAGCGUGCCACACUUAUAAGGAGGAGGCAUCUAGGCAAUUAAGAAUGUCUCUCUUUUAUUUCAUGAUUUAGUUCAUGCUAUAGAAUAUGAAUGUCCUCUAAUCCAUGAUUUUCUAUAUUUCAGAAUUUGAUCAUACCUCUCCGUAUAACCAACGAACAAAAUACCAAUACAAACUCAUAAUAGAGCUCGUACCCCAGUGUUUGUCUUUACUCCAAGAGUUCCUCCAGUCCCGACUAGUCCACCUCAGGCUCCAUGGACUGGUGUUAAUCAUCCCUAGCCUCCUCAAAGAGAAGUUUUGAAUGUAGAGUUCUAAUAAUCCAUCCAUAUAAUUGCUCAACUGGUGGUCUCUUAGACCCGUCGGUCUGAAGAUGUUGGUUCAUCUGAACUUACUCGAGUUAGCCAAUUCAUAAGGCUAAACCCACCCACCUUUACUGGCACAAAAUUUAAGGAAGACCCCCAAAGGUUUAUUAAUGAAAUGGAGAAAAUUUUUAGAGUUAUGCAUGCUAAUGAAUUUGAAGGGGUUGAGUUGGCAGCCUGUCAGUUGAAGGAUAUAGCUAACCAGCGGUAUAAUGAGUGGGAGAAUUUGAAGGGUGGUGAUGUUAAACCUUCUGUUUGGGGUGAGUUUUUAGAAACUUUCCUGGACUGUUUCUUUCCCCAAGAAUUAAGAGAGAAAAAGGCUGAAGAAUUUAUGAAUUUGAAAUAAGGAAAGAUGAGUAUUAAGGACUAUGCUUUGAAGUUCACUCAGCUGUCUCGAUAUGCUCUAGAGUUAGUGGGCAACAUGAGGGCUCGCAUGAGGAAUUUUGCAUUUGGUUUUUCGAAUGAUUUAGUAUUGGAAUGCAAGGGACAAAUGUUGAACAGGGACAUGGAUUUCUCCAGGUUAUCAGUGUAUAUAUAGUAGGUAGAAGAGAAGAAGAAGAGGUUAACUGAGGUGAGGGGAAAAAAAAGGCAAGCUAAAAGAGCUAGGUCUGUAGACCAGAAUGCUAGUCAGCAUCAGGGUGGCAAUUGAGGCAAUAAGUGGACUAAGAAAAAGUUUAGAGCAAUGCUCAGUAUUUAGCUAGUGCCCCGGCUCGUAGACCUCCAGUCGACUGUGGUUUUAGAAUUCUCAGUCUAGCCAUGGAUUGAGUGUGCAGGGUACUCAGUCCAAAGGUAGUGUAUCUCAAUCGUAUUGGUAAUUUCCUAGAUGUGGGACUUGCAAUAAAUAUCACCCAGGGAAGUGUCAGUUUGGUAGAUUGGUGUGUUAUGCUUGUGGUCAGUUAGGCCACUUUCAGAGAAACUGUCCUUUCAUAAGAGAAAAACUUGGUGGAGCCAGGUCCCAGACGAAUUCCACAGCUCCACCACCACCUAAGGGUACUACUUUAGAUGUUGGAAGUAGUCGCAAUGGUUGUAUGCAUUAUCAAACCACUAUAAUGCAGAGACUUCACCAAAUGCUAUCACAGGUAUGUUACAGAUUUUCUCCCAUGAUGUAUAUGUGUUACUUGAUCCAGAGUCUACCUUGUCUUAUGUGACCCCCUAUGUGGCAGUUAUUUUUGGUUUUGAACCCGAAAAUAUUUUGUAACCCUUUUAUAUUUCCACCUCUAUUGGUGACUCCAUUGUGACUAAAAGGGUUUAUAAAAAUUAUGUGGUAUUUAUUUUUCAUCGUGAUACUAUGGCUGAUCUUGUAGAACUGGAUAUGAUUGAUUUUGAUGCUAUAUUUGGAAUGGAUUGUCUCCAUUCGUGCUAUACUACACUAGACUGUAGAAUCAUAAAAGUCACUUUCUCUUUUCCUAAUGAGCCAGUGAUAGAAUGGGAGGGAUAUUCUCUAGCACCAAGGAGGAUAUCUUAUCUUAGAGCCCAUAAGCUUAUAUCAAAAGGUUGUUUGUACCAUCUUGUUUGGGUUAAUGAUUCUAGUGCUGAAAGCCCUUCCCUCCAGUCUGUUCCCGUAGUUAAUGAAUUCUUGAAAGUUUUUCCUAAUGACCUUCCUGGGUACCUCCAAAUAGUAAAAUAGAUUUUGGCAUUGAUUUUUUGCUGGACACUCAUCCUAUUUCUAUUCCGCCAUACAGAAUGGCUCCUGCAAAAUUGAAAGAGUUGAAAGAAAAGUUAAAACACCUUCUUGAUAAAGGCUUUAUUCAUUCUAGUAUCUCUCCUUGGGGUGCUCUGGUACUUUUUGUGCAUAAGAAAGAUGGUUCACUCCGUAUGUGUAUAGAUUACCAUCAGCUAAAUAAGGUCACAGUUAAAAAUAAGUACCCUCUUCCUAGAAUCAAUAAUCCCUUUGACCAACUUCAAGGUGCCAAGUGUUUCUAUAAAAUAGACCAUCAUUCGUGGUACCAUCAACUGAAGGUCAGGGAGGUAAAUAUUCCCAAAACGGCUUUACGAACCCGAUAUGGCCACUAUGAAUUCUUAGUUAUAUCCUUCAAACUGACUAAUUCCCUCGCAGCUUUUAUGGACCUAAAAAAUAGGGUGUAUCAUUCGUUUCUAGAUCUAUUCAUCAAAGUCUUUAUUGACUACAUAUUAAUUUAUUCUAAGAAUGAGUAUGAUCAUUCUAACCACCUCUGAAUUAUCCUUCAGACCAUUAGAGAUCAUGAGUUGUAUGUUAUGUUUUUCAAGUGUGAAUUUUGGCUUAGUGCUAUUGGUUUCCCUAGGCACAUCAUUUCUAGUGAGGGGAUCGAGGUUGACCCCCAAAUGGUUGAGGCAGUGAGAAAAUGGCCCAGACCCACGACUCCAACCGAUGUCCAGAGCUUCUUAGGUUUGGAAGGGUAUCAUAGAAAAUUUGUAGAGAUUUUUUGAUCCAUAGCUGCUCUACUUAUGAGAUUGACUUAGAAAAGGUGAAAAUUUUGUGGUCUGACUCUUGUGAGAAUAACUUUGAGAAACUAAAAGACAAAUUUACUACCGCACCAGUUUUGACUCUUCCUGAGGGUACAGAGGGCUUUGUUGUGUAUUGUGAUAUGUCUCGGGUGGGACUUGGGUGUGUGCUUAUGCAACAUGGUAAGGUAGUGGCCUACGCAUCUUGGCAGUUAAAGGUUACACGAAAAGAACUAUCCCACUCACAAUUUGGAGUUAGCGGUUGUGGUAUUCAUAUUAAAGAUUUGGCAUCAUUAUCUCUAUGGGGUGUAUAUUGAUAUAUUUACUGACCACAAAAUUUUGCAGUAUAUUUUCACAUAGAAAGAACUGAAUCUCAGACAGAGGCAGUGGUUGGAAUUAUUAAAGGAUUAUGAUAUAAGCCUGCAUUACCAUUCGGGCAAGGCCAAUGUGGUGGAUAACGCCCGUAGUAGAUUGUCAAUAGGCAGUCUUUCUCAUGUUGAUAAAGAAAAGAUGGAGAUGGUGAAGGAUAUUUAUCGUCUUGCAAAUUUGGGAGUCCGACUCCUAGAUUCUAAAAAUGGAAAAGUAUUCAUUCAUGAGGUGGCUAAAUCAUCCUUAUGUGCGGAGGUCAAGGAAAAGAAAAUCAGAGAUCCCAUUCUAAUGCAGAUCAAGGAACAUGUUGGUCAACAGAAGGUAAUGGUUUUCAAAAUUGGCGGUGAUGGGAUUCUGAGGUAUCAAGGUAGGCUAUGUGUGCUGAAUGUAGAUACGCUGCGAGAAAUAAUUCUUGAUAAAGCUCAUACUUCUAGGUAUAUGGUUCACCCCAAUUCUACUAAAAUGUAUCAUGACCUUAAGCCUAUUUACUGGUGGAAUAAUAUGAAGAGGGAUGUUUCUAACUUUGUGGCUAAGUGCUUGAAUUUUCAACAAGUUAUGGUUGAACAUUUGAGGCCAGGUGGAACUUCCUAAGAUACAACUUUGCCUAUGUGGAAGUGGGAGAUGGCCAACAUGGACUUAAUUAAGAGGCUUCCAAUAUCCCAAAACUAAUAUGACUCCAUUUAGCUGAUUGUAGACAGGAUGACUAAGUCUGCCCAUUUUCUCCCUGUGCGAACCAACUAUUCGAAGGUGACUAUGCUAAGCUAUACAUUCGAGAGAUAGUCCAUUUUCAUGGUGAUCCUGUAUCUAUUAUAUCUGACUAAUGUACGUAAUUCUAUUUGCAGUUUUGGAGGUCUUUUCAAAGGGUAGGCACCCAAGUAAACCUGAGUACCACUUUUCACCCUCAGACUGAUAGGCAAGCAGAACACACCAUUUAGACCUUAAAGAUAUGUUGAGGGCCUGCGUGAUUGACUUUAAGGGUAGUUGGUUGGACCAUUUGUCAUUGAUUGAGUUUGCCUGCAAUAAUAGGUACCAUUCCAGUAUUCAGACGGACCCUUUUGAAGCUCUUUAUGGUAGAAGAUGUAGGUCUCCGAUUGGGUGGCAUGAAGUGGAGGAAACCCAGUUGUUUGAACCUGACCUCGUCCAUCAAGUGAUGAAGAAAGUAAAAGUCAUUAGGAAGUGACUUAAGAUAGCACAGAGCCGUGAAAAGUCUUAUGCUAAUGUCAGAAGAAGGGAGCUGGAGUUUGAGGUUGGUGAUUGGGUUUUUCUAAAAGUUUCCCCUAUGAAGGGAGUCAUGUGAUUCGAUAAGAAAAGGAAAUCUCAAUCCUCGUUAUAUAGGGUCAUAUCAAAUUUUGAGUAGGGUAGGUGGAGUUACUUAUUAGCUGUAUUUGCCAGGAAGUUUAGCUUCUGUACAUCCGAUAUUUCAUGUAUCAAUAUUGAAAAAGCGUAUUGGAGAUCAUUCUGUUGUUUUGCUUGUGGAGGAUAUUAAUGUAAAGGACUUGUUGUCAUAUAAAAAGGAACCCAUUGCUAUUUUAGACUGCCAAGAGCUGAAGUUGAGGAGUAAGGAGAUUGUUUUGGUUAAGGUGUUGUGGAGGAAUCAAAAGACUGAGGGACCUACUUGGGAAUCGAAGGAUGACAUGCAUACGAGGUACCGGCUCUUUUUGAAACCAUGGAUAACGAUAUGGAAGGUACAAAUCUUUUACCACUAUUUUCUUAUUGUAUGGAGCUCAAAAUUAUGCUUAUUGUGUCUCGAGUCAUCAUUCGAGGAUGAAUGAUCCCCGUAGGGGGGAUAAUGUAACACCUCAUAGUAUUCUCGACUUAACACCACUCUUAGUGGCAUGCAUAGAGAGCUUACAACCUAAAAAUUUUCUAAGUGUUAAAAUACUUAGUCAUAUUUUGGAGCCCUUAACUCCAAUGAUUUUUAAAUUGAUCUUCCCAACGCCUAGACAUAAAUUUUUGAAUUGAUUCAUGUUCAGGGGUAUACAGGGGAUAUCUCGAGAAAGUUAUGGAUUUUUCGAAUGAGGUUUGGUACGUGUUUGGAUUUCAAAAAUAAUGGGUCAUCGUGAUUGUACUGUGUCGCAGUCCCUAUAGCGAUGAGGCCUCUGGCACGUCGCUAAGAGUCCCAAAAAUGGGUUUCAGUUAUGAAUUUAAAUUCUAAGGGUCAAUCUCAUCUUUUUCCUAUAUCCCCAAAUUGUGAUAAAAGUAGAUUAAGACAUCAUUAGGGCAUUAUAUUCUCAAAAUUACUCAAUUUCUCUCAAAAAACUAAACCCUAACUCUUCUUCAAAGAUAAAAAAUCCAACCUAUAAGUUCAAGAUUUUCAAGAAAAGAGUAAAUAUUAGAUUCCAUUCUUCGAACUAAGGAACCUAAGGUACGUGGGCUAUCUUAAACGUCAUGGGCAUAGUGAAAUCAUUUUCAGUAAGUGUUAGAGUUAUGAACUCAUGUGUUUAUUAAGGGUUUUGAAAACACUCUAAAUAAUUAUGCUUUAUGAAACCAUUUAGAUGACAUAGUGUUUUGGUCUUGAGGACCUAUUAUGGAAUUGAAACAAUAUUCACGUGUAUAUACAAGUAUUUUUAGUUUUGUAAGUUUGAAUUAAGAGCAUGAAUAACAAAAAUCCCUCUCUUGUUAUGAUACUUUUUGAUUUCACAUGUUAUGGAUUGUCAAAUUGGAAGAUUGGAAGUAUGAGAUGAAUGUUUUGAUAUUGUUUAUGAACUUGAUAUUGGUUAUGAAUUGAAGAGAGAGUGUUAAACAAGUGUUUAAUGCGAUAACUGAAAGAGUUGCAUGGAUUGUUACAAGGAAAUUGACCAUCAAUUGUUAAAGUAUUAAAAGGAGAGAGUCUUUGCAUAAGUUUCAUAUACUUUGAAAUAAGAAAUCUCUUGCAUGAUUUAAAUAUUUUGGUGGUCAAAUGAUUGAUCUGAUUGAAUAAUCUAAAGCAGAACAUGACAUGGCUUAGACCUAUGACUUGCAAGCCUUGGUAUGACGAUACCAAAAUAGAUAAUUCCAUGAUACACUCAGAACAGAAUACCAAUUUUAUUCAAAUUUUCAAAUUUUAUGUUCAGAAAGAUGCAUGUUUAGAAAGGGUUGAAAAAGGGCUUAAAGAGUUAGGUGGUUAACUGAAGAAGGCAUGAGUUCAGACACUCAUUGCCUAAAACCAUGUUUUGACAAUAUGGGUUUUAUUAUGUCCCAAGAUAGGGAUUAUACGCUGGCCUUGUUCCCUUUGGUGUAUAAGAAUCAUAAACUCUAACCUUUGCUACAAACUUGGAUUGGGGGCUUGGACGCCGAGUUAAGGACGGAUUCCAUAAAGCCCAGGGGAUUGUAGACUUAUAGGGUGUACCACCUAGCUCAGAAGUAAUAUAAAGAGUUGAGAUUUAUAGAAAUGUUUUAAACUCUAUUAAAACUGCCCAUGUACUUAAAGAUGCUUUACACUGACAUGUUUUAAUGAAAUGCUCUCGCCUAUAUUGUAUAAAGACUAUAUUUUUCCUUUUGGAUUGUCCUGCGUAGAAGUACAUUUUGUAUUGACCCCCUAUAUUUCAGGAUUUGAGGCUCAGUCCCGGUGUCCCGCUAAGCGGUAGACCAUUGUCAGACAUUUGAAUUUGGUGAGCCUUCCUUAUUUCAGAAGGCCUUAUCUCUUGUGAUAUUUCAUUUGAUUUUAGUUCAUGGUCUGAUUGAGGGCCUUGUCCCAGUUUUCAGACAAAUGUUGAUUUCAGUAUUGUUAGAGAUUUUGCAGACGGAUGUUAGAUGAUUUGAAUAUUUUUGAACUAACAUUACUAUUCUUCAGUAAUAACAAGAAGAUGACCAUGUUUACGUUUUACUAUGAUUUACGCAUUUCUUUAUAGUAUGUGAACGUUGCAUGUGAUUGCCAAAUUAGAAAGGUUCUCGGGACUUCAUGGUUUGGGAUGCUCGUCGCGGCCAGGGCCUCAGUUUGGGUCGUGACAGUAAAAUUACUUCCAAAUUCAUAACAAAUAGACUAUAGAAUGUUAUGGAGUCUUUGGUCGAUCAUAAUCAGGCAGCAUUCGUCCCAAGAAGAGUUAUAACUGACAACAUAUAAUACCCCCAAACUUUUCUUAGCUUAAAUUCAUUCUUAGAAUGUUAAUGGAUAGCUUCCAAAAUGAAUAAUAUUUAUUUUGUGUGGAAUUUUUUAGGUUUAGGCUUUCCAUUGUGAGGAAAAUUGAAUAAGUUUUCCAUUGAUACCAAAUUAGCCCAAUUCCGACACCCAGUUGAGGAGUUAGAGCAUUUUUAAGUUGACAGUGUGCCACCUGGGCAGUCACCGCAUUACGGAGAUGGUUAAAUUCAUAAUUUUCAUUUUCCAGUGGACCUCUGCGAUAUUGGAACAUCGCGGAGUGGUCCAUUUUCCCUAUUGUCAAUUUCUAGUAGCCCAACGCUAUAAUGACGAGUCGCGCCAAAGACCAAAAUGGCAUUCCUAUAGGGCACCGCGAUGGUGGUGCGUCGCGUUGAAGUUUCAGGUCCCAAUUAUCAAAAUGUAGUGGGACAACGUGAUAGCUCCAUGUUGCGGAGUUCCCCAAUUUCCCCGUCGUCAAAUUCCAGUAAGUCAUCGCGAUAGUGGCGCAUCACAGUGGCCCAUUAAAUCAGGACCCAGUUAUGUUUUACCAGCUUCGUUUAGGGGUUUUAAAAGGGUAGUUUGGAUAAUUUCCAAGCCCCCAAUCCAUCCAAAACACAAUAUUAAUCAUAUCCCAAGCACUUUAUACUCAUUAUUCAUCAUCCUCUUCAAAAGCAAAACCCUAGAAACCAAAAGCUUUUUCUCCAAGAAAUCAAAAUCCUCCAUAGAUUCUCCAAGAAAGCUCCUAAUUGAGGAUUUCCAAAACAAGAUAAUCAAGAACCCAUCAUCAAGAACUCAAUAGGAAUCCAAAAUUCAAGAUUUCUUCAUCUAAUCAUCCAAUAAGGUAUGUGAGGAUAUGAACAAGGAUACUCCUUUCAUCCUUGUGCUCAAAACUUAUUUUAAAUUACAAAGUUAUUUGAUUUUAUAUGAUUUUCUAUGAAAUUGAAAUUAGGAUUCAUACCCAAUGUUGCCAUUUACGAGAUUAUGAGAUUUCAAGUUAAUUAUAAGUUGAAUUACACAUUUAUUUUCAUAUUUUCAUGCUUAUUGCAGUAAUUUUCAGAUUUUGAGAUGAAUUAUCAUUGAUUUUAUUAUUGAGCAUGACUACUAUGAUAUUUUGACAUAAGUUUGAUACAUGAGUUUUAAGCCCCAAGUUUAUAUGUUGAGAUUUUGAGAAAGAUGAUGCUUUAAGCAUCUUAUGAGUUGAUUAUUUUAGUUUUAAAAUAAAGCUUUGAUCCUUUGAUCCUAAGAUAAGUAUUGAAAUCCACUUUAUAGAUUUAUUACAGAUUUUAGAAAGAAAAAUAGCUUCAUGUACAAUUUAUUCAGAUAAAUGCAUAACUGAUUUUAUAAUAAACCUUUAUGCGAGUUUUAAAGUGGAUUUUCAUGAGAUGAGCAUAGCAAAUUAAAGGGAGUAGUAUUUAGCACCGAGUUGGGUAUGAUUCCAAGGUCUCAUGCCCCAGAACUAUGUGCCACCAUAGAUUGAGAUUAAGUGCCCAUAGUGGGCAGAGUUGCGAUCACUUUAGCUGAGGUUAUACUCUCUGGCAAGAGUAUGAAACCUCUCCCAAACGUGAGGUUUCUUCCUUAGAAGGAUGAGACGUUGGACUUCAUGUAGCUUGCAUGGUUUAUGUCGGUUAAGAUAACUUCCCUGCUAGUAAAAGAUAUACAACUUUUUAGAUAAUGUAUUCUCCUUAAUAGCAAAGCAUAACAGAAAUGAUUUUAGAAAACUAAGUGUAAAGACUCUCAGUUUACCCAGAUUUAGCUUUUAGAUUUCAGAGUGAGUCUUUUACACUUAGACAAUAUGAUUUAAAGGGGGAAUAUGAGUAUAACUUCUUAGAACUAAAUAUUAUAGCUCACAAGAUUUAUAAAGUAUGUUUUGCCUCUUGUUGCUACAUAUUUCAUUAUUUCAGAUAUUCCAACUCACGUGAGUCAUUUACAUUUAGCGUGCAUUAUUUUUAUAAAUGAUGAUUAUGAGAUGAUAUUUUACUUAUGCAUAUCACCCUAUAUACUCAGUACAUCCUUAAAGUACUGAUCCACAUAUACGUCUAUGUGCUACAUUGUCUCAUAAUGUAGGUUCAGGUGCUCAGUCUCAGCAGUGUGAGUAGUUCGAGCAUCUAUAUCUACAUCUACAUCUCAGUUGGUGAGCCCUCAUACUUCGGGGACUUAUUACUCAGAUUUUGCAGUUUAUCAGUUUAUGAGUUUUAGCGUUUCCUUUCAGACAGUUCGAGUUAGCUGGGGGUUUGUCCUAGUGACUCUCAAGUUAUUAGCAGUAGAGGCUUGUCAGACUACUAGUUUUGAUGCAGAUUAUUCAGUUUUGAUGUUUCAGAUAUUAUGUUCAGAUUAUUCUCAAAUAUUAUAGACAGUUUUCACAUUUUAGCAUGACUUCUAUGUCUAUAUUUCUAUUAUUAUAAGAUUUUGGCUCAACAGUAUGUAGACAGGGUUAGCUUAAGGCUACUCGUAGUCUUGAGCACCGUGUGAUAUCUCGGGAUCAGAUUUUGGGGCGUUACACAACAUUAUCCUCAACCAUAAGUAAGCAAAGGGGUAUAGAAGGAUAAGAAUCUCACCAAGAUGCAUGAUUAAAAUUGACAUGCAAAAAGCAUAUGAUACUGUUGAAUGGGUAUUUUUGGAGAAAAUGCUACAUGGUUUCCAGUUUCCCUCUACCUUUAUUAGAUGGAUUAUGGAUUAUGGCUUGCCUCAAUACUGUGUCCUAUGCUAUUAAUAUAAAUGGGCAACCUGCAAAUUUCUUUUGAGGAAAAGAGAGGACUAAGACAAGGCGAUGCAAUGUCACCAUACCUUUUUCUCUUAGUAAUGGAGUUUCUAAGAAGGCUAUUGAAGUAAAUGACACAAAAUCCUGCUUUCAAGUUCCACCAAAAAUGUGCGAAGACCAAAAUUACACAGCUUGGGUAUGCAGAUGACCUGUUACUCUUCUGUAAGGGUGAUCCUAUCUCUGUCCAACUAUAAUUCUCAUGCUUUCAAGAUUUUUCUCAUGACUCUGGACUGACUGAAAAUGCUUCAAAGAGUGUUGUCUACUUUGGGGAGGGAAGCCAGGCCAGCAGGAUCAAAUUUUGCACAUGCUUGGGUUUCAAAAGGGGGAGUUACCCUUCAGGUACCUUGGAAUCCCACUUAGUACGAAGAAAUUAUCUACUAUUCAAUGCCAACAUUUAUUAGACAAGAUGAUUGGUAGGGUCACAAGUUGGACCAGUCGACUCCUAUCCUAUGCUGGGAGGGAGGUGUUGAUCAAAAGUGUACCAAAAAAGGUGAUCAAGAAGAUAGUUUUCAUCUGUUGGACUUUCCUAUGGACUGGAAAAAAGGAUAGCUCUAAGAAUGCCUUAAUGGCCUAGAAUACCUUGUGUUACCCGACCUGAAUUGAAUUUUACUGACCAGGAGAUAUGGAAUAAGGCUGCAAUUUGUAAACAAUUCUGGGUUGUAUGUCAAAAGAAGGAUAGGCUAUGGGCGCAUGCUUAUUAUGACAAUGCGUAGGUUAUGUGGGAAGCUAGGUGUGAUCAGGCAUCGUGGUUGAUACAAAAAAUCCUUAGUGCUGAUAAAUAUGUAAGACAGUCUGAACUGCAAAUGUCAGAAUUUUUAGCUAUUGAUCAGUUCUUUAUCAGGAAAAUGUACCCCAAGCUCAAAGGUCAAUUUAUCAAAGUACCUUGGAGGAGAUUAGUGUGCAACAAUGUUGGAGCCCCAAAGCGGAUCUUUUAUCUUAGAUUGGUUGCACAUAAUAGGUUAUACACAAGGGAUAGGUUGGCUAGUUGGGGUAUGGAUGUACUUUUGUUGUGUCCCUUAUGCAGCUUGGAACAAUAGAGUGUGGAGCAUUUAUUCUUUUGCUGUGAAGUAUUAGCUGGGAUCUGGAGACACCUACUGCAAUGGCGAGGCAUUUUCAGGCAAGCUGAGUCAUGUUCUGAAGAAAUAUGAUGGGCUUCGAUGCAUUUUAACGGCAAGAGUCCAACAACAUAUGUGUAUCGACUGAUAUUUAGUGAUGCCAUCUAUUUCGUUUGGCAGGAGAGAAAUUUGAGAGUUUUUCAGCAUACACAAAGGUCUAAUGAUGUUCUUAUUAGGGUAAUUGUCCAGGAAGACUUUUAUAGAGGUUCCAAUAUGCCUAGGCUAGCACGUGCUUUCCAGCAACUAAAUUUCUAUUCUUAGUGCAAGUAAUAGCUAGCUUAGAUAACACAAAAAUCACUGAAGGUUGGGAAUAUGUCCAACCUCUGUGCUUAACAUUUACUCUGUAAUUAUGCUCUUGGUAAUAAAAUCAAAAUUUUGCCCAAAAAAAGAUAAAAUAAAUAUAGUACUUAUUUUAAAGUCAAUUAUUACAUUUUAAUGAUUAUAUAAAUUUUUUUAUACUGAUGCAACUUACACGUGCAAUGCACGUGCACUAGACUAGUCUAUAAAAUAAUACUAGCUAAAAUCUCUUUUAGUCAAAUAAUAUUUUGCUUAGAAAAGCUCUAACAAAGCUUAUUUCAAGUUUGACACAAAAUAAGAAAAUUUCGAAAAUUAAUGAAUUUUAAAAAGUAAAUAAAAUAUCUCAAGAGAAUGGCAUAUGAAGAAAAAGUUUACGCGGCAGAAUGAGAUUAUAUGAGGUAAAAGACGUCAAAUAACAAAAGUCAAAGGAGUAAUUAAGAUUAUUGAUCGUUUGGAGAAAUAUGAAUAAGAUUUGCUAAGUUUAGGGGUAUCCCGCAAAGCAUAAAUUAUCACGAUGAAGAAUGAGCUUUAUUUAAUUUUUCGUUAUGAUUUAUCAAACUUUUAAUUUAUUCUUAUCAGGAUAAUAUAUAAAUGCACUAUUAAAAAAUAAAGAAAGAAAAACAAUCAACACAUUUUUCUAGUACAUCCAAAAUAUUUAAAUAAAGGCUUAAUUGUCUCCAAAUCCAUUCCACCUGACUCAUCUAAUUUCACCCCUUCAAAUAUAUAUUCCUCCCCUACCGGGAAUGAUGAAUAAAAAAUAACAAAAAUGCAAGGACAACAACAAGAUUCAGCAGUCAAUUCAUCAAUUCUUCAACAUGUUUUUUCUUUAACAAUAUCUGACAUUAAUGACUCAACAAAUUAAAUGUGUAGUCGCAACCUCCGACGCCAGCUUCUUCUAGCAAACAUCCUAACAAUCUUUUGAGCUUUCACGAGAUAAGGGUACUUGCUAGGCUUAUGGAUCGUCUCACCAAAGAAGAGAGAAAUUAUUUUGCGUCUUCUUCAUAAUGCUAAGGAAUAGAUUAGUUAAUUAAUUUAAACAUGAAUUUGGUCGAUCUUUAUAUUCUAUGAUCGAAUUUAUGAGUUGUGGCGAUACAAAAGGAGGUAAUGAGGGGCGAGGGAGCGAGCUAUCACCCUAAUAUUUUUUUACUCUUAUACCCUUUAUUUAAUUUUUUAAAGGUAUCAUUUCGUUCAAAUAAAGAAAUCGUAUAUUAUAUCAAUUUCACGUUUAAUAUAAGACUAGUUUAUGCGAACGUGUGUUGCACGAUUAUUCCUUAUCGAUUUAAUAUUAAUUGGAAGUCUGUAUAAAUUCAUAAAGCUUAUGCUAGGAUUUUUUUUUUUUUAUCUCUAGUUCAAUUUCAUUAGAUGGAUCAUACGUCCCAAAUCACACUUAUUAACUUUUUCCGACUUCAGUUAACUCUCGCAAUCUUAAUUCAAGUAAACGAGUGAGUCCUCGAGGUAGCUACUCCUUUCAAAAAUUAAUUAAAGUAUGAGAUAAAUUUAGACAAGCAAAACUAAUUCAUAAAUCAAAGAGUAUUCAAUAUUCAAUAAAAACAAAAGCAUAUCUUAUUGAGCAUUAGAUCAUUAUCAUAAAGAAGGAAAUUUUGCGUAAAAAUAAUAAAAGUCAAAUCCAAAGAUACAGUUUUUUAACAGCACACAAUAAUUUUAAAACCUACUUAAAUCAACCUAAAUCUAAUUUAACUCCUGAACCUAAAUAACAAAAAAAGGCAAGAUAAUAAAAAAUUCUAAACAAAGAACCCUAAGUAAAGAACCCCAAACUUAAAUAAAUAAUACACAGACUUUUUUCACAAGAAAAAAAUAAGAUCAGAAGUUAAAUAACCUAAUAAAAAUAAGUCAUUAUUAAAUAAAGAAAGAAAAAAAGGAGAUAAAUCACAGAUAAAUGCACUUUUACCUCUACGUUGUUGAAUACGUGGGUGAGAUAGUGGGGCUUCUUCUGAUUGACAAAGGUUGUUUUUUUAGGAUUGAUCAAGAACAUAUAGUUUCAGUACAAGUUUUUAGGAUUGAUCAAGAGCAUAUAGUCGAUGCAACAAAAAGGGAGGGAUUAUCCAAUUUGUGAACCUUAAACAAAAAUUAAGAUGAAGUUAAAUAAAUAAUGUAAUUUUUACAUGUAUUUUAGGACUUAACAUUUAAUUCUUUUAUAUAUUUAUUUGAUUAGAAUCAUUUCAUAUAUUUUAGGAGUUCUUAUUCUAAUAAAAUAAUAAUUUAAAAAAAAAAAGUAAAAAUGCGAUGAUUUUGUCUAUUGUGGAGACUUUUAAUAAAGGACAAAAAGUUCAAACAACAUUUAUAGGAUCCUUCAUACUUUUAAUAUAAUACUAGUUUAGCCGCACGUCUCUCGCACAUAUAACUUUUAAUUAUUUAGAAUUAGACAAUUUUAUCUAUUACAUAGGUUUUUAUUGAAGUGCAAAAAGUUCAAAACACAUAUUUUAUUGUAAGCACAUAUAUAUUUUACCAUCAGAAAUUUUUGAGUGUUUAAUGGAUUAAAUAUAACAAGUGGUUAAUGGAUUAAAUAUAUUAUAGAUGUAUAUGUAGAUUUAUAUUCUUUUUAAAUCUUCUUAAAAUCAAACUUUGUUGAUUUAGUAUUCUUAAACUAAUGUAAAAAGUAUUAGUUGUCAUUAAUUCUGAUGUCUUUUAAUAAGAAAAGAUUUUAUCAUACAUAUAUUUAAUUAAUUUUCAACUAUUAAAUAUUAGGGGAAAAAUAGUGAAAAGAUGACUUUUAAUGAAGGGCAAAAUGUUCAAACGACAUCUCCAAGGCCCUUCAAACUUUUAAUAUAUUUUAGAUUAUAGAUUAUAGAUUAUAGAUUAUAAAUUAUAGAUUAUAGAUAUAGAUAAAUAGACAAAUAAGUGAUACCAUAUGAAUUUAAUAUACAAAUAAUAUUGAUCUUAGAUACACCACACUAAUCACGACAUGUAUAAAUUUAAUCUCAAAAUUGAUAUGAGAAUACUCGGUUUAUUCCUCGUAUAAAAGAAUUUCUUCUUAUAUCUUAUUAUAGUGAAUUGUCUGCCUUUUUGUUAACUUUAAUUAACUUUUAAGUAUAAAUUAUAUUUACAAUUGUGCAUUCAAGUAAUGUGUGGCUAACAUUAAAAUUUUGAUACCUUCAAUUCCUAAUCAAUUUUGUUUCGCUUAAUCAUUGUUUCAUGACAACACGUACCCUUUGAGUUAGUGAAUAGAAAAGAAGGAAACUAAUUUGAUGAUUAAUUGCAACAUCUUACAAUUAGUUUCGUGUUCAUGUUGUUCAAUAUGCCUUUUUGAGCUUAAAAACUAGGCCGUAUGAUUAUUAUAUCGACUAGCAAUUAUUUGGGAUGAGUUUCGGGACUUAAACAUAAGUCUUGAAUGUGAAAAGCUAUGGUGCGUGGUACCAGAGAGGACCUCCACUUUGAAGUCUGCACCGCACUUAUCACUGAACCACAGAGAAGCUACAAAUCAGCAUUUCCCCCAUUAGUGGCACAAUGUGCAGCAUUGUGCCAUGGAAGACCUCACGUUGCACAACUCAAAAGACGUUUUGGGCUAUGCAGCGUGCCUCAGCCUUAUCAGAGGGGAAAUGUUUCCUCAACUCCGUUUAAUUAAGGAUAGUUUAAUCCUAAUACCUUUAUGAAACAUUCUAACAUGACUUUUAAACUUACUCAAGAUAGUAUUAACUAGUCAAAAUUAUCAGUUCACUCUCUUGUCCUCUCUCAAACUAGUCUAUGAGAAUUAAUGUGAAGAAUUUCAAGCAAGGUUCCAUCAAGUUCUCUUUCCUUUCUCAGGUAUGUAGGUUGUUCUUGUAUGGAAAUUCUCUUCUUUCCCACAAUUCAUAGUUCAAAAGGUUAUUCUAGUUCGAAAUAAAGUUGAGAGCUUGAACUCUGAAUCCUCAAAUCAAUUCUUUUACUUCUUGGGUUGAACCUAUUAUAAUUUAGCUAUGAGAACUAUAUAAUUAAAUGAAAUUAUGGUCAUUUCUCAAUCAUGAUUUGUAAUUCAUAAUUCGGACUGUCCUAUGAACCAUGUGAACUUAUUUUGUAAUCUUUGCUUUAUCUUAUAUUUACAAUGAAAAUUAGUUUGAAAUUUCAUGUCCAUAAAAAACUUACAAUUUCCUUGUAAGUAUAAAAGCAUAUUUGAAAUAAAGUAUUGCAUCUUAAAGUUUUACAUAUUAUUCAGUAAAUUGAGCUAGGCUCACUAGCAGUUCAAUUUUAAAUACCAGACAUUGAGAAAAGUCUCGCAAUGACAUUUUAGUUUACUAUAUACGAAGUAUAUUUUGACCAUUCAUAGUUUUGAAGGAUUAUCUAACACCCAGGGUGUGCGGGUUCAGAUGAAACUUUCUUCAAAACUAUGUAUGUCAAUGUAUGAUAGAAUAGUUUCGUAAGCAUGGAUGACUUCUCUUUUAGAUCACAGAGGCCUAUUAUGGAUCCAUAGUAUAGUUUUGUUCUAUUUUCUAACAUGGUAUAGGAUACCUCUCCCAAUCAGAUCAAAAAUUGAGAAUUACGAGCUCUUGUAUAUUUUAUGAGAAAAACUCCAAAUAAGAAACUCAAUAUUUUUCGUUAAUUAAUUAUUUAUUAGUUAUGACUUUUUCAUAAAAAAAAUACUUAUUUUAACCUCUCAGUUGCUUAAUUUUAGUUCAUGAUUCAAACUUACAAACAUUCAAUGCUCUUUGCAUGAUAUCAAGCAGUUCAGAAUUUCAUUUUAAUAUUUUAUUUAAGAUUUUCAUUUAUUAAAGAUUAAAGACUUUCGUUUAUUGAAGAUUUAACUAGCCCAUGUGUCAUAACUCAAUUUUAAGCUACUUCUAUCAAGUUAUUGUGUAUCUACUUAUGCUCAGUUCUUAGUUUAUCUGAUAUUAAUGUUUCAAUUACAUUCAAGUUAUUUACUUUACAUAUCAUGCAUUCCAUAUAUUUAUGCUUCUUAGUGUUGCAUCUUUUCAUUAUGCAGAUUUUGAUGCUCAGGAUCGCAGCCAGAUGCUUCGCCAGAUCUCUUAAUCUCUUGGCUUAUGACAAGUCCUUUCAUUCAAAGGACUUAGUUAUAUUUAUCUCAUUGUGUUGGUUUAUCGAAUAAAGAUAGCUUGGAGCCUUGUCCUGACACACUGAUUCAACCCAGAUAGACAUUUAGUUAUUUUAACAGUUGAUUGUACUCAAUUUCAGUUUCGCAUUGCGAGAGUUUAUGUUAUUCUAUUUCAAAGCUCAAUUUAUAAUUUAUUAUUCUUAUAGUUUCUGCAUAUAUCAAUUUCAAUCUUAUUAAUGCACGAGGACAGAGAUUCGCUCAAUCCAGUAGUGGUUUCGAAUGUCUUUCAUUUUUUAUCAAAAUAUGUCAUUUUAAAAAUCAAUAUACUAAAGUAAUAUGCUUUUUGAAAACCUUACAAAACAAGUAUAAACGUUGUUGAUAAUAAUGUAUUAGGUUUUAAGAAAAUUAAUGAAUCAAAACGACGUUAAAGUAGGAAUCGUUACUGACAGUAAGUUUUUGGCUUAAAGCGUAUAUCAAAGAUAAUGAGACACUACAACUCUGUGACACUUGCAGAGUCUCGUUAAUGUUGGUAACGUUUUAAGCCAAAAACAUUACUAUCAGUAACGAUUCCUUCUUUAACGUCGUCUACCGUUCAUUUUGAUCAGUUAAUUUUUUUAAAACCUAAUACAUUGCUGCCAACAAUGUUUAUAUAAGUUUUGUAAAGUUUUUAAAAAACAGAUUACUUUGGUAAAUUGAUUUUAAAAUGAGUUAUUUCGAUCAAAGCUUCCGUAGAAGAUGUAGACUCAGUGUGUGACAUUAAUAAAAGUAUUAUCUUGUUAUAGGAGAGAUCAAGCAAAAGAACAUUGGAGUUGAGUUUAUCCCAAAUAAGAAUUCAGAAGUAACAUCCGCGGUUGAAACUAUCAGCAUGAAGGACUCGAAUGAUGAGUCCAAAUUUAUGUGAUCAUAUGCCAAAAACAUGAAGAAAAAGAUGGGAAUUUUUUUUGUGUAUUUCAUUCUCACGACCUAAACCGAGGCCCUGGCCAUGACGUACAUCAUGAACCAUGAAGGUCCAAGAGGCUCCUUAACGUGUAAUCAUAAGCAUAACUCAUAUGUUAUAAUAAUGCGGAAGAUAAAUGAGAAACAUGGUAGUCCUAUAAACAAACUUAUAGCUUCAUAACAUCGAAUCAAAGGGAAAACCCAAAUCCAACCUAAAACAGUCUAUAAAGUAUCUACUGAACUGAAACAAUAGUAUGUCUAAACCGGGACAAGGCCCCCGGCCGGGCCAUAAAAUCACUGAAAACUAAAACAUGCAUAAGUUGCCUUCCAAAGUAAGGGAGCUCACCAACUCUGAAAUCUUGGAGCAAUCUACUGGUUUGCAGGACCACGGGACUAGGCCUUAACCUGAAAUAUAGUGGGUCAAUACUCAAAAGUACUGGUAUGUAGAAUGAUCCAAAAAUAUCAUAUAUUUUUAUACAACAUAAGUGAGAGAAUUUCAUAAAUUAACUUAAUAUAAUAUAAAUUAAAACACAUGGGCAUAAUUUGAUGAGAUUCAAAACAUUCCUGUAAGUCAUGACUCAACUCUUUAUUUUACUUUUGAGCUAGAUAGUACACCCUACAUUUUUAGUACCCACGGGCUAUAUGAGUCCACCAUUAACUCAUCAGCCAAGCCCCCAAAUCCAAUUUUGCCGCAAGGAUUAGGGUCCUAUAUACUAUUCUAGUAUACCAGUGCCUCAGGGGCAAGUAUAUAUUGGUCAUAGCCAAUCAUGUCUCUCGAAUUGGCAAAACUCGGUUUCCAGCAAUGAUCCCUUACACUCAAAUGUCUUCUUCGAGUAACCAUCUAACUCUCUUUAAGUCCAUUUUUAGUCCUUCAUUAAUCAAGUUCAUGCUCAUAAAAUUCACUUUUUAUUCUUUUAAGGGCGUAUCAUAACGGGGUAUCAUCAUACCAAGACUUGCAAGUCAUUCAUAUUAUACCAUAUCAUAUCCAUAGCCCUUUUUAUUCAAAAGCAUGUUAGUAACCACCCAAAUGAUUUAAACAUCAGAUAAGAGAGUUCUUGUUUCAAAACACAUAAAAACUUAUGCAAACUACUCUCUUUUUAAUACCUUAUCAUGUGGUGGUUAUCUCUUUCAUCAAUCACAUGCAAGUUCUUUAUUAGAAAACAUGAUCAUUUAUAAAAUAAGAAAAAACCCCUCUCAAUUUGUUCAUAAGACAAUAAGAAUCCAUAAACAUUGUCAAAACAUUUAAACUCAACUUUUAACCACCCGUGCAAACAAUAUAUGACAUUGUUAAGACAAUGGAUUUCAUAACAAGAGAGAGAAUUACAUAAAUCAUACUCUCAUAACUUCUCAAACUAAUGAAACAUGUACACAUGAAAACAAAUCAAGUUUUGAGAAACAACCUCAUAGUUUACACAAGAUUUCAUCAUAAAACGGUUUUACAAUGCAUGCUCUUUAACCAUUUCAAAACCCACCUCAUAUAUGAAACUAUAUACAUUAAAAGCUUGUUUGAAAAAUAAAUUUCUGUCCAUAGGGUUUAGGAUAGUCCCACGUAUCUUUGAAUCGACGAAAAUGUUGUGAAAAUUUGACCCUUAAGGCCUAAUCUCUCAAACCAUAGUUGGUUUUCUCUUCUUGUACUUAAGGAAGAUGAAUUGGGGAUUUUGUGAGUGUUAAUACGUGAUUAAGGACUUUAAUUUCAUCCAUAUUGAUUUAGAAACAGAUAUGGAGGAUAAAAGACCUUAUUUCCCUCAAAUAAUACCAAAUGGAGCACUUUACGCCACUUUGCAUUUGCCAUGCGGCACACAGCAAUGGCAUAGGUUAAGGUGUGCGAUGCACAACCUAUUGCAUAGCCCCUAAAUGGGAGAAUCACACCCAUUUCCUAUCCCCAAGUGGGUGAUGGAUGCCAAUCGCCUAGCCAUUCCAGUGGUUGUUGGUGAUGGCCAUGCGAUGCAGGGCCUUGGCACAGAGUCUAUAUUGCGACGCAUACUAAGUUUGAAGGUCUUAAAAAAAACCCCAAUACCUCCCACAACGUCUAAACAUGGCCUACCAUUGAUAUGGGGGUUCUAAGGGUCGUUUUAGAGGGCAUUAUUGGAGUAAUAAAACUACGAAAUGUUACAUUAUCCCUCCUUUGGGAUCAUUCAUCCCCGAAUAAUGACUAGGAACAUAAUAAGCGCGCUUUCAAAUGUUCCAUGAAAAGAAAAGAAUAAUAUAAGAUCAAUACCUUCUAUAUUAUCAUUUGAGGAUUCAAAAAGGGUUGGAUAUCUUGCGCGCAUGUCAUUCUCCGACUCCCAAGUAGCUUCGUCAUCUCUAUGAUUCUUCCAUAACAUCUUAACUGAUACUAUCUCCUUACUUCUCAGCUUUCAAACUUGGCGAUCUAAAAUAGCUGCGGGUUCUUCUUCAUAUGAUAACUAUUCUUUAACACCAGCGAAUGAUCUUUAAUACAUUUCUUCAGCAUUGAUACAUAAAAUAAAAUAUGAACAGAAGCUAAACUUGCGGGCAAAUCUAGAUCGUAAGCAACCCCACCAAUCUUUCUCUAGUCUGACAAAGGCCUAUAUAACGAGGACUGAGUUUUUCUUUCUUGAUGAAUCUCAUGAUUUCCUUUAUAGGGGAGACCUUUAGAAAUACCCAAUCAUCAACCUCAAACUCUAACUCCCUUCUUCAAAUAUCGGUGUAAGAUUUAUGGCUACUUUGAGCUGUCUUAAGUCGCUCUCUAAUGACUUUUACCUUUUUGAUCGCUUGAUGAACAAGGUCGGGUCCAAAUAAGUAAGUCUAACCCACUUCAUACCAACUAAUUGGUAACCUAUACCUUCUACCAUACAGAGCCUCAAAAUGAGCCAUCUGGAUGCUGGAAUGGUAGCUCUUGUUAUAGGCAAAUUCUAUCAACAACAAGUGAUCCACCCAAAUACCUUUAAAGUCAAUCAUGCAAGCCCUCAACAUAUCUUUUAAGGUCUGAAUGGUGCAUUCUACUUGCCCAUACGUUUGAGGGUGAAAAGUUGUGCUAAGAUUUACUUGGGUACCUAAACUCCUUUGAAAAGAUCGCCAAUAUUGAGAAGAGAAUUACGUACCUCGAUCAGAUAUAAUAUAUGUUGAAGCCCCAUGUAAACAAACUAUUUCCUAGAUGUACAACUUAGAAUAAUCAUCUCCCGAAUAAUUAGUCCUCACAGGCAGAAAGUGAGCUGAUUUGGUCAUCUUGUCUACAAUCACCCAAAUAGAGUCGUAUUAGUUCGGGAUCUCAGAAGUCCUGUAGUAAAGUCCAUGUUGAUGAUAUCCCAUUUCCACAGGGGCAAGGCUUUCUCUUGGGAAGUGCCACCUUGUCUCAAAUUUUCUACCUUGACUUGCUGACAAUUAAGACACUUAGCCAAAAAGUUAACAUCGUCUCUUUUCAUAUUAGUUCACCAAUAAAUUUUCUUUAGAUCAUGGUAUAUUUUGGUAGAGCCAGGGUGAACAACAUACCUGGAAGUGUGAGCUUCGUUAAGGAUCCUUUCUCGUAACCCAUCCAAAUCCAGCACACAUAACCUACCUUGAUACCUCAGAAUCCCAUCACCUCCAAUUUCAAAAGCCAUUACCUUUUGUUGACCAACAUCUUACUUAAUCUGCAUCAAGAUGGGGUCUAUGUUUUGUUUUUACUUAACCUCAGCACACAAGGAUGACUUAGCUACCUCUUGUAUGAACACUCCUCCAUCCUCAAAAUCCAGGAGUCGAACUCCCAAAUUUGUAAGCUAGUGAAUAUCCUUUACUAUAUUCCUUUUUCCUCCCUCCACAUGAGAGACUACCCAUGGACAACCUACUAAGGGCGUCAGCCAGCACAUUGGCCUUACUCGAAUGAUAUUUCAAGCUUAUGUCUUAAUCCUUCAACAACUCCAACCACUGCCUCUGCUUGAGAUUUAGUUCUUUCUGCAUGAACACAUACUGCAAACUUUUGUGAUCAGUAAAAAUAUUGACAUGAACUCCAUAAAGAUAAUGGUGUAAGAUUUUUAGUGCAAACACCACAACCGCUAACUCUAGGUCAUAGGUUGGAUAGUUCUUCUCAUACACCUUUAACUAUCUAGAUUCAUAAGCCGCCACAUUACCAUGCUGCAUAAGUACUUACCUAAGUCCCACCUGAGAUGUAUCACACAGUAAACCAUAAAUCCCUUGGUACCUUUAGGAAGGGUCAAAACUGGUGCGGUAGUUAACUUGUCUUUUAGUUUCUCAAAACUAUUCUCACAAGAGUCAGACCACAUUAAUUUCAUCUUUUUUUAAGUCAAUCUAGUAAGUGGAACAACUGUGGAUGAAAAACUCUCGACAAAUAUCUGGUAAUAUCUUGCCAAACCCAAGAAGCUCCGAAUGUCGGUUGGAGUCAUAGGUCUAGGCCAUUUUCUCAUUGCCUUAACCUUUUAGAGGUCAGCCUUAAUUCCCUUAAUAGAAAUAAUAUUCCCCAGGAAAGCAAUUGCACUAAGACAGUAUUCAUAUUUGGAAAACUUCGCAUACAACUCAUGGUCCUUAAAGAGUCUAAAGGAUGUUUCAGAGGUGAUUGGCAUGGUCCUCCUCACUCUUAGAGUAAAUCAGGAUAUCAUCGAUGAAAACUAUAACCAAUAAGUCUAGAAAAUAAAGAAACACCCUGUUCAUAAGAUUCAUAAAAGUUGUGGGGGCAUUAUACGGUCUGAAGGACAUGACCAGGACUUCAUAGUGACCAUAUCAGGUUCAAAAAGUGGUUUUGGGAAUAUCUUUCUCCCUAACCUUUAACUGAUGAUACCCCAAAUGAAAGUCUAUCUCAGAGAAAUAUUUGGCACCCUGAAGUUGGUCAAGAAAAUCAUUGAUUCAGGGAAGAGGGUACCUAUUUUUAAUUGUGACCUUGUUCAGCUAACGGUAACAUUUGCACAUACUAAGGGAGUCAUCUUUCUUACGCGUGAGAAGUAAUGUAGAACCCCAGGGAGAGACACUAGGAUGGACAAAUCCUUUAUCAAGAAGGUAUUUUAACUAUUCUUUUAACUCUUUCAAUUCAGCAGGCGCCAUUCUAUAUGGCGGAAUAGAAAUAGGAUGGGUGUCUAGCAAUAGGUCAAUGCCAAAAUCUAUCUCCCUAUCUAGUGGUUUCCUAGGGAGUUCAUCAGGAAAGACUUCUAAAAAUUCAUGAACUACCGACACAGAUUAGAGGAAAGGACUUGCAGUGCUAGAAUAUUUGACCUAAACUAGGUGAUACAAACAACCCUUUGAUAUGAGCUUACGGGCUCUAAGAUAAGAUAUGAAUUUCCCUCUAGGUGCAAGAGAAUACCCUUCCCAAUCUAUUACUGGCUCAUUUGGAAAAGAGAAAGUGACCUUUCUGGUUCUAUAAUCUAAGGUAGGAUAACAUAAAUGGAGUCAAUCUAUCCCCAGAAUAGCAUCAAAAUCAAUCAUGUCCAAUUCUACAAGACCAGCCAUAAUAUCACAAUGAAAAUAGACACCACAUAAUUUUGGAAAACUCUCUAGCCACAAUAAAAUCACCAAUAGGGGUAAAGAUAGAGAAAGGUUUAGGAAUAUUUUUUUAGCUUAAAACCAAAGCUAACUUCCACAUAAGGGGUCACAUAAGACAAGGUAGACCUAGAAUCAAGUAACACAUACACAUCAUGAGAGAAGACCUGUAACAUACCUGUGACAAUAUUUGGCAAAGUCUUUGGGUCCUGAUGAGUAGACAAAGCAUACAACUAAUUGCAACCACCUUUAGUAGCAGAAACAGUACCUUUAGGUGAAAGGGCAGUGCAAUUGGCUUAGGACUUACCACCCCUAAUUUUUCCUCUAGUUGAGAGACAGUCCCUCUUGAAAUGGCCUGGCUAACCAUAAGUAUAGCACACACGCUCACAUAGAUACACCUCCCCGAGUGUUUCUUCCCGCAGUUGCCGCAACGAGGGUAUUUCCUGAACGACUAGGCUACACUCCACUGAGAUUGAUUACCCUGUAUCCCCAACCCACUGUUAAGCUGGGAAUUAUUAAACCGCUGAUCAACUAGAGGUAUGGGCAUCGGGGAACUAGAUGAAGACUGAGCAUUGCUCUAAAAUUUAUUCUUAGACCAGUUUUUGUCCCAUUUGCUACCUUGAUGUUGACUGGCAUUCUGAUCUAUCGACCUAGCUCUCUUAGCCUGUCUUUAUUUUUCCUUUACCUCUGCCUACCUCUUCUUCUCCUCUUCUACCUACUGUAUAUGCACGGAUAACCUGGAGAUAUUCAUGUUCUUGUUCAGCAUUGCCCCCUUGCAUUAUAUUACCAAAUCAUUCUAGAGAUCGGAUACGAACUUUCUCAUACGAGCCCUCAUAUUUCCCACCAAUUUUGAAGCAUAAUGGGACAACUGGGUAAAUUUUAGUGCAUAUUAUUUAACGGUCAUCUUCCCUUGCUUCAGAUUAACAAAUUCUUCAUCUUUUGUUUCCCCAGCUCCUGGGGAAAGAAAUGGUACAAGAAGGCCUCUAAAAACUUACCCCAUAUAGUAGGUUCUGCAUCUUUACCCCUCAAAUCUUUCCACUCAUUGUACCACUGGUUAGUUACAUCCUUAGAUGAUAGACUUCCACCUCAACCCCUUCAACCUCACUAGUAUGCAUGACUUUGAAUAUUUUCUCCAUUUCAUCAAUAAACCCUUGGGGGUCCUCCUUAACUUUCGUGUCCAUAAAGGUGGGUGGGUUCAUCCUCAUGAACUAUCCGACUCGAGUGAUUUCAGAUGAACCAAGAAUAGAAGACACAUCUCUAUAACAAUGAGACUGAGAAUCCAUAAGCUGAGCAAUCAUAUAGAUGGACUGACGGAACUCAAUAUUUAAAACUUCCCUCUGAGGAGAUUGGGUGCGGUUAACACGGAAUCGGGGGGUUCGAGGUGGACUAGUUUGGACUGGAGAAACACCUGGAGUAGUAGGAAAUUUUGGAGUAGGGCUCUAUAACGAGUCUGCAUCCCAGAAGUAGGGAAGACAUCAUCAGCAUGGAGGUUCUACUCAUUAGAUCUAUGGGGAGGUAUGUUCUGAAAUAUAGGAAAUCAUGAGUUAUGAAACAUUCAAACUUAAUAGCACAAACUAAAACAUAAGGAAAAGAGAAACGUUCUCCUAAAUGUCUUGUAGAUUCCUCCUUAUAAGUGUGGCACGCUACACACCCAUAAAAAGGACUCUACUCGACACAACUUUGUAAACACCCUUGGACCCUAAGCUGUGCUCUGAUACCAAGCUUGUCAUGACCCAAACCGAGGCCUUAGCUGUAAUGGAUAUCCUAAAUCAUGAAGGCACAAGAGGCCCCUUAGUGUUAAGCAUAACUCAUAUAUUAUAACAAUGCAGAAGAUAAACUGAGAAACAUGGUAGUCCUAUAAACAAACUUAUAGCUUAAAAACAUCGAAUCAAAGAGAAAAACCAAAUCCAACUUAAAAUAGUUUAUGAAGUCUCUGCUGAACUAAAAUAAUAGUCUAUCUAAAUCGAGUCAAGGCCCCCGACCGAACUAUAAAAUAACUAAAAACUAAAACUCGCAUAAGAUGCCUUCUUAAGUAAGAGAGGCUCACCAACUCUGAACUCUUGGAACAAUCUAUUGGUUUGCAGGACCACAGGACUGGGCCUCAGAACCUGAAAUAUAGGGGUCAGUAUACAAAAGUACUGGUACGUAGAAUAAUCCAAAAUAACAUAUAUUUUUAUACAACAUAAGUGAAAGAAUUUCAUAAAGUAACUUAGUAUAAGAUAAAUUAUAACACAUGGGCAUAAUUUGAUGAGAUUCAAAACAUUCCAGUAAGUCAUGACUCAACUUUUAUUUUACUUCUGAGCUAAAUGGAACAACCUAUAUUUCUAGUACCCACAAGCUAUAUGGGUCCACUAUUAACUCAUCGGCCAAGCCCCUAAAUCCAAGUUUGCUGUAAGGAUUGGGGUCCUAAAUACUAUUCUAGUAUACCAGUGCCUCAGGGGCAAGUAUAUAUUGGUCUUAGCCAAUCAUGUCUCCCGAAUCAGAAAAAAUUGAUUUCUAGAAAUGAGCCCUUACACUCAAAUACCUUCUUCAGGUAUUCAUCUAACUCUAUUUAAGCCUAUUUUUAGUCCUUUAUAAAUCAUGAUUCAUGCUCAUAAAAUUCACUUCUUAUUCUUGUAAUGGCGUAUCAUAAUAGGGUAUCGUCUUACCCAAAUUGCAAGUCAUUCAUAUCACACCACAUCAUAUCCAUAGCCCUUUUGAUUCAAAAGUAUGUUAGUGACCACCCAAUAGAUUUAAACAUCACAUGAGAGAGUUCUUGUUUCAAAACACAGAAAAACUUAUGCAAACUACUCUCUUUUCAAUACCUUAUUAUGCGAUGGUCAUCUCUUUCAUCAAUCACAUGCAAGUUCUUUAUUAGGAAACAUGAGCAUUUAUAAAAAACUAAAAACGCCUCUCAGUUCAUUCAUAAAACAAUAAAAAUCCAUAAACAUUGGAAAAAUAUUUAAACUCAACUUUUAACUAUCCGUGUAAACAAUCCAUAACAUUGUUAAGACAAUGGAUUUCAUCCCAAGAGAGAGAAUUAGAUAAAUCAUGCUCUCAUAACUUCUCAAACUAAUAACACAUGUACACAUGAAAAAAAUAAUGUUUUGGGAUACAACCUCAUAGUUUAUACAUGAUUUCAUCAUAAAAUGGGUUUACAAUGCAUGCCAUUUAACCAUUUCAAAACCCACCUCAUGUACGAAACUGUAUACAUUAAAAUCUUAUUUGAACAAUAAACUUAUGCCCAUGGAGUCUAGGAUUGUCCCAUGUACCUUUGAAUUGAUGAAAACAUUGAGAAAAUUUGAUACUUGAGGAUUAACUCAAACCCUAACUCAAACCCUAGUUGGUUAUCUCUUCUUGUGCUUAAGAAAAAUGUAUUAAGGAUUUUGUGAGUGUUAAUACUUGAUUAAAGACUUUAAUUUCAACCAGAUUAAUUUAGAAAUUGAUAUGGGAGGAUGAAAAGUCCUUAUAUCCCUCAAAUAAUACAAAACAGAGCACUUUAUGCUGCUUUGCCUUUGCCAUGCGACACACAGCAAUGGCAUAGGUUAAGGAGUGCGACGCACAACCUAUUGCCAGUGUCACACUCCUUUUUUAAUCAAAAAAGAAUUGAUUUAAGUUUGAAAGGGUUUUUAUUAUUAAGUGACAAUAAAUGAAAAAAAUUGAAAGGGAUCGUUUAUAUUCAAAACUCAGAGUCGCCACUUGACAUAAAUUGGAUGUCCCAAGUCACCUUUGGUAAUCCUUUUUCAAAAUGAUUUUGACUUUUUUAAAGUGGUUUACGAAUAGAAAUUCCGGCUAAGGAAUUCUGUUGACCGAGGGAAAGGUGUUAGGCACCCCUUGAUCCCAUGCUCGACCGCGGUAGCUUGAUAGAGUAUACCAAUUAACUCGACACUAAGAAUGUAUAAGACCAACAAAAUGUACAAAAGCAAAAAAAACACCGAGACAAAACAAAUUCAAAAGUAGUAUCCAGUCUAAAUUAUGCAGUCCCAAAAAAUGAAAAAUGCAAAAAAUAUAAACCUACUCUAUUAUAAACUAAUCCUACUCUAAAAUCCACCCAAUGUUCCGGACCUUGAUCAUGCGCCGUCUUCAAGUACAACUUUCUCAGGGCAUUUUUCGGAUAAAACAAUACAGAUACCUCAAGGCAUUCCCCGACCAAAUGGGUACAAUUGAUUUAAAUGUGAUAAAACCAAACCAUUCAACACACAUUUCAAACAUUCAAUAUUCCACAAGUCCAAAAUUUACCUACCCGAGCCUACCAUUUGCCUACCCAACUCAAUCUAUCAUAAUACUAUCAUGUUCAACGAUACCAAUACUUGUUCCAAAUAAAAAAAUCAUCAAUGAAUCAAAAUAACCAAUAUUCACCUUUAUCAAUUUUAAAUUUCCACCCCAAAACAUCUAAUUUUAAUUAUCAAGUGAGAUAUUAUUUCAUCACAUAAGCCAUAAUCAAGGGAAGCAACAAUGAAUCAAUACACAAAAAAACUAUUCACCACCAACAUAGCUCAAGAAAACAUAACAUGCAAUUCGACGCAUUGAAUAUAAUAAAUAAUAAAAUAAAAGAGAAAAGAUUAGAAAUAAACCUCGAUUUUGAGCUUUCGAAAAGUGUUGCUCGAUAAAAUAAAGAACCUGUUUCCGAUAACCUCAACUUAAACCUCACUAGAAUCAACCCAGAUAGAAUUGAAGAAAUAUUAGAUGAACCAAGAUAGAAAUUACAAAAUUUGAGAAAACUCGUACACGAAAUCUCAUCGGAAUCCACCCGAAUAUCAUCGGAAUCAAACCAAAAAGAUUGAUACAAUACUGAUAUGACCCAUACAAAAUGAAAGAUGAAUUUCUAAAAUUUCACCCUUUUACAAGUGUUUUCUACUGAAACAGAACAAUAGUCAAUGGCUCAACCAUUUUUCUGGCCAUAUUCGUCAGAAAAAGUCAGCUGACGAAUUGAAUCGACGUAGAUCUUGGCGAUGUUAAUGGAUUCGAAGUUCAGACACUGGGGUUUUGAGACUUUUUCAGCGACGGUGUAAUAUAGGAGCAAUUUGCGAUGGUUUUCCAAUAAUGAUUCCGAUAAGGGUUUCACCAAAAAAACCUCACCCAUACUAUUUUUCACCCCUUUUACUCUAUCUCCCUCACCAUUCUUAAAUCUUCUUCUCUCUCAAUUUCUAUCGCGUGUAAUAGUCCAAAAAUUGAGGAGUUGUGCAUGUGUGUAUUCCCUUCUGUGUGAGUGAUGAAAAUAUGAGGGUCCAUGAUCUCUAUCUACAUAGCUAUUUGAGGUAUAUGUAUUAUGUCAACCCCCUACUGUGUGUGUAUAUGUUGAAGUGUAUAAAUAUGGGUGAAGAUCUGUGCGCAUGUGUGGAUAAAAUGUGUGUUGUUGUGAGGGAAAUUGUCUAUAGCAUAUGUGCACCUCUCUUUUUUUGUGUGAAUUAUAUGUAGGGCCCAUGAGGGAGUGUGUGAUAAGGGUAUGAGGCUUGUGUUAGUAUUAUGUGGCAUGGUGAGGUGUCAAAAGUGUCAUGAAUUUGGUUAUUUUUUGUCCUUUUUUGGGGAAAAAUUAUCAACUAAAAAGAAACAAGGUGUAUGGUAAGGUGAAUUAAAUAAGUAAAAAAAAUGUUCAGGGAAGGACAAAAUUACAUGUCUACAUCAUGCCCCCUUUGAACGUAAACACAAAGUAUUUUCAGACAAAGAAGUAGACAAUGAGAUAGAAUUUUGACCCGACUAUUAUUCAAAAGGAAGGAAAAGAAAGACAAACACAACUGAGUUUUUACUUUGGAAAAACUACCCAUCCCAAGUUAUAUAGGGAUCAAGUCCCCUGUGGUUUGAGGAUUGAAAAGGAAGGGUUGUACUGAGUUGAAGAGUCGAGUGAGGCUCUAUCAAGGUUUCGGUCUGCGGCUCUGUGAUUACAUCAAAAUAAAAAUUACAAGUUAAAACAUAAAUGAAAUUACAAAAAUCCUAUCUAUGCCUUCUUUUGGACUCUUGACUUGAGUUUCAUCACCCUAUUCUUCAGGCGGGCUCUUGACAUGCAAUUUUUUCAACUUGUUGCUUGGCUUUCAAUUUCUUUACCCUAUUCUUCAGGAAGGCUCCUGACUUGCUAUUUUUCUCACUCUAUUCUUUGGGCGAGCUCCCGACUUUCAAUUUCAUUGCCCUGUUCUUCGGGCAGGCUCCCGACUUAUAAUUUCCUCACUUUAUUGCCUUUCAGUUAUUUUACCUUGUUGUUUAACUUUUAACCUCAUCACCCUAUUCUUCGGGCGAGCUCCCGAGUUUUAAUUUCUUCAUUCUAUUCUCCAGGCAAGCUCUCAACUUGCAAUUUCAUUGCCCUGUUCUUCAAGCGGGCUCCUGACUUGCAAUUUCCCCACUCUGUUCUAUGGGCGAGCUCUCGACUUUCAACUUCAUCACCUUGUUCUUCAGGUGGGCUCCUGACUUGCAAUUUUUCUCACUCUAUUCUUCGGGCGAGCUUCUGACUUUCAAUUUUAUCACCCUAUCAUUCAGGUGGGCUCCUAUUUUGUAAUUUUUCUCAAUCUGUUCUUCGAGCAAGCUCCCAACUUUUAAUUUCAUCACCCUAUUCUCAUGCGGUCUCCUGGCUUUCAAUUUCUUCACUUUGUUCUUAGGGCAAUCCCUCGACUUUCAAUUUCAUCACCUUGUUCUUCAGGCAAAUUGCUGACUUGUAAUCUUUCUCACUCUAUUCUCCAGGCGAGCUCCCAAUUUUCAAUUUCAUCACCCUGUUCUUCAGGCGGGCUCCUAACUUUCAAGUUCAUCACCCUAUUCUUUAGGUGGGCUCCUGACUUACAACUUUAUCACUCUGUUCUCUGGGCGAGCUCUCAACUUUUAAUUUCAUCACCCUGUUCUUCAGGCGGGCUUCUGACUUAUAAUUUCCUCACUUUAUUAUUUGGGCGAACUCUUGACUUUUAAUUUCAUUACCCAUUUCUUCAGGUGGGCUCCUGACUUGUAAUUAUUCUCACUCUAUUCGGCAGGCGAGCUCCCAAUUUUCAAUUUCAUCACCCUAUUCUUUAGGCGGUCUCCUAACUUUCAACUUCAUCAUCCUUUUCUUCAGGCGGGCUCCUGACUUACAGCUUCCUCACCCUAUUCUUUAGGCAGGCUCCUGAAAUCAAAUCAAAACUAGAACAAAAAUUAUCUCAAACAAAUAUUAUGAUAAAGAAGGAUUUCAUUUUCUGAAAGUAAGGUCCCAUUUUCCAGAAGGAUCCUGAACAUAAAGUAGAUUUCCAUUUUUCAGGCAGGUCCAGAACAUAAAGUAAUGUCAUGGAUAUGCCUUCCCAAUGGUAGUUGAACUUAAUAAAUAGAACUUUGCCCCUAUUUCAUCAAAGAACAAUUUGCCAUUUAAAACUUAUUGGUGGCUUGCAGCACUUGGCUUCCCAGGCAUCUGCUCCAGCUUUCUCUCCUUUCAUCUUUGUUUCAAAUUGCUGACACUUGUCCCUUUCUUGUCGCAUCAUUGACCCAAACCUUGAUUGAAGAAAAUGACUUUGACUCAAACACCGAAGUUCUAUGUUACAAUGCCUCUGAGAUGCACCUUUUGAAACCUGAUCUUCCCAUGAAUCUAGCAACCUGUCGGUUGAUAGACUUUCUUUGCUUUGUUUUGAAUUAUGAUCACAUUUCUUUCAUACGCUGGUCCUUGUCUUUCCUCAUGCAAUUGGGAAGACUGGAAGUAAGUUUUGAAAUCCUUUCUCACUUAUUUUGACACAGACUUGACUCAAAUGUAAGAAAUGAUGGUGACUUUUAUUUUCAUAAAUGACAUAAAAAAAUAAAAAUAAAAAAUAAAAAUAUGAAUAUAUAAAUGAAAGAAAAGGGAAAUGUCCCUCUUUCAAAAAGAAAACAUAUCUGAAUAUGGCAACCAACUCCAAUGACUAUGACAUGCAUUUUGGAUUAAGCUGCCUGAUCUUUCUACCUAAACUUCCCAUUUGUUGUGUAGUUCGUGCCUUUGCUACUGAGUCAUUUCUUUAAAACCAUUGGACUCAUACACCUUAUUGAAUUGAUGACAUCUUGAAAGAAUUUUUCCAACAAGCCUCUUUCCUUUUUAUUUCUCUCAAACUCGCCAUCGCUUAUAGUGCCCGUGAGGGUUUUGACUAAUAAGACUCUCUCAUUUUUAUUUCUCUCUACUCACUAUCUCCUUAUGGUGCUCGUAAUGGUUUUCACCAAUAAGACUCUCUCAUUUUUAUUUCUCUUAACUCACCAUCAUCUUAUGGUGCCCGCGAGGAUUUUCACCAAUAAGACUCUCUUAUUUUUAUUUCUCCAUGUUUUUCCAUGAUGAUGCAGCAAAUAUAAUGCCAAAACAUUUCCAUAUAUCCAUCGCAUGUUCAGCCUAACAAUUCUCAAAGAUUGAUCUGAAAGUUUUUCUUUGGUUGUAACUUGGCUUUUGGAUAAGGUUAAAAAGAAAAAGAUGGUAGGAGGCUCAAACGACACUUGAAGUGUGGUGGAUCUUACAACUUUGGAAUCGACUCAAAAAAUAAAAAAUUAACUCGUGCCCAGUUUUUCUUGACUGGGUGACUUUAAAUUGUUUAUUCAGUUGGACCGAGUCCCAGGUGGGGUAGCCUACGUAUCUCACUCCCAAGAGAGGAGAAUUAGGUCACACAUAGUUCCAGCAGCUUGUUCUUUGUUUUGAUUUGAUUUUUUUCUUUUUUUCAGAGCUUUCAUUUAUUCUUUUUUCUUGACACUUUAUCUUUUGACUCUAUUUUGAUUUCAAAUGAGGGAUAUGAAAGAAAAUAGAACUAAGGUUCAAAUGGGGUAAACAAAGGAUGACACAAUAUUUAGAUACCAGAAUGAAAUGGCUUCAUCAUAUCAAUCUUUAAAAAUGCAAGUACUACACAUGCAAUAGAGCUAAUGAAGGAUAAAAUAUCAUACAUAAUAUCUUUUAACUGCAUCAGCAUUGAUAGCCAUUUCUAUUGUUUUACCUUCUACAUAUGUCAAAUAUAAACCUCCAUUGGGCACCACUUUCUUCACAAUGAAGGGACCAUGUCAAUUUAGGGAGAACUUGCCUUUAGCUUCAACCUGAUGAGGGAGGAUACGCUUCAAUACCAACUGACCACUUCAAAACUCCUAGGAUGUACCUUUUUGUUAUAUGCUCGAGCCAUACUCUUCUGAUAUAAUUGGCCAUGACAUACUGAUGUAAGCCUUUCUUCAUCAAUCAAACUCAACUGUUCAAGUUGAGUUUUUACCCACUGAUUACCAUCAAUCUCUGCUUGCACAAUGACUCAAAGAGAGGGAAUUUUACUUUGUGCGGGAAUGACUACUUCUGUCCCAUACACCAGUAAAUAUGGAGUUGCCCCUGUUGAAGUACGAAUAGUAGUACAAUAACCAAGCAAUGCAAACAGUUUGUCAUGCCAUUGUCUAGACCCUUUUAUUAUUUUCCACAGUAUAUUCUUGAUAUUCUUAUUGGUAACUUCCACGGCGCCAUUUUCCUUGGGAUGAUAUAGAGUAGAAUUUUGAUGUGCGAUCUUAAACUGUUGUCAUACUUCUUUCAUCAAAUGACUAUUGAUAUUGGCAGCAUUAUCUGUAAUGAUCAUCUUGGGAAUUCAAAAUCUACAAAUGAUGUUGGCAUAAACAAAAUCUACCACCGCCUUCUUUGUUAUUGACUUAAAAGUUCCUGCUUCUACCCACUUUGUAAAGUAAUCAAUGGCCACCAAAAUGAAUCUAUUCCCAUUUGACACUUUUGGCUCAAUCGGUCCUAUCACGUCUAUCCCCCAAGCUACAAAAGGCCAUGGAGAAGACAUUGCGUGCAAAUCAGCAGGAGGAGAAUUUAUCAGAUCAUCGCAUACUUGACAUUGAUGACAUUUAUGAAUGAAAUGAAUAGAAUCCCUCUCCAUAGUAAGCCAAUAAUAACCCACUCAAAUUAUCUUCUUUGAUAAUACAUAACCGUUCAUAUGUGGCCCGCAUACCUCAGAAUGUAUUUCAACCAUGAUUGUCGAAGCUUCUUUUGCAUCUACACACCUUAAUAGUCCCAGAUUCGGGGUUUUCUUGUAAAAGAUUUCUCCACAUAAGAAAAAUCCACUAGCCAAACACCGAAUAGUCCUCUUUUUAACUUCUGUGUUACCUAAGUUAGGGCACAACACGUCCUUUCAAGGAGAGUGUACUUGGCUUCAUACAUUGUGAACUUAGAAUGCAAGGAGAGUGUACUUGGCUUCACGAUGUUCCUUAGAAUGCAACAACAAAGAAAAAAGGGAUAUUUGAGCAUAAGUCUUCUUCAACUGACCUAUGAUUGAAUACUCUGGCAAUUUCAUUUUUUUCAAAAAUUCUUCGACUUCUUCUUUAAUGACAGGGUUUUUUAAGAUGCGAUUGCCUGUCCAUCAUUGGUUUAGACUUCCUCAAACCUUCUGUCAUAAAACAUCUCCUCAAAUGAUUUAAACCCCCUACCUCAUCUACUUCUUCCAUGAUUUCCUUUCUCUGAUAAGUCAUCACAGUCUGAUUAUCCUCUAGGGGACCCUUUUUUUGUCAACCAAUUGGAGUUGGGUCACCAGCUUGAUAAUAAUAGGUGCUGCAAGUACUCCUUUUACUAUCAAAAUAGGCUUCCUCAGAGCUCCUACUACCGUUAACUUGGGUUUUUCUUGACUUAAACCACUAGUUUUUUUUACUCUUUUUAUAAUGAUCACGGGUUUCCUCGUGUCUUCUUGGGAUUUAUCUUCCACCAUUUCUUCUUGGCUCAAUGACAUCGCCUUUAAUGAACCUGCCAUAUUCACCGAUUUAUCCUUAUUAGUUUGUAUUCUAAUAAUAGGAUUGUAACACAUCGAUAACUCUUUACCACCACAUAUCAACUCCAACAUGUUUGUUUCAGCAUGGGCUAGCAAUGGAUUUUGGUUGAUGUUCGAAAUCUUUGGGGUUUGUAUCAUAAUUUGAUCUACGUCAAUUAGAUCCUUGAUGGCUCUUCUCAAAUACCAGCAUUUCUCGAUAUCAUUCCCGGCAUGUCAGAACAAUAUGCAAACCUUAAAGAAUAAUCAAGAUUCCUCAAAGGUGGAUUCGAAAUCCUUCCUUGAAUUGGGCUCAAGACCUUUAUAUUCCUCAACCUUUCAAACAAACUAGCAUACGACUCCCCGAGGGGUGUGAAAUUAUUCUUGACUAACUUCACCUUCUUAAACUCGGUCCUAGGUUGAAAAUUAGAUUUGGAAGGGUUUUGGUAAUUUUGUGGAGUUAAGGGACGAUUUUAAGGAUUUGGUGCACGCCAUUGUGGGUAGAAAAGGGUUUGGACAUAUAGUUAUGCGCUAUAUACUGGGUAUGGGGGUGCUGGAAUCGAAUAUAGUGGGUUUUGCAAAGGGUAGUAAUGAUGAGGAGAAUUUUGAGAUUGGGCAUAGACUUGGGCUUGGGACUGGGGAUAGGGGCAAAGCGGUUUUUUCAGAUAAGUUUUUGGUCUAGCUACAAUAGUCGCCACUUUCUCCUUCUUUUUUUUCCCUCCAAAAGUUCUAGAACCACUUUGAAUUGCUUAGGAUGUGGCCUUUAAUGCGAAAAAACUCAUUAUUCACGAUCUUGAUACCCUCUUUUAUCAUCUCUUCCAUUUUGAGGACUUCAACAAACGGCUUGCCCAUCGCCGGAAGCAAUUGUUGGAAAUAGGUCUCAUCUUGUGCCUGAAUGAAGACCUCCACCAAUUUACCUUGUUUUAUCGGAGGUUUUACCCUAGCAGACUGUUCACACCACCUUAUCGCGUACUCCCUAAAGCUUUUAGUACUCUUUUUCUUUAUAUUAAUCAGGGAUUUCUCAUUAGAAAUCAGCUCCACAUUAUAUUGAAAUUGUUACACAAAUUCAUUAGCCAGGUCAUCCCAACUAUUUCACUUGUCAAUGUCCUGAUCCACAAACCACACCGAGGCUAUACUCGAAAGACUUUCAUCAAAAUAGGCCAUGAGGAAUUACUCUUUACCUCCAAACCCUUAAUUGAAUACAAUAACGCCUUAAAUAUGCCACCGGAUCCCCGUGUCCAUCAUACUUCUCAAAAUCUGGCAUCUUAAAGCCAAGAGGAAGGUUAACACCUGGAAAGAUGCAUAAAUCUUUAUAUGAAAAACUUUUAUAACCUCCAAGUCCCUAUAAAUUUUUCAUGGCCUGCUCUAGACUCUUCAAUUUCCGCACCAUGACUUCUUGUUCCUCUAUUGCAAUAGGCUUCUCUGUAUCAAAUAGAAAUACAAGUGGCUGAGUGUACCUAUACGGUUUAUUCAUCUUUAAAGUAGGCUCCGGGGCAUAAUAUUGAUCAUCUGUAACCUUCAACACUGGCUCACUAACAGAUCAAGGGAGCAUGAUUAUUGGACGGAAAACAUAAGUACGAGAUUCAAGUGGUGAAGGAGCCAUGAACAUAGGUGCCACAGGUGGUGCUAAAUAAGCAAAAGGCCUCUGUUUAGGGACUAUCAAGGGUACACUAGAAGUGUCAGGAUAGUACUGAUGUGGCAUGAAUUCAGGAGGUGCUGGGGCAUAUCAGUGGGACCAGAAAACUGCGCCUGAGAUAGCAGCGAAUAAUUGGAAGUGUUCCCAAGAUCACCUGGGUAUAAAGGAGGAGGCAUACCAGUUACCCAAGCUUGGUGCAUUUCUGCCAGUUCUUGUAUAAGUCUCAAUAUUUCCUCAUUAUGUUCGGAACCUCCUUCCCCAGGACUCUGGUUCAGGUCAAUGAGAAAAUUUUCUACUUCUUUGUUGGCCAUGGCGAGCUUUACUUUUGAUCUAGUGAAGUAAGGAUGACUAGCCAGAGUGCUACAAACUAACCACUUUUAUCUUAAAGAACAUGCUUAUCAGAGACAAAACAUGUUAGGAUUAGGUCACACAACAAGCAUGGAAAUCAUAUUAUACACACAUCCUAGAUUCAUGCACAUUUACCAGCCUUUGAGGGUAAUGAGUCCAUUUUAACAAUAUCCCGAUCUCUCCCUUACACUAUUUUUUCUUCCCCUCUCAUCACACCUUGUUCUUUUAUACUUUUUCCCUCGAUUCUCUCUUCUUUGCAUCAGUCUGUUUUUCUUUCCUUUUCUUUUCUCACUAUUCUUUCUUUUUCUUUCCUUUUCUCGCUAGUUUCUUUCUUUUUAUCAUUCUUUAUGUCUUUUGCUUUUUUUAAAAGAGGAAAAUUGAGGAAAAACAAGGAAACAAAAUGAUUAGAUCGAACCCAAAGUAGGUUCCCUACGUAUUAUGUUGUACAUGAAUUAGAUCUUGUGUAGUUUAAAAAUGUGUACAAAAUUGAUGAUUUUUUAUGAAAAACAAACAAAACAAAGAAUAACGCAACAUCAUUACAUUUCAAAAAUAAAUAACUAAAACAGACGUCGAAUUUAAGACAACCUUAAUACUAAUCAACAAAGACUGAACAACACUCUAGACUCACAGGACAACAUGUGUAACAUUUCUAAUAAAGACUCUACUGUUAAAAUUAACUUGACACCGACUUAACAAAGACACAAUAAUGCAAUGACAAAAAAACAACAGACUCAAACUAAAUAAGUAAAAGAUAGGAAGUGCCCCUUGAAACUGCUGUGCUGCGUGAUGGCCUUGGCUGAGAUGAACUUGUCUGUGAAAAUCUCGCUUUCCUAGUCAAAUUUUGCAACAUAUCCUGCAAUGACACUUUGAUAUUUGGGAAGAAGCUUCUGCUACAUGUUCUUGCCUCUUGGGGAGUACACCUAAAAAGACUUUUCUGAUACCCUUCCACAGUUGUGAGCAAACUUGAUAACUGAACUCUCAACGACUCUACUUUGGCCCCCGCAUCUUAACCCUCAUGGUUAUCAACUAUGAAAGAUUCCUGUAUUCUCCCUCUAAGUUGCACUAGUAAUGGUCUACUGAGGCCCCGAGAAUGGAAUAUAGCCAGAUUCCAUAUCUUAGAGUGUAUCCUGGAUUCUCUAAACCUGCCCUGAGAGUAUCCACGCUCUUCNNNNNNNNNNNNNNNNNNNGCACUUCCCCGUUACAUUAUUCCAGAACUACUUAUAUUUAAUCUCACCCCUAGCUUGGUCCCUAAAUUACUCAACAUCCUUUUGAAGGUCAAUUAUCGGUGGAACAUCUUGUAAUCUACCCAACUAGCACAUUACCCUAAAGGGAAUGUAUGAUCGGGUACAAUUAAGCCCCAACAAAACUAGAAGGAUUUUCAUGCUAGAUCCAAGCAAGAUUAUUUUUGGCCGAAGCCAUAGAUAGGUCCAUAAGAUAUUGUCAUAUGUUCUUGAUUUGAGAAAUUCAACCCAAGCGUCGACUUCUACAGGCAAAGAGAAUUUAGCAAAGCGCAUUCUAUGUUUCAUGGUUUCCACUCGAUUGGGCAAACAACAGUCAACCAUAUCUGAUUUGAUCAAAGAAGGGGCAUGCAAAUGCUCCAUCAACCAUAGUUUCAAUACUAGGUUACUUCCCUCAAAAAAUUGCACACCCCUUUUUACCUCGAUCAAAGAUUUAUAUAUCUCCACUAAGAUCAUAGGUACCAUAGUAACCUUGUCUUCCUUAUCCUUGUUAAAUAAGGCCAUUACUACAGAUUGCAAAUGCGUAUUAAUACACUUUUCUUCCAGGGGAAUACUAAAGUGCCUAACAAAGCAAGGGUAAAGACCUCAAGAUGACGUUUCUUUCAAUUCUUUUUAGUUGUAUAAAACUUAUCCAAAAAAUAAUCAAAAUUGCCUGGAAGGCCAAAUCGAGAUACAAGUAAUCGAAAGAGACCCAAGAUUGGUUAAGGCAUCCUAGAUGGUUAUUAACCUUUAAUCCAUAACAGUGGAGAAACCUUAUGGGAGAAUGACAACGCGCUUGAAUCAUCCUUUUUUUAAUGUAAUACACUUUAAAAAAAAAUGGAUAUUUCUACCAGGGUAGGCGUCAUUUCACAACUCCCAAACCUAAAAGCCAAACUAGUUGGAUCCCAAAAAGUCAACGUAGCCUCGAUUAGGUCUGGACGGGGCAUGAUAGAUAAGAGAGAAGUGAGAGUACCUAGCUUCUUUGUUAACUCCUACUUUUUGGAGUAGUUGAACAUGUCCCACCACUUGAUUAACUUUUUGGCCACUUUAGAAAUCACUAGGAUCUAGACCUUGGAGACGAAUCCAUCCUAUAACAACACACAAGACUUACGAUUUAAUAUUUUGAUAAGAGGGUGAAAAUUCCCAAACCUCGAGAUUUUGAUGUGGGCAGGUUAUCAUGAAGGGACAAACCAAUUUAUAACUCAAAUUAAAACGAAUGGUACCACUAAGUGCGGUCAGCCUACUUGGCCAAGAUUAACCAACGACACUAGACUAGACUAAAAAGAGAAAGACCCUAAGCUAGGACUAUAAUAGUGACCUAAAUAAAAGAUUAUAGAACCCACCGACGGUUGCCUACGUAUCCCACCUCGACGGACAAGAAUCAGGUAUGCAUAAUUCGUCUAGAUUGGAUAAUUAAAGGUUAAACAACCGAUUGAACCUAACUUAGGAGACACGACCAAAGAACAACAAUGAACAAUGUCAAUAAAAAAUUUUUGAUUUUUCAACUUGACACUUCACAUAUAAAUGACACCAAAAACUACGAAAGAAAAAUCUUUUUGGUUUUUUCAUUAUAUGAAAUGUACAAAACUUCUACCAUCUUUUUUCUAUUUUCUUUUAUAAAAAGCUCCUAUUAAAAAAAUAUUUUUAAAAUUUUUUGAAUUAUGAAUGCAUGCUAAAGGAACAAAAGGAAAAUCUUUUUGAUGUUUUUAUUUUUUUGAGAAAUAAGUACAAUAGGCAAAACAAAAGUUUUUUGAAUUUUUGAAUUGUGAAGAACAAAAGUCAUAAAGAACUCUAAAAAGCUGCAAAACUAUUCUUCUUCUUUUUUUACUUACAUUUUCUUUUUUUUUGAAUUUUUCUUGCCUACACACUUUUCUUUCAUUCUAGAACAUGUUUUUUCCAAAUUAGUCCGUCAAAUAGCCCUACCCUCAAAGAUGCAACAUUUAGCAUAUAGGGAUGCUUUAGGGGUGAGUCUUCUACAAAGGGCCACAUAGGUCCCACUAGGUUUCAAUAUGAUGCAGAUAAGCAUGACCUAAAGGCUGACCUAUGCUGGAGUUCACUAAAAAGUCUGUUUGGGGGAGCGUAUAGUCGAUAGUAGCUGCGAUGGCUUUCCACCCACUCAAUACUAGCCGACGGCUCCUCCUCUUUAAAUAAGGGUGAAUCAACUAGAGGUCAUGUACACAGCGUAUACUACAGAACUUUUUGUAGAAAUAAUUGACUCGGGUUAUGCAAAUGAUGCCAAAUAUAAAGCGGUAACACAUAAGAGAAAAAAUUCUAAACAUGUAGCAAGUAGGCACUCAACAAUGAUAAAAUGAAUACAAAAAAAACACAAAAUUCUAUACACCUAUAAUGUCAAACUAAGCCAAUAUAACUCCAAAAAUAAGCACGAAUUCUGAAAAAGUGUCUCCAGCAGAGCCGCUAGAGCUGUCACACCCCUUUUUUAACCAAAAAAGAAUUGAUUUUAAGUUUAAAAGGGUUUUUAUUAUUAAGUGACAAUAAAUGAAAUUUUUUUUGAAAAGUAUUGUUUAUAUUCAAAACUUAGAGUCGCAACUUGGCAUAAAUCGGGUGUGCCAAGUCACCUAUGGAAAUCCUUUUUCAAAAUAAUUUUGACUCUUUUGAACUGGUUUGCAAAUAUAGAUUCCGUCUAAAGAAUUUUGUUGACCGAGGGGAAGGUGUUAGGCACCCCUCAAUCCCGUGGCUCGACCACGGUUGCUUGGUAGAGUAUAUCAGCUAAUUUGAAACUAAGAAUAUAUAAGACCAACAAAAUGCACAAAAGCAAACAAACACACGGAGACAAAACAAAUUCAUAAGUAGUAUCCAGUCCAACUUAUACAGUCCCAAAAAUGAAAAAUGCGGAAAAUAUAAAACAACUCUAUCCUAAACUAAUACUAAUCUAAACUCCACCCGAUAUCCUGGGCCUUGAUCAUACAUCAUCUUCAAGUACAACUUUCUCGGGGCAUUCCCCGGAUAAGACAAUACAGAUACUUAGGGCAUUCCCCGGCCAAAUAGAUAUAAUAGAGUUAAAUCUGAUAAAACAAAACCAUUCAACACAUAUUUCAAACAUUCAAUAUUCCACAAGUCCCAAUUUUUUCCUACCCGAGCCUAUCAUUUGCCUACCCAACUCAACCUACCAUGAGACUAUUAUGUUCAACAACAUCAAUACUUGUUCCAAAUUAAACAAUCAUCAAUGAAUCAAAAUAACCAACAUUCACCUUUAUCAAUUUUCAAUUUUUACCCCAAAACAUCUGAUUUCAGUUCUUAAAUGAGAUACUAUUUCAUCACAUAAUCCAUAAUCAAGGGAAUCGACAAUGAAUCAACACACAAAAAAACUAUUCACCACCAAAACAUAUCAAGCAACAUGUAACAUGAAAUUUGAUGCAUUGAAUAUAAUAAAUAAUAAAAUAAAAGAGUAAAUAUUAGAAAUGGACCUUAAUUUGGAGCUUUCGAAAAGUGUUGCUCGAUAAAAUAAAGAACCUGCUUCCGAUAACCUCAACUCAAACCUCACGAAAGUCAACCCAGACAGAAUUGAAAAAGAAAUAUUAGAUGAACCGAGACAGAAAUUAUGUAAAAACAAGAAAACCCAUAUACGAAAACUCGCCAGAAUACACCUGAAUGUCGCCAGAAUCAAACCAAAAAGAUCGAUACAACACUGAUAUGACCCAUACAAAAUGAAUAAUAUGGAUUUCUAGAAUUUUAUUCAUUUACAGGUGUUUUCUACUAAAAUAGAAUAAUAGUCAAUGGCUCAACCAUUUUUCUGGCUAAAUUCAUCAGAAAAAGUUGGCUGACGGACUGAAUCGAUGCAGAUCUUAGUAGUGUUAAUGGAUUCGGAGUUCAAACGCUAUGGGUUUGAGAAUUUUCUGGUGAUGGUGUAAUAAAGAAGCAAUUGGAGGUGCUUUUUCUAUAACAAUUCUGGUGAGGGUUUCACCGAAAAAACCUCACCCUGGUUGUUUCUUCACCCUUUUCACUCUAUCUCCCUUGCCAUUCUCGAAUCUCUCUCUCUCUCAAUUUUUAUUAUAUGUAACAGUCAAAGAAUCAAGGAGUUGUGCGUAUGUGUAUUGCCUUCUGUGUGAGUGAUGAAAAUGUGAGGUUCCGUCUCCUUUUUUUCUUUUCUGAUGAUCUCUAUCUAUAUAGCUAUGUGAGGUGUAUGUAUUUAUGUCAAUCCCCUACUGGGUGUGUAUAUGUCAAAUUUUAUAAAUAUGGGUGAUGAUCUUUGUGUAUGUGGGUAUAAAAUGUGUGUUAUUGUGAGGAAAAUUAUGUAUAGCAUGUGUGGACCUCCCAUUUUUUGUGUGAAUUAUGUGUGGGGCCCAUAAGGGAGUUUGUGAGAAGGGUGUGAGGAGUAUGUUAGUAUUAUGUGGCAUGGUGAGAUGUCAAAAGUGUCAUGAAUUUGUUUAUUUUUUGUCCUUUUUGGGGAAAAAUUAUCAACUAAAAAGAAAUUGUUUAUUUUUUGUCCUUUUUGGGAAAAAAUUAUCAACUAAAAAGAAACAAGGUGUAUGGUAACGUGAUUAAAUAAGUAAAAAAAAUAUUCAGGAAGGGACAAAAUUAUGUGUCUACACACGGUCCCCAAUUGGGCGACGCACGCCAAUUACCUAGCCUCAAGUGGGCAAUGCAUGCCAAUCGCCUAGUCAUUUUAGUGGUUGUUAGUGAUGGUCAUGCAAUGCACGGCCAUGGCACGGAGUCCAUCUUAUGACGGACACUAAGUUUCAAGGUCCCAAAAUGCCCCCAACACCUCUCACAAUGUCUAAACAUGGUCUACCAUCGAUACGGGGGUUCUAAGGGUUAUUUUAGAGAGCAUUAUUAGAGUGAGACAACUACAGGAUGUUACAUUCAUCAUUCAAUAAUACAUAUUUUAUGCUAUACUAGGAAUAAAAUAACCUCUGUGCAGAUUUUGUACUAUACUAGGAAACUAAAUAUCACAACAUAUCUUAUGCUAUACUAGUAAAAUACUACAAAUAUAUAGCUAAUAAGAAUCUUGAGAAUCUGAUUUGUAAUCAUCCAAAUGGGUAUUCUGCGGCUGAAGAAAAUUGGGCGAUGUCCUCUUCAAAAUUAGCCCAAUAAUCUACUCCGUUGUUGGCCCAUAUGAACUUGGCCUCAAGGAGUUUUUUAAUUCUUUUUUUAGCUUGUUUUUUCUGCAUGUUUUGUUGGAUUACUUGGCUUUUGAUUCUCAUUCUCAACACCCCCUUAAGAUGGAGAGAAGGGAAAUGACGCCCAUCUUGGAGAGAAUCAAAUGAUGCAAUGGUCUGAAGAGAUCUUUGGUGAACAAAUCGGCAAGUGAAGAAGUUGAUUGAACAAAUGUAGGGGAGAUAACACCAUAGAAAAAUUGUUGUCGCAUAAAAUGAAAAUCAAGCUCUACGUGCUUGGUACGAUCAUAAAAAAAUUUAUCUAAUUUUUUUAAUUUUUUUUUAAGAGAGAUUUUGAAAGUCAAAUCCUAAAUCUGCUUCAAACCUGUUUUAGAGCUAAGAUAUGAUUGUUCGUUUCUUUUUAAAUUUUAAAGCUUAUCCAAAAUUUUUGUAGGUUAUACAAAAUUUUUGUAGGUUAUAAGCUUAUCCCGAACCAUUUUCCUAUCAAACGCACUCUUCGCUAUAAGAGUGAAAACUAAGUUGCAUCUAGGAUCUACUUUAAUUUUGUGCUCGUAUGCCUUUCAUUUUAGUUUAGGGUAUGUUUCUACAACUUGUGCACUGUAAGGGUGUGUUUGGUAUGAUAGAAAAUAUUUUCUCGAAAAUGUUUUCCUAUUUUUCUUUGUUUAGUUGCAAUAAAAUGUUUGGAAAACAUUUUCCACAACAAUUCAUUUUCUUCGAUUUAAGGGAAAAUGACUUCCCUCAUGGCCAAGGGAAAUCAUUUUCCAGAAAAUGACAAAUGUGACUUAUGACCCCAUCCUCACCCCUCUUCCCCACCCAACAACACUCAUAUUCACAUGACUCAAAAAAUUUAUAUAUCUCAAAAAUUUAUAUUACUCGAAAAUAUUUUUCAUUGUGCUUUACUUCAAUUUUUCACUGCUUGAAAUAAAAAAUAGUGAAGCCCGAAUUUUUCUCUUUUUCAAUAUUCAUUGAAUGUAUUGUUAUUUUCAUAUGCAUAGAGGAAGACUUACCUAUGUUACUUUUGAUAAUUGCAUAUUUCAUUUUGUCAUGUAACUUGUUUCACGAGGUAUAAGCUUGUCGUUCCGUUAUAUUUCUAUUGAUUAUAGUAUCUUGAGAUUGUCCUGAUAAAAUAUUGAAAAGUGUAUCCUAUAUUUGCUAAUUAAUAGUUGCUUUUCUCUAAAUCUUUCUUUGUAUGUUUAUCUUGGUUUAGUGAAGUUUUUUCUGAUACUUCUCUGACCCUGUCAUUCUCUACUUGUAAUGCAAGCUUUUUGACUGAGUCACUCACUCUCCUCAACAACAAUAUUUCCAAAAGCUUCACCUGAAAGUUUGCAAUUUUUAGCUGCUAUAAAAGCCUCUUCUUGGCAAACUACACAAUUCAAACACAACACUCUCUUCUUCCUUUUGCAACAAAAAUCCCAUAAAUUAUAUUGAAUACUGCAAACAUGUUUUCUCUUUCAAAAAUGCCUUCAACAACAUCUGUUCUAUCAGCAUAUACAACUUUGACUGCUUCAGCAGUUCUAAUUAGAACUUUAGUCUCUGAAGUUCAGAACAUGACAAACCAGCUUAUACCCAAAAAUCUCCAAGACAAAAUCUUGUCAAAAGUUGGAAUCUUUAUGGGAAAUUACUCUUCCCAAAUGACCCUCAUCAUUGAGGAAAACAAUGGUUUAAUUCCAAAUGAAAUCUUUGAAGCUUCCAAAUUUUACUUAAGCACUAUAGUGAACCCUUCGUUACAAAGGGUCAAAAUUUCCAAGGCGGAGAAAGAAAAGAAAUUUUCAGUCAACAUUAGCAAAGAUGAGAAACUCAUUGACACAUUUGAAGGAGUGGAACUCACUUGGGAGCUGAAAAUUGUGGAAAGUCAGAAGACCAAUAGUAAUGAUGGCUACUUGUCUAUAGAAAAAGUGGAACAAAUAUGGUAUGAACUAAGUUUCCUCAAGAGUAACAUGGAAAUGGUGCUGAAAAUAUAUUUGCCGUUUAUUCUUGAAAGAUCAAAAGCCAUAAAAGAGGAAAACAAGGCGAUAAAACUCUCCCCACUUGGGAGUUAUGGUUGGCAAAGUGUGAAUCUUGAUCAUCCAUCAACUUUUGAUACACUAGCAAUGGAUCCUCAACUGAAGCAGGAAGUGAUGGAUGAUUUAGAAAGAUUUGUUAGGAGAAGAGAUUAUUAUAGAAGAGUUGGCAAGGUAUGGAAAAGAGGAUAUUUGUUGUAUGGACCACCAGGAACAGGCAAAUCUAGCUUGAUUGCAGCUAUGGCUAAUUAUCUGAAAUUUGACAUAUAUGAUAUGGAACUUACUAGCCUGCACGCUAACUCUGAUUUCAGAACAAUGCUAGCCUCUACAAAGAAUAGAUCAAUUAUUGUUAUUGAGGACAUUGAUUGCACCAUUGAGCUACAGAACAGAGUUGAUGGAUCUCAUAAUUACAAAGACAGUGAGAGUCAGGUGCCUAAAAAUAUUACUCUUUACUCUACUUAAUGUUCCAUUCUAUAUGAUAUUCUUUGGUUUUUAGUCAUGUUUAAAAAAGAAAAACAUAUUGAAACUCUUUAGUAUUAGUGAAAAUUCUUUCCUUUUUCUUAAAUACCAAACUCAAUCAAAUACUAUUACAUAAAAUGAAGUGGACGGAGUACACUUUACACACUUUAAGAUUUUGUUAAGUUUGUAUUCAUUUCAAAAGUUAAUAAACUUUUUCUUUUUUCAUGGACAGGUUACUCUUUCUGGAUUGCUAAACUUUAUUGAUGGGCUAUGGUCAUGUUGUGGAGAUGAAAGAAUAAUUGUGUUCACUACCAACUUUAAAGAAAGACUAGACCCUGCAUUGAUAAGGCCAGGAAGAAUGGACAUGCACAUUCACAUGUCCUAUUGCACUCCGAGUGGAUUCAAGAUCCUUGCUUCCAACUACCUUGGCAUUAAAAAUCACUGGAAAUUUGGUGAAAUAGAAGAGCUUAUAACUGAAGUGAAUGUGACCCCAGCAGAGAUCGCAGAAGAGCUGAUGAAAAGUGAUCAUGCAGACAUUGCACUUGAUGAACUAAGUUCGUUCCUCAACAAGAAGAAAGAGGAUUGCAAAAAGAAAACUGUUGAAGAAAAUGAAGCUGAUAAGAAAGGAGAUGAAAUGAACAAGGAACAAACAAAGACCAAAAAUAUGAGGAAACGUAAGGGGAAUUCAAGAAGGGGAGGAAGAAGCAGGCGUAAAAUUUUCUGAUGUUCUUGAUUUCUUGGUUUACAGUUAAUUUCAUCACUAGAAAUUUACUUGUCAUGUAUUGUUGUUAUUCUGUAUUAUGUGGUUUUUGGGAUAUCAAAGGUUGGUUACUAAGCUAGGUAUUGUAUCUCCAACACGUUUGAGAUGAUGAAUCAAACAGGCUUUGGAUUUUGAAGUUCCCAAAUACAAUUGUGUGACACUAUUCAUUGAGGAGAAACUAGAAACUAUUGCCUCGUGAAGGAGUAUAGCAUGUAAAUGAGUUGUCAUAAUUGGAAAGGGAUUGUCGAUGAAUGAGAAGGCGCAAUAAUUGGCUCUGCAGCAUUUGCUAAAAGCUAUAAGCUCUUGAAAUCUUUUUAUAUCUUUCAUUUAAAAUACAAGAUUUUGGACUUUAGCAUGAAUCCCAAAAGAAUGGUAUUUCUUUAUGUAAAAAUUUUGCAGCAAAGUGAUCUGAUGUUCUUACAGUGUAAAAUAGUCACUUAAAAUAUUUAUCAUGCAGUUUAACAACCACCAAGUCUUUGGGCUUAGGAAUGGGAGAGGUCGAGGCAGUUGUGCAACACGAACUUGUAAGACAAAGAUACUUAAUAUAACACAAUACAGAUAAUGGUACAUGCUUCAACAACAAAAAUAAAUGGUGAGGAGACAAACUAACGGAGGGUCUGGAUUGAUCGUUGGAGUGGUAUCAUCCUUAUGUAUUAUUCACACAUAUUUGUAAAGAAAAUAACAGCAUUAUGUCAUCUUGUAAUUUAUGCGGGAACAUAAUUCGAAUAUUAUUAUUUUUAUUGUCAUACAGAGCAUGGUGUGUUGGCCCGUGCAUAGCACGGGCAUGACUAUCUACUUUUACUAGAAAUGUUGGGUUUACAUCAUGAGACAAUAUCAUAAUAGUUAUGGUUUUGAAGACUGCUAUUGGUACUGAUGUGUUUUAUUAAAUUUUAUGGACAAUAUAUGUCGUUUUACUUGUUGCAAAUGGAUUAUAUUAAUAUGCUCUUUAUGCAGAAAUUAGUGCAGUAAAAUAUUUGCUUACAGAGGAAAAGAAUAUGCUGAGCACAUUAUCAAUGUUCUUGUUACUAAUACCAUCAUCAAAAACAAUUUUUUUAAUGAAUGACUUUGGAAGUUUGAAGCACCAGACAGCCAAGACUAUAAAAACUAACUAUAGAAAUUAACAUCUACUGAUUAAUAAUAAAGCUAUAACAACAUUUUUAGCAAAUUAAAACAACACAUACAGGAAUAUGACACCAACAAAUUUUUCCCAAGGCACCUCAUAUGUACAAAACUGAUGUCUAACUCAUAAUUGCAUGAGAAUCAACAUAAGUAGAAAUGUUUUGUGUCCACGUUGUAGAGUAUGGGAGGAAUAUAACUACAUGACAGUUGAAACUCUUGCCAAGCUACCCUUGAAUCAUUUAAACUCUCUUCGUUCUAAUUUACGUACAAAGGAAAUUGGGAUAUUUCCUUUAUAGCCCAACAGGCAACUGCCCAGGAAUGAAAAAAAGUUCAGGGCUCACCAGAAUUCAAGCAUAGGUAUUUACAACAAUCUGUUAACCCAUGGAACUCCCACAAUGAUACAUGGUUCCGGAGGUUUUUAUAACCUUAUUGCCAGAUAUCAAGAAAAUAGUUUAAUUGGUAGUAGUAAUCAAAACCAAUGCAAAGAAACCUAAGCCAAAAGAAAGCAUCAGGCUAUGGAGAACCAUGACAUCUUAUCAUUGCACUAGUGUAAUAUACUGAGCACAAGUAGACAUAGGCAACUGAGAAAAAUGAAUUGACAUCAUUUCUAAACAGUCAGUUGGAAAUUUGUCCUCAAAAUAGUCACACACAAACAUUAACAGCAACAGGAAUCAGGAAGACCGAAAGCAAAUGCCAGAAAAUAUAAUACAGCAGUCAAAGCUAAAAUUAAUGCAUCAAGACAGUGGAAGAGCAGAAUUUCAGGAUGUUCAUUGGUCAAGUCAAUGCUAGCAAUUUUCGCCCGUAGAAAAGGGAAUCGGAUCAACUCUGCAGAUAUUCUUGAUUAUUAAAAAUACAUUGUACAUGAAUUUCUACACGUGAACUGAAUCUGAAUGUCAGUAAAAAAUAGUUAGAAUAUCCUAAAGAUAAACCCGAAACUUGUUUUCCUGCAUACUCAGCAGAGCACAAAAUUAUAUAAAACAUUUUUUUUCCAUAGGAAAGAGAGAACUUGUCAAGAAGCAACAAUAACUUAGAAAUCAAAGCCCCAACAAAAUGUUAAUAGGUAAGUAGGAAACGAACAGAUGUACUUAGUUUUCCUGCUUAUUGCUUGAGUUUUUGACAGGUUGAUGAUCUGCUACAGAUAUUACUAAGUUCGGGCAUAAAGAACACAUCACAACUCUUUAGUACUAUAAAUACUUGUACCAGCUUAGAGUGAAACUAAAGCGUGGCUCUCUUUUCAUUGGCGUUUACACUGUGAACCCGUGCAGAGUACCACAUCAGCAUAAUCAGCACAAAUAAUGUUUCUUACCUAUUAGUUGAGUUUUUGACACAUUCAUGAUUUGCUACUACUAGAUUCAGAUGCUUUUGCUUUGAUGUUUACACUUUGUGAACACGGGAAGACUAACACAUCAGUAUAAUCAAGCAUAAAAUAUGUCUUCAUAGUUGCUAUGAUUAUGUGCUACUGAUAUUGCUAAAUGCAAGUGUAAAGAUUUAGAUACUUUUGCUUUGACUCAAGCCCGAAUCAAAGUGAUAUUGUUUAUUUUAUUUCAUUGAAACACAAUCCCGAAAUACACCUUUGAGAGAAUUGCAAAAGAAACAUCUCCAAAUUCAAGAUACAAUUUUUUGCUAAAUCAAGUUACAAAGUCAAAAUGAAGCACAAUGGAACAACCUUUUUCAAGAAGAUUUGAUGGCAUCAACAAAGCCAGUACUAAGAAGCCUCUCCACAUACUUUCCCAAUAUAUCCACUUCGAGAUUAACCUUCUGUCCCACUUUCUUCAUCGGAAUCACCACCUUCUGCUGCGUAUACGCCACCAACAUGAAGUUAAAACAGUCCUCUUCAUCAAACACGUCGACAACAGUCAAACUAGUUCCAUCCACAGCAAUAUAUCCUUUAGGCACAAUAUACCUCAAAAUCUCCUUCACAGUCUUCACCUUCACCCACAAAGAAUCCCCUUCAGGUUUAAACUCAACAAUCUCGCCCGUCCAAUCAACAUGUCCCUGCACGAAAUGACCUCCCAUUCUACUGCUAGGCUUCAAAGCUCUUUCCAAAUUAACCAAAGACCCUUGUUCCAAUUCGAUCAAAGAAGUCUUCCUCAACGUCUCCGGAGCCAAUCCAACACUGAACUCCAACUUCUCCUUAUCGUAAUGAUCGACCGUUAAACAAGUACCGUUGACAGAAAUGCUGUCACCAAGAUUGAUGUCCUCAAGAAUGAGCUUCGCCUGUAUUUUCAUGGUGAAACUGUCGGGUUUAUCGUAACCGAGUUGGUUAAUUCGGCCCAUUUCUUCAACUAUACCGGUAAACAUGGAGGUAAUUGGAGUCGAAGAGCUACGACGUUGUUGGGCUGUUGUACUCCUGCUGAUAAAGAUAGAAGAAAUAGAUGAUUGGGUUUUUUGGGUCUCUGCUCUGGCAGUGACUACUUAUAAUUGUGUUGACCAUUUUGCAGCUACCGUUAGUAUUUCAUGUCAAUUUUCUCGUGUUCAGUGCUCUAUUAUUGCCUCUUAAAAAUAGUAGUAAUACUUACUAAAUAAUAAUAUGAGUAAUUGUAUCAUAUCACAUUUUAAAUAUGAUAAAUUUAGUAAUUUAAAAAAUAUAUUGGAUAAUAGCUACUGUAAGGAAAUGAAU
rnacentral:lncRNA from 1 species